GUAGGGAGAGUGACCAUUUAGCAUUUUUCAGAAUUUAAGUGAUUGAUCUGCAUAUUGUUUGAAUACUUUUGAACCUUACUUCUGUGGUCAAUAACUUUUAAACUUCUUACACUUAAGGACAGUAAGCUGUUUUGCAGAGAUUUAGAAGUUAAGAACUGAAUUUGAGAUAAAAGAAAGUUGCAAAUCAGCCACAAAAAGUUUAGAAGAUGCAAAAGGAGUUAAUUCAUAUAAGGAUUAUUACUAAUCAAUUAUCUAUUUUUUUAUUUUUUAAUAUAACUAUAUUAUAAUAUAACCAGUUAUAAACAAUUAUAAUUUAUAAUUAAUUAUAUUUUAAUCAUAAUCAGUUAUUUUUAUAACCAAUUAAGGGUUAUAAUUAAUAAUUAUAACUAGUUAUUAUGAAAUAUAACUAGUUAUAAUUAUGACCCGUUAUUAAAAAAAUAUAACCGAUUAUAAUUAUAAAAGAACCCAUUAUAUUUCAUAAUUAGUUAUAUUUAAAAUAUAACUGGUUAUAUCUUUUAAUAACUGGUCAUAAUUAUAACCCGUUAUAAAAAAAUAUAAUUGGGUUUAUUUUAAAAGAUAUGCUCGAUUAUAAAUUUUGCUUCGGAAAAAUCAUAGGAGAUUCGUCGAGAAAGUGACCGGCUGGUGACUGCAAAUUCGCCGGAAAACCAUUGGCCUCUGACCGGGGUCUUGCACUGGCCGGUGAUUGGAGUCUUGCCGGAAAUUCACCGGACGGGACCACAAUGAGGUGGCGUGCCGAUUUAUAAAAAUAAUAAAUCAAAUAAAUAUGUUGGAAAGACUUCCUUACCCUCUUUAUACACACCGUUAGAUCUGUGAAAGUAAAAUCCAUAAAAUCUAACGGUCCUGUCUCGUCCUGAACAUCCUAAAAUAAUAAAUCUCCUGGAUUCCAACCUCUGCCCUAAAUUACGGAAUAAGUAACUAAUGUUAAAGUAAUAGCAUGGUUGUUAGAAUGAAGAUGCGGAGGAACGGUAGCGUUUCAUCCUCCCAUUGGCGUUUUAUUUUGUCUACGACUGCCGUUUUACUGUAGCGGGCUUGAGAUACUGCUCAACAUCGAGUAUCGACCGAACAAAGAGGAAAAGCCGAAACGGAGUCGCCGGCCUGAAAGAGAGAAUCGGAAAGGAGAGAGGCUAGGUCGGAGAAUUGGAUAGAUCGCCGGUGGGAGGCGCGCUGCGAUCCUUCAUUGCUAGUCGUCGCCGGAGAAAACCCGUAUUUUUGCUUACAAUCGAUAUGAAGAAGGACAGAAGCCAAUGGGACUGAUCAAAAUGCCAUCUCUGUCCCGCUCCAGACUAAAAACAGUCGUUGAUCUUCACGUUACUCUGGUUAUCGACUGUUAGCUCCGGGUAUAAUCUUCUAACGUUAUCUGUUCUUUCCUUUUCCCCUCCGAUUGCUGAUUGGGUUCAGUUGGAGUACCUGCUUUUUUUCACUGAGGUGCCUUAGGUGAAGAAAAUGGAUUCGAUAAUUGCACAGUGUUGCUCAGUCAUGGAAUGUAUUUGCGGCGAUUAGAAGUCAAACAUGGUCAGAGUGGAACAUUGUGAAUCAUAAAGAUGAAGUUUUGAAUUGCAGUGUUUGUAUUGUGUGCAGCCUAUAUCCUUCCAAUGGAAGGAUUGAAGGAUUCUGCUGCGAAGAAACCCAAAAGAUUGACAUCUGUUGUAUGGAAUCACUUUGAACGGGUAAGGAAGGCUGAUUCGUGCUAUGCUCUUUGUGUGCAUUGUAACAAGAAACUUAGUGGGUCAAGUAACAGCGGGACUACUCACCUGAGAAAUCACUUAAUCCGAUGCUUGAAAAGGUCGAAUUAUGAUGUGACACACCUAUUUGAGGCAAAGGGGAAGAAAACAGAAACUUCCUUUGCAAUUGCAGAUGUCAGUCACGUUGUACAAAGACAAGAUGAUUGCACCAAACUCCCAAUUGUAAGUUUUCAUCAAGAGCAAAGAAAUCAUGGAGUUCUUAAUGUGGGGGGUCGUCGAUUCAGUCAACAGCGUAGUCACUUGGAUCUCACCUGCAUGAUGUUAUUACAUGGUUAUCCGCUGACCAUGGUCGAGGAUGCUGGGUUCAGAGACUUUGUGAAGAAUCUCCAGCCGGUGUUCGAGGUUGUGCCAAAUGGUUCUAUUGAGCUCUCUUGCACACAAAUUUACGAGAAAGAGAAACGUAGAGUGCAUGAGUUGAUAAGCAGAUUAAAUGGUAGGUUCAACAUUGCAGUUGAAAAGUGGAGUUGUCCAGAAAACAACCAUUACUUGUGUUUGACAGCACAGUUCAUUGAUGAUGUUUGGAAACUGCGGAGGAAAGUUCUGAACUUUGUGACUCUGGAAACCACUCAUACUGAAGAUAUGCUUUCAGAAGUGAUUAUCAAAUGCCUUUUGGAGUGGGGUAUUGAGUGCAAGUUGUUUGCCAUGACAUUCGAUGAUUGUUUCACAGAUGAUGACAUUGUUGAGAUGAUAAAGAAUGGCAUCUCCCAGAACAGGCCAUUUUUCAGUAAUGGUCAACUUUUCGAUAUUAGGUCUGCUGCUCAUGUUGUGAAUUUAAUGGUACAAGAUGCCAUUGAAGCACUCCGCAAGGUUAGCCAAAAGAUUCGAGAACGUUUCAGAUAUGUCAAAAGUUCAAGGGAAAUCCAGGUCAAGUUCAAUGAGAUUGCUCAGGAGGUUGGUAUUAACUGUACAAAAUAUUUGGUUCUUGAUUCCCCAGCUCGGUGGAGCUCGACAUACUACAUGGUUGAAACGGCCCUACAUUACAAGGAUGCAUUUUGCUUUUUGGAAGAACAUGACCCGGCCUAUAACACAUCACUGUUAUCUGAGACAGAAUGGGAAUGGGCGAGUUCUAUAAAUGGUUAUUUGAAACUAUUUGUAGAGAUAACCAAUGUCUUCGCCGGAAGCAAAUGUCCAACAGCCAACAUCUAUUUUCCCGAGAUAUGUGACGUUCACAUCCAACUAAUUGAAUGGUGCAAGAGUUCAGAUAGCUUCCUUAGUUGCAUGGCUUCUAAGAUGAAGGCCAAGUUUGAUAGACAUUGGAGCAAGUGCAGUUUGGCUUUGGCAAUUGCUGCCAUCUUAGAUCCUCGAUUCAAGAUGAAAUUGGUGGAGUACUAUUACUCUCAGAUCUAUGGUAGCACAUCCUUGGAUCGAAUCAAGGAGGUUUCUGAGGGCAUAAACGAACUUUUCAGUGCAUACUCGAUCUGUUCAACCUUGGUUGAUCAAGGUUCAACACUUCCAGGCAGCAGCCUACCAGGCACUAGCACUGAUACCAGGGACAGGUUAAAGGGCUUUGACAAAUUCCUGCAUGAGACUUCUCAAAGCCAGACUCUUUCAUCUGACCUGGAUAAAUACUUAGAAGAACCAGUCUUUCCUCGCAACUGUGAUUUUAACAUCUUAAACUGGUGGAAAGUCCACGCACCAAGAUACCCUGUCUUAUCUAUGAUGGCACGGGAUGUUUUAGGGACACCCAUGUCAAAUGUCUCGCUAGAUAUGGAAUUCAGCACCGGAGGAAGGAUGCUUGAUGCUUACAGAAGCUCUCUAAGCCCAGACGUUCGGCAGGCUUUGAUAUGUACUCAUGAUUGGUUGCAAAUUGAACAAGAAGGUUCGUGCUUGUACAGGAUUCCAGUUUUUCGAAUAUUGUUUGGUAGCUUUUUCUGCCAGCUAACUCUUUUCUUGUUUUAUCAGAACUCCUGUCGUCCUCUCCCUUAGCUAUCUGCGUUGAAUGAAAGCUCAUCAGUCAGUGGUAAGAUUCCUCUUCAUCACUCUCUCUCUUUUUCUUUGUCAACAAUGAAUUGUACAUAUGCUCAGUGUCUUUAUCUGGCGUGUAAACUAAAUCAAUUGAUGUCAACUAUGCUAACAAUAUCUGGUUAUAGCUCGUCAAUCUUCAGGCAUCCUGUCACUCUUCGAAUGUGUACGUAACAGUUACUACGUACUAGACCAGUUUUUUUUGUUUUGUUUUUUCUGGCAAUCCACUUCCCUCAUGGGCAUGUAGAUGAAAAAUACCCUUUCAUGUUGCUCGAAUUGGCUUUUCAACAGAUUCUUAGGUUUUGCAUCAUUCAUCUACUUUGGCGAAGGUGCUCUGUUGACUGCUGAAGGUAAGAAGUAUAUGCUCUUCUGAUAAGAAGUGUGGAACUGGGAGGUGCUGAAAUAGACUUCUGUAUUUGACUGAUUUUGGAACCCAUGGAAAAGCAAACGCUAGAAUAGAAUUUGAGCCUUUUCCUUAUGACCAAUGUUUCUGUAGUGUUCUCUCAGAUGAGCAGGCUGGGUUAGGUUACAAUUUCGAUUGUUUCCGGUUAUGGGUUAAUCAGGCUCAAGCUGCGGGCAUAUUGUCGUUGAUUGGGUUAUAGGUUGUUGAGCACAUGAGUCGAUUUGGAUCCCAACACGACGGGGAGGUGAGUGGGGCAUAAUUGAACUCGUAUGCUUGGUUUGAGAGGUGGAAAAGUCUGAUGGAAUUUAGAGGGUAACGGAAAGGUUCACUCUUCAAAAACAUUUCGUUUAGGACCUAACUUUCCCAUCUAACCGAAAAAAUACUCAAAAUUCCAUCUGACUUUUCACUGGUUCGUAAGCUUCCUGAGGAAGCGAGUGAAUGAUUUUCAGCAGCAUGUGGGAUAAAGUUUUAGAGAGGUAUAAAGGCUCUGCUGAUAUGGAGAUAGAAAUUUAGCAAGUAAAGAAAAGGAAGAACUGAAUUCCACCGAAUCUCACUUUUCAGUGUACGCACUAUUAGCAUCUUUCUAGGCUCCCACUUGUCUUGCACUAUUACAGUGGCAGCCGAGUCACAAUUCGAGUCGAUGGGUUUUUGAGAGAGUGCAUUCCAUUGAGUCACAAUUUGAGUCUAUCGGGUUUAAAUUGGUGCUAUGUCUCGUACGAUAGUACAUUUAUGAACAUUCAUUUAUCACUGGUAAAUUAUAUAUAAACUGUCAAAACAAGUAUUUCGGUUUCUCACCACACCUUUGAUCCAACCAGACAAAUCAUGAAAUCACGGUCAUUAUAUCGAAUUAGACUAACCACCCAAUCCACUCUAUAAAAUCAGCCUUUCACCUAAAGUUUAAUGUCACAACUUGCAUUACUACAUUCAUUCCCUUAAAAACAAUAUAUGUGCACGUCCAAGCAGUGUUCUCAAAACCAUACUGAUACGAUGUUAGACCUCGAACUACUCAUAAAAAUUGUCCAGUACAAAUCUUUUAUAAUAAUUAUCGUUAUCGUCAUACCAUUAGACUCAUCGAUUUGACGUUUUGGUACGGUUCUGAAAAUCAGAGUACUUUUUUCCUAUUUUUUAAAUGAUAGAUGAAUACCAAAAAAGCUGAAGCAAAAGAAGAGAAUCAAAAUGUAGCACUUGUGAGUUGUGACAUAAGCAUCCAACUUUAUUUUAUUGCAUGCAGCUGGGUACAUCUUUGUCCUCUUUAACAAUUUGUGUUGGAGGAGACUCUCUCAUCUUUAAUCUUUAUAGAGCAGAAAAGUGAGUUGACAAGGAAGGUAGUAUCUUUCUUUUGAUACGUGUUAAAGAAAGGCAAACAUAAAAACAAAGGUUUGAUUCAAACAAAUUGCAGAAAGAAAGCAAAAUAAUGGAGGGUGCAGUGCAGAGAGAGCCAUGAUACGAUGAUGGUGCUUCACAGCCUUUCUUACCCAGAAAAAAAACUGCAGAGGAUUGGAUUCCUGAAAGAAAGCAUCAAGUAUGUAUAAAGGCUUGCUCUUUAUUUGCGAUGCUCAUUCUUCAUUGUGAAAUCACAGCCAAAUGGUAAGUAAUUGACAUCUCUAGAUACUUGUUCUUGUUAGGUUAAGAUUUGUUAUUGUGAACUUCUUCGGGAAAAUUACUCUAUAUUUCACGAACUAUUUGAAUAUUGCUCAUAUGUGCAUAACCUAUUGAAAAAUCUAAGUGUGUCACCAAGUGAUGUGGCAGAGGGAAUGAACCCGUGGUUGCCACGUAGGUCUGAGGAAAAAGGCUACUUGGUGACACGCUUAGAUUUUCCAAUAAGUCGUGGACAUAUGAGUAAUAUUCGAAUACCGUGACAUAUGGGGUAAUUUUGCCAACUUCUUAAACUUCCAGGGACCCUUUUGUAAUGUCUCUGCUCACAAUACUUAAUUUCCUGAACAGUCCCUAAGUUUAUCUGCCUUAUAGUCCACUCCUGAUAUUUUAACUAAUUUAUAUAGUUGCCCAUAACCACAAUUGUAACCUUUUCUCAAGAGCAUUUUGACCCCUCAACUAUGAAAAUACAACAAAUUACUUAUUUAUCAUAUCUUGAUUCGAAUGACCCAUCUAACAAAACACAAACCAUUAUGUCAAAGUUCUCAACAAAUUAUCUAUACUCAUGAUAGAACAUUCAACUAAAAAAUGCCGAAUAAUAUUCAAAUUUGAAUGUGAGUUUAAAAAUACCAUAAACAAAAUUAUAAGAUUACACGAUAAAAAUUUCACAUUUUUAAAAAUUUAUAAAAAUAUAAUCGCUUUAGAAUGUGAAAACACUCACUGUAGACUAAAUUCGUUCAUCCUUAAUUUCGCUCCUAACCAAAUCUGAAAUGUCCAAUAUGACAUGGGAAGUAGCAGACAAAACGUUUAAAGACAAUUAGGAGUUAACAAACAAGACAACAGUAACGUAAUUAAGGGAAGUGAGUAAUAGAGAGAGGGUGUGAGUGAGAGAAAGGGAGAUGGAAAUGCAGGUGAAAAAUGGAGGAAUUUACGGACAAAGAAGGGUUGGAUGUGUCAGCCCGCGUGGAUUAGCAACGAGCAAAGCACACAGGAGACGAUGCCUUUUCUGCUUUUACUCUCCUUUCCUUUGGUUUCCUCUGCUUUGCUUUCCCUCUCAACCUCACACACCAUCAAUCUCCUUCUUCUUCUCUCUUCUUCUUUUAAUCACACCUCUCUCCCAAACUCUCACACACUCUUCUUCCCCCCCUCUCUCUAAAAGUCUCUCACUUUAUGCUCCAAACCCACCUUACACUCACACUGCUCUGCUCAACACCCAAUUCUUCAUUUUGCUCCUUCGAGGUAUGGUUUGAUUGUAACAUGCUACUUGAGAACCGGAUUUCUUCUUUGCUCUGCUGCAAUCUGUCGUGUGGGGGGGUUUCUGCCUUUGUUCUUCCUUUGCUAAAGGUGGUGACUUGGGACUUGCAAUGUGGAAACUCAAAGGAGGAUUAUGGUUUUUAAUUUAUUAGUAAGGAAGAUGGUUUCCAUUUUUCUUUUGUUUUCAAAACUGCAUCUAGACAGACCCCAUUCAUGGUUUUGUCUCAUGCAAUUCUGGUGGAUCCCAUUCUCCUUUUUUGUUUAUCUGUGUUCUUGGUGGUCCUUCCAAUUUCAAUUUUGCUUAGUUAAAUAAUUAAUCUUUUACAUUACCCCUUUACUGAGUUUUGAUGAUACUGGUAAUUGAGUGCCUGCUUUUGAUUGUGACAAAUUAAACAUGAUUGUGUGGCGUAUAGAGUUUCUCAUGGAUGGAUGAUAGUUCAUUUUCGAGUUCUUUUUUAACUGAAAAAUGUCAAUGAUGUGACUGAGAAACUUGUGAAAAACAGGUCAUUCAGUUGGUUUAGGAUCAUCCUGGUGCUAGUAAAACUUAGCAGAAAAGGGUCUGGUUUUUAAAGGCCUGAUCGUAUGCCUGCAAACCAGUACCACGGUAACUCAACUCCUUACCCAGGUCGUGUGGAGCGGCUCUUGAGAGAAAGAGAGCUCAGGGAGCUGAGGAGAAGCAAUAGGGCUGAGGUGAAUGGUAACCAUAAUAGAGGUGAAUCAAGUGAACUAGAGUUACGCUUCAGGGAGAGUGAUCUUCAGAAGAAUUCCUACAUUGAACAGUACUUGGAAGAAGCUGCUGCUGCCACAAGGGCACUUAAUAAAGAAGGAGGAUGUGAAGGCCAUGAUGGGAGGCCUUUAAGGCAACGCUUACUCGUCGUAGCUAACCGGCUGCCUGUGUCUGCUGUUAGAAGAGGUGAAGAUGCUUGGUCUUUGGAAAUUAGCGCUGGAGGUCUAGUUAGUGCACUUCUCGGUAAGCUUUUUUAAAGGUUUCUGCUUUUUGUCGUUCACCUUUGAUUAGUGUUGCUACUUCUUAUUGGUCCUAACUUGGUGUUCCUGGAGUUUCAACUAUGCUUGGUUCUCAUCUCUUUGAACUUCAGGAGAUCUUCUGUAUCUUUUGUUUGGUCUUUUUGUUGUUUUGGUGUUUAAAAGAUGUAUCCUUUUGCUUGUUCAUCUUUCCCAGAAGGGUGUGAUGCAGUUUAGAUAUGUAAUGUAGGAGUGAAGGAAUUCGAAGCCAGAUGGAUAGGCUGGGCUGGUGUUAAUGUGCCAGAUGAAGUAGGCCAGAAGGCGCUUACGAAAGCUUUGGCUGAGAAGGUAAAUGAUUUAUCCUAUCCACGCUUUGGCUUUGCGAUGUUGUAUAAUUAUUGAUUCAGCUGAUAUUUUCCACUUCUAAAUGUGUAUUUUAUUUUGGUUUUCAUAGAGAUGCAUACCUGUGUUCCUUGAUGAAGAAAUUGUUCAUCAAUAUUAUAAUGGCUACUGCAACAAUAUACUUUGGCCUCUUUUUCACUAUCUUGGUCUUCCGCAAGAAGAUCGCCUUGCCACAACCAGAAGCUUUCAGUCUCAGUUUGCUGCAUAUAAGAAAGCCAAUCAAAUGUUUGCUGAUGUAGUAAACAAGCACUAUGAAGAGGGGGAUGUUGUCUGGUGCCAUGAUUAUCAUCUUAUGUUUCUGCCGAAAUGCCUCAAGGACUACAACAGGAACAUGAAAGUUGGUUGGUUUCUCCACACACCUUUUCCUUCAUCUGAAAUCCACAGGACACUGCCUUCUAGAUCAGAGCUACUCCGGUCAGUUCUUGCUGCAGAUUUAGUAGGGUAAGCCUACCUUUCGAAGUCUUUCUUACUUUUCAUUCAUCCAGUCUGAUCCACCUGUUGAAAUCUUGGUUUCUGACGAUAGCCUUUUACUGCAAAGAUUAUGAACAUAUUCCAUUUUUUAUUCCAGAUUUCAUACAUAUGACUAUGCAAGACACUUUGUUAGUGCUUGCACUCGUAUUCUUGGACUUGAGGGCACACCUGAGGGAGUUGAGGACCAAGGCAAGCUAACCCGAGUAGCAGCUGUAUGUUUCACAGCCCUUGUUGUAGUAGCAUAACUUGACGGAUAAAUAAGGUUGCACUUUGUCACACUACUAACUGUUUGUGUGUCUUUUUUUGCAUUCAGUUUCCUAUUGGGAUAGAUUCAGAGAGGUUUAUCUCAGCGCUAAACCUCCCCCAGGUACAGGAGCACAUAAAAGAACUGACUGAAAGAUUCCGUGGCCGUAAGGUAACUAUGUUUGUCCCGCCUUAUGUUGUUGAUAUUUCAAGGUAGAGCUUUACAUGUAGAAUCAUCUCGAAUGCUUAUGUUCAUUUUUGUUUUGAAAUAGGUGAUGUUAGGUGUUGAUCGUCUGGAUAUGAUUAAGGGAAUACCACAAAAGAUACUUGCAUUUGAAAAGUUCCUCGAGGAGAACCCUCUAUGGCGUGAUAAAGUUGUUCUGCUGCAAAUUGCCGUGCCAACAAGAACAGAUGUUCCUGAAUGUAAGCAUCCUAGUAAAUGGCAUGUUUUUAACAGUUUUAACUUCUAAUUCCACUUGAAAUAUCUCAUCCUUUCUACUGUAACUUACAGUAAAAGGAAACUUCUCAUAGUUCUCAAUAUUUUCAUGUUUGUAGAUCAGAAGCUUACCAGUCAGGUUCAUGAAAUUGUUGGACGCAUAAAUGGCCGAUUUGGGACAUUAACUGCUGUUCCAAUUCACCACCUGGUUUGUUUCUGGCGACUUAACGUUCUCUGUUCUGUUUUCAUUGUUGUUAUUGAAUAACCAGGAGGCUAUAAGCUCUGUCUUCCAUGAAAUAUCAUGAAUACUUGUUUUUUAGUUUUUGUGAAUUUGUUGACCAAGAGGCUAGUGAUUGUGUCCUGAUGCCAUUCAAUUUUGUUAAUACAGGACCGGUCUCUGGAUUUCCAUGGCCUGUGCGCUCUCUAUGCUGUUACUGGUAUGCUACUUUACUUACGCUUGUCAAAAAGUUGGCUGGAGAUUGAAUUCUGAUGAAGUGUAUGAGACAUAAGAUAUUUUAAACAGUUAGGCAUUAGUGCGAUUCUUUUAAUGGCGUUUGUCCCCAAAACAUAAUUCAAACUCAUGCUCAGUAAGUUGAUCACUACUUGUGAAUUUCUUACCUGUUCUCUAUUUCUAUUUGCAGAUGUAGCACUUGUUACCUCAUUGCGUGAUGGAAUGAAUCUUGUUAGUUAUGAGUUCGUAGCAUGCCAAGCUUCAAAGAAAGGUGUUCUUAUUCUCAGUGAGGUAGUUACAUAUCACUUAAAAGAUGUCUCUGUUCACUGUCUUUCUUUAUGAACAAAACCAAGUUUGCAUGUCUCAACCUCUUGCAGUUAGCAAUUACUGUUGCCUGUUGGUGCAAUUACUUCUAGUGACUAGUCUGAUCAAGCUUCUUGCAGUUUGCAGGUGCUGCUCAGUCUCUCGGUGCCGGAGCAAUCCUAGUGAACCCUUGGAACAUUACUGAAGUUGCUGAUUCAAUUCGACAAGCUUUGACUAUGUCAUCUGAGGAACGAGAGAAGCGGCAUCAUCACAAUUUCGCGCAUGUGACAACUCACACAGCUCAAGAAUGGGCUGAAAUGUUUGUUAGGUAUGUUAAUAUUCAUGUUGAAUCUCAAAAGUUAACCCGGUUUCUCAGGUAACGGAAAAUGAUACCGGGUAUGUUUUCUUCGCAGUGAGCUCAAUGAUACGGUGGUUGAGGCUCAACUAAGGACAAGACAAGUUCCGCCUUUGCUUCCACAAGAAGCUGCAAUCAACUGUUUUCUGAAAUCCCAUAAUCGGUUGCUCAUACUGGUAAUGCUUUCAACCUAAAGCCACCAUCGUGCUGCUCAGUUUUCUCAUUUUUCAUGCAUAAUCUACCUUUCGAACAAUGUAGAAUUUCUCCACAUUAUUUUUCUACAUCAGCCAUAUACCGGAUCAGUCAUUUUCUCUCUGUGAGCACGUUCUUGAUCUUGGCGUUUUAAUGUUAUAUCAAUGCAGAAAGAUUCCAUCUUUAGGUUGUGAAAUCAGUUAUUUUGUAAAUGAAAAGAGUAUUUUGUGUUUGUGAAUUGAUCAUGUUUGCUGUUAAUUUUCUUUCAGGGAUUCAAUGCUACGUUGACAGAGCCAGUAGACACUCCAGGAAGAAGAGGCGAUCAAAUAAAAGAAAUGGAACUUAAAUUGCACCCGGAGCUCAAGGAAUCAUUGCUAAAACUUUGCCGUGAUACAAAGACCACCAUUGUUGUCCUCAGUGGUAGUGACAGAGGUUUGUUAGAUGAGGUGAGUUUGCUUACCUUCUCCCUCUCCCAUUUCUCCUCAUCUGUUGUGAUAACACGGUGUCCUCAUUUUUUUCGUAGAACUUCGGGGACUAUGACAUGUGGCUGGCGGCAGAACAUGGCAUGUUUCUACGUCUUACGAAGGGAGAAUGGAUGACAACCAUGCCGGAACACUUAAACAUGGAGUGGGUCGACAGUGUAAAGGUGAAUAUUUUGUUUCAUAGGAAUAAGUCUACAAAUUUUUCACUUUUAUAAAGAAAUGUGACACCUUGAACUUGUUUUCAGCAUGUGUUUGAGUACUUCACAGAGCGGACACCAAGGUCACAUUUUGAGCUCCGUGAAACAUCACUUGUGUGGAACUACAAGUAUGCAGGUAGCUGUCCUCCACCGUACUCGUACCGGUAUUUUAGUGCAAAUUUAUUUGUAUUCCCCUCCCUAAAUGGUGGUUCCAAUGUUAUGGUAGACGUGGAAUUCGGAAGACUUCAAGCGAGGGACAUGCUGCAGCACCUCUGGACUGGCCCGAUUUCAAAUGCAUCAGUAGAUGUGGUCCAAGGUAGCCGGUCAGUUGAGGUUCGAGCAGUUGGCGUAACAAAGGUAAACAAUGUAACUUCACUGCAUCUCCUGACUGAAGUGUGUUCUAGUUCUAUGCACAAUUUUAAUCUUUUACUUAUAUUAAUGUCUUUCUCAUAUUCAUUCAGGGUGCAGCAAUCGAUCGUAUAUUGGGAGAAAUUGUUCAUAGCAAGCAAAUGACAACACCAAUUGACUAUGUCUUGUGUGUCGGCCAUUUUCUGGGAAAGGUAAUUCCGAAAGACUUCAUAGUGCCAUGGAUACAUCGAAAUUCAGUUGCAAUUCAGUUGUAUUCUUGUUCAUCCUAAUUUGCUGAAAUAUCUCAAAAGAUGGAUUCACAGCUCAGCUCAGUCAAGGAUCAUGCUUACUGUGCAUUCUGUCGAUUGUGAUUCGUGAAUUUUCAUGUUUGUGCUGUGAUUUACUAUCUUGAGAUGAACGAUUCGCUACGAAGCCAUAGGAGAGGAUGUCGUAGGGAGGCAUUAUAGGUGUACAUAUUAACUAACUUCAACUUGUAGUAAUUUAUGCUUAGGAAAAAGAUUCUUGUCCCACAGUGGGACAAAUUUUCUUGCUUGACUAAAAAAAAAACAGUGCGAUCGGAAAAAAUUUGCUUAUACUAUAUUCGAUCGAUGAAGUUGUUGUGAUAGAAGAUCAACCUUGUUGAAUGAAAUUUAGAAUACGGUAAGUCAAUUAGUUGACGAAUCUAUGAUUCUCAGAAAUGCUUUCAUGAUUUGCCUGUAGGAUGAAGACGUAUACUCAUUCUUCGAGCCGGAGCUCCCUUCCGACGGACUAGGUGUGAUGAGAAGCAAGCAAAGCGAGAGUUCGAAGCCAGCAGGGGAAAGACGGCCUUCUUCACGGAAGCUCCCGGGGAGCAGCAGCAGAGGGGGAGGAGGAGCAAAGGCAUCAUCUCAAAGUAAGCCUAUUCAGCGCGCUGUUCUGCACCCGGAUAGACUGAGCAGUACUAGUUUCAGCAACAGCAACGGGCGUAGGGCAUCUCCGGAGAAGAUAUCGUGGAAUGUGCUUGAUCUCAAGGGGGACAACUAUUUCUCUUGUGCAGUCGGGAGGACACGAACGAACGCUCGCUACAUGCUCGGAUCAUCGGAUGACGUAGUCUCGUUUCUGAAGAAGCUGGCCAAUGCAUCAUCGUUUUCCUUGGGGUAAAAAGUGUUGAAAAGGCUUGAACUUUGCAGGUUGUAAUGCUCCAAGCUCUUGGGAAAACAGCAGUCUUCUGGUAGAAUAAGAAAAAUGGGAGAUUGCAUUGACAGAAAUACAGACCGGCUCGAUCCAUGGAGAAUAAGUUUUGUAGAGGCUAACUGUUGGGGAGUUACAUAAUUCAUAGAGUGGAAGAAUGGAGCAGAGAUCCUUGGCCAUCGGUUCGGAUGGCGGUUAUCUGUAACCGGUCAAACCGGAUAACCAACAAUAUAUAUUUGAAGCUUGUAUCUAUAUGUGGAUUUCUGUAUAUUAAUUAACCAUAAGUUUCUCUUUACUAAUUAGUUUACCAUAUAAAGUUGAUAGUGGAUUUUCGAUCAUUGAUGAAUGAAGUUAAAUAAUAGUGUCUGCAACUUGAUUUAUAAUUAUUAGAAGACAAAUGCUGCAAUGCACAAGUGUUUUAAGACAAAAACUAUCUACAUGCAUUAGGAGUCCUAAGUUUGCUAAUUUAGUAUGUUAGGACCCUCUAAAGCCUUUUGAUUUUUCAUCAGAUCGGUUUGGUCAGUUAUACAAACUUUUCGAUUUGAUGCUAUUGAACCAACAAUAAAAGCCUCUCAAGACUGUUUCUGAAAACAUUUCAAGCCUCUGAAAUUGUUCAAAUCUUUAAGGGCAGUUUUUGCAGUUCAUUAAUCAUUAAUUCAACUCAAAUUGAUGAUAAACAUAGCAAAUCAUAAUUCCAUCUACAGAUAAAGAAUCAAAAUGUAACAUCUGGCUUAUAAUUCCAUAAACUGCUAAAGAAUAAAAAAAGUAGUAGAACAUGAAAUGUGUUCAGAGAACUAGCUCUGGAUAUGGUCUGCAGAAACAGACUUGCAGAGUUCAUAUGAAAUCCCCCCCACUAUUCUAAAGCUAACAAUACAACAUAUAAACCAUCACUACGUAACAUCCUUGCUUAAGCCUACUAACACAAUCAUACCGACUUCAAGUUUCAAAUAUGGCUGAAAAAAUAUAAUGCAAACUCGAUGCAUUUAGAAAAUGAAUACCAGAAGAACCCUCUAGCUUGCUAAUCGACAACCGCUUUAUGCAUCAGGACUUGUUAUGUUCUUCUCCCUAUGUUCUCUUGUUGGCCUCAAAUACGAACUGUAUCAACGACUCCUUGAUCGACAGCAACUCCGGGAACUCCUUCUUCAACUUCGAGGCAUCCAUCUCGUUGUUGCUUCUGGGGGCCACAAUGACCUUUGCUUGCUCCUCUAGGGUGAAGUUUGACCAUGUAAACUUAGGGUCGAUGUAUUUCUUGUACAUCUCCAGAAUCUCGUUGUGGCUCACAACACCAGGGUUUGUGAAGUUCCAGAUGCCCUUCAAGUUCCUUUUCGCCAUCUCGAUUGAAAUGGGUAGAAGCUCAUCCAAAACAGUCAUGCUGUUGGGGAUAUUGACGACUUUGCUGUAACGAGAGAUCUUUGUUAUGAAGUUGCGUGGGUUGUUCAAAUCUGACGAUAUCGGCAUUCUAACCCUGAGAGUGCACACAUUGUCAUACUCUUUCAGCAGCUCCUCAACCUGCAAGUACAAAAUUCACACAAACUGCAUCAACAUUUGAUUUACAGAUGACACAGAUAUUCCUACAAAUAGAAAUCAAGUUGCAAAAUAAAACAAAGGAGACCCAUACCAUGGCCUUAGUCUUCGAGUAGAAAGAACCAGUGAAGUUUGGUUUAUCUUCCUCCUUAAACCCUAUGCCAGAACCUUCCUUGUGAGAAGCAUCAUAUUCAAAAAUACAUCCUGUUGCAUAAUUCAUCAUGAGGAGGUUCUGCUCUCUGCAAACAUCUGCUAACGUAAGUGUCCCGGCCACAUUAGCUCGGAUGGUUUCUGUUUUGUGUGAUUCACACCAAUCAACAUUUGGUCUACCAGUAACACCAGCAGCAUUAAAAACAUGAGUAGGCUUAACAUUAAGAAUAUCGGCCAAAAGUGAUGAACGAUCUUCUAAGCGGCCCUUUCCAUACUCAAAUUGAAUCCCUUGCUUCUCACAUAACUUGCCAAGUAGACCACCAAUCCAUCCUGUCCUACCAUAGAUCAAAAACUUCAGCGCCGGUUUGUUGGAAGCGGCAGUGGUUCCCGUUUUAGAAACUGGAACCACUAUUUGGCUAGAGUUUGAGGCAUCUGACCCAGACUUGCCAUCUUCAGAACCAUCAAAGUGUCUCCCACCAGGCAUCAUUAGCAUUCUUGGGUGAGGAAGCAAGGCACCUGAGACAUCACCCCACCAAUCGGGAUUCUGAGUAUACCAUUCAAUAGUCUUCUUCAAGCCAUCCUCCCAAAUAGUUCGCUCGGACCAGCCCAAUUUUUUCAGCUUCUCAUCAUCUAGGAAGUACCUUUGAUCGUUAAAGGGUCUGUUCUCAACAAACUUGAUGCUAGACUCGGGAUUCAUAGAGAAAAGCUUGCAUAUAUCUGUGGCAACAUCAUUGACCCUCCUUUCCUUCUUUGUUCCAAUAUUGUAUACAUGGCCAACUUCUCCCUUAUGGAGGAUCACCUCGAAAGCCUCAGCCACAUCCUCACAGUACAAAUAACUCCUCACAUUGGUUCCAUCCCCAUGGAUCGGCAGAGGCAUCCCUCUCAUUGCCAAGAGGAUAAACUUGGGAAUUAACUUCUCUGGAAAUUGAUUAAGGCCAUAAACAUUGUUCCCGCGAGUUGUAAUCACAGGUAACCCAUAGGACCUACCAUAGGCCAUAACAAGCAUCUCAGCACCAGCCUUUGUUGCCGAAUACGGAUUUGUAGGAAGAAGCUGUGAAGCCUCAUGGUUUCCCACAACAGCAUCCUCAUCAGUCUCACCGUAGACUUCAUCAGUGCUCACAUGGAUAAACCUCCUAAUCUGGCCAGUACGUGAGUUUGCGCAGCAAAGUGCAUGAUCGUGUCAAUAGAUUCAGUGAUGAGAAGGAAGUUGACAAGGUCAGCACUGCCGAUAUCCCCCUUGACAAACUUAAAGUUCGCGGAUGAUUUAGAAGGCAGCAGGUUUUUCAGGUUCGAACAAUAAUCAAGCUUGUCGAGCACAACAAUCUUGUAAUCCGGGUAGUUAUGGAUCAACCGAUUACAGACAUGGGAUGCGAUGAACCCAGCAGCACCAGUAAUUAAGAUGUUCUUCGGUGUAUAUGUAGCCAUGUCAACACAGCUUCUGCAACCAGGAGGACAUACAUAUCAAAAUAAGUUCCAGUUGAGAAACUAGAAGAAUGCUGUUACUGAAAAAGAACACAAACUGCAUGCUCUGCACGUAGAUGCAGCUUACAAAUACAGUAAGGUCAUCCAAGAAUGAAUCUGCUAGUCUACAGGUACUCAAUUCAGACAAGGAAAUAACAGAUAGUGGCAAGGACAUUGAUUCCACGAGCAUAGCAUAAUAGAGAACUGAAAAAGGUAGAUCUGAAAGGCAACACAAUGAUAUCAUAUACAUGUAUCAGGACAUCUCGAUCCUCUCCAGAUAUGAAAGAUCGUUCCAAUUACUGGCAAUCAGGAGCGAAAGGAACAUACAGACAACUAAACUGCCUCAAACUAGUCAGCUAGUAGCUAAAUCCGAGAUCAAUAUCACACAAUUAAAUCAAACGCACAAAUUUUCAGAAAACAUCGAACGAGUAACGACAAAGCAGAGAUACUACUACAACAAGAACACAAAAUCUGAAGAAAAACUACCGGAAUUGCACCAAGAUGUACUGUGUAGCCGUAUCAGAUUCAAUGCCAAAACGAGACGAGGGAAAAAAAUUGGAUCCGAAAUGGAGGAAACAAACCGAUGGUGGAAACGUUCACAUUUGUAUACAUGCAUAGAUUCCAGGCCAAUUACGCGUUAAAUCAGGAAAUAAAAAUUGAAAAACAGGAAGCAAUUUCUCUCGAUCUCGACAUUCAGAUCUAUAAACGAAACGAGAAAUGAAAUGAAGCAGUGUACCCCCACAGAUCGGCAGAGUGAGAUCAAAACACGAAGAAACAGAAUGGAAAGCUUUCAUGAUCGAAGUAAGGGGAGUGGGGAGAGAUGUAAAGAAUUGACUUACGAAUUGUGUGCAGGUCAAGAGGGAUUUCCAGAUUGAAUCCAGAAAUGAGAAAGCUAACAGCAGCAGCAGCAGAUUCAGAAGGAAGAAGAAACGAGAAAGGAUCUGGUAGAGAAAGGAAAGAGUGAUGAUGCCGGCAUUUAUAGUGUGAGGUGUAGCUGCUUGCAAUUGGUGGGUGUCCAUUUCGUAGUAUGAAUGUGCGAGCUUGCCCAUGAGAUAUGAUUGCGAUCUGAUCAUAAUAAUUAAAUUAAAUUAAAUAUCCCACCCUAAAUCAUUACUUUAUCAUAAUUAACUUGAUAAUGAUUUACUGCCCCCCAUUAUUAUUAUUUCGCCGCUAACAUGUCCAUCGAUGGAUAUUCAAUCAUGCAUCAAGAAUUUAAAACGAAGUUAAUUUGGAGACAGCGUGAAAUUAAAAUUGAAGCCAGAACUAAAAGUGUGUUUAGGUCAUAAUUAUACAGAUUGAUUUAAAUACGUGAAUUUGUAUUUGGAAUUUAUGUUUGGUAUUUCAAAUAUUAAAUUUUGAUGUUUGGAUGAAAUUUGAAUUUUAUAUCAAAUUUCGAAUAAAAAAUAAGGUUAAAUUGUAUACCAAUCUCUUUACAAUUUCAAAUAUAAAAAUAAUUGGAUCGAUUUGAAAUUCAUUCUUGCAGCUCCAAUUGUAAUUUUAGAGGCUGGACCCGGAGCUUCAACAACUUUCGUCAAUGGAAAAAAAAAUUCGGUGUCUUGUUGGUCACCAAAAACCAUCCUGACGAUGUCUUCCAACAAUGAUUCCAGCUACCGGGACAACCAUCUACCGGCAACAUCCGCCAAUGGAAGUCAGCUGCCACCUACACCAUCCACCAGCAACCUCCGCCAUCAGUCGUCACCCACCAUCGCCAUCAACCGGCAACUUUCACAGCCGGUCGAGAGUCCCAAGUAGUAUCAAAUUUGUUAUGAUUAUUUCACAAAUUAUUUGAUGCCUUAAACAUGGUAAUUUUGUAUGAAUAAAGAAAAAACUGUUAGUGAUGAAAAUGAGCUAGAACGUAACUUGUUCGUCAUUCCAAACUCAUCUCAAGAGUGCCAAUUGUUCAUUGCCAACGUUAUCUUGGCAGGACUACAGAGUGUGAUUAUGUAUUACUCUGCUAAAAGUUUCUUUUGCAAGGAGCAUGUUUGGUCAGAUAAACCAGUGCUGAAGGGCUCAGGCAGGUUAAAGAUUACCAGGUAUUUCCUGAAUUGUGCAUUCAAAAUUGUUCAAACAAACUCAACUCGGAUAUUUCCUCUCAAGUCUUAACUGUUCUUCUGCUGAGGAAGAGCUCGCCAUCCAAUGUCUCGUCUGUAGAAUCCGCCAGGCCAGUUGAUUGCCUCCACAGCUUGAUAAGCUCUAUCCCUUGCUUCAGCAAGAUCACUUCCUUUUGCAGUGACCCCAAGAACACGACCUCCCGCUGAUACAAAGUUACCAUCACAGUCCAGAGCAGUUCCGGCAUGAAAUAUCUUGACUGUUCCAGCUACAUCAUUUUCAGCUUCUUCCAGGUUUUGAAUAACACUUCCCUUCUCAUAGGAACCAGGAUAGCCAUUGCUUGCCAUCACCACAACCAUGGCUGACCCUGGAGACCAGUUCAGUGACGAUACUUCGCUUAGUUUCCCUUCACAAGCUGCAAGCAACACUUUCACUAGGUCCGAUUCUAGACGAACCAUUAAUGCCUGCACAUCAAAAAUAAACUUCAAACCAUGCAACUAAAUCCAAAUAGAGCCACGGACUCGAACCAUCACUAACCUGACACUCUGGAUCUCCAAACCGGACAUUGUACUCGAUAAGUUUGGGCAAGCCGGACUUCUUCUCGAUCAUUAACCCGGCAUAUAAAACCCCAACAAACUUACAGCCCUCUGCUGCCAUUCCUUUAACUGUAGGUAGUAUAAUACUCUCCAUAACUACCGACUCCAACUCCUUAGUUAAAACUGGAGCAGGAGAGUAAGCACCCAUGCCACCUGUAUUCGGUCCUGUAUCGCCAUCGCCAACUCGUUUAUGAUCUUGUGCGGAUUCUAAUGGAAUCGCAUUGUCUCCGUCCACUAGGGCAAAGAAAGAUGCUUCCUCUCCCUCUAAGAAUUCCUCAACAAUGACUUGACAACCAGCCGAACCAAAAACGGCAUCAACUAGCAUGGAAUCAACAGCUUCAAAAGCCUCCUCCAGCGUCGUUGCCACGAUCACUCCUUUUCCGGCAGCCAAUCCGUCUGCUUUGAUCACUAUAGGAGCCCCUUGCUCUUGAAUGUAUCUCUUCGCUGCACCUGAAUCACUAAAUGUUUGGUACUGCAAUGUAAUGGUUAGUUAGAGCCUACACAACAAAACGACUAGUAAACAUCAUAAACACCAGAAGGUUUGUAAACCUUGGCAGUGGGAAUUCCAUAUUUGUCACAUAUGAUCUUCAUGAAAUUCUUGGAGCCUUCCAAAGCAGCAGCCUCUGCUGAUGGACCGAAAACAGGAAUACCGGACUUGACUAGGUCAUUUGCAAGGCCCGAAACUAGUGGUAACUCUGGCCCGACGACAACGAGUCCUACACCGUGUUUGCGGCAGAAGGAGAUUACAGCUGAACUAUCAGCAGUAUUAAGGUCAGGGACACAUGUGGCGUCGUUGGAUUUCGAAAUCCCGACAUUACCAGGGGCACAGUAGACAGUUUCACAAGAGGGAGAUCUCUUUAGGGCAUAGCAAAGAGCGUGUUCCCUUCCUCCUCCUCCGAUCACCAAUACAGCCACUCUCUUAUCUGUCACACAGGGCCAUCAUCAUACAACUAAAGAUUAAAACAUGACUUAACAAGCAGAGCUGAUUAGAGAAAAACUAUGUUCAUCAUACAACAUGAACUAACUUGAUCAUACAACAAUUUCACAACCCUUGACCACUCAAGCCACCAUAUUGAAAUUGAAAACUCACAACACAAGAAUGGAAUAUAACUUAGAGAAAAAGUAUACACAAGAACGUAUCGAGAUUACCUGGUGAGUCAGGAAAUGAUCCUGAUUGCUGCUGGGGAACACAAGCACGCCAGCAGGUACUAAGCAGUCUCGAGUGCUGAGUGUCAUUCACGCAAUGCUGCCAACUGCUGAAAAGUCUUGGGAAGGACACCGAAGCAGAAGAAGAAGAAGAAGAAGAAGAAGAAGAGAUAUUUCUGGGUAAAUAAAAGGGAGCUGAGAAAUUAAGUUUGUUGAUGACGACGGGGAGCAGUCUACCGGAAGGUGCAGAGACAUUGAAGGAAGUGAGGCACACCAUUUUUUUAUUUUUGGGUAAAUGAUGGGAAGGAGAAAGCUUUAUCGGUUACUGCUAUUUCGCAGCUAAGAACAUCAUCGAGGUGACGAACAUGGCGGGGAUCGGUGGUCGGAGCGCCAGAGAGCUCAGCUGCUCGUAGGGGAAGACUUCGACAACGGCCUUUGGUUAUUGGCGGCGGCGCGGACAACGGGCUUUUGAGGUUUUUGCCGAUUUUGGUGCUGAGAAGGGAAACUGGGCUGAGUUGGGCUGGGCUUCCUACGACCCACAUUUGUACAAUUGUUACGUGUACAAAAUCAAUACAAGAUUUUAAGUAUAAUUGUACUCAGUGUAAGAAUUUAAAACUCUAAGGAUAUGAGUUGCGUAUUUGUGAUUUACGCUUUGUGUACACGCUCAUAGACGAGUAUAUUUAGUGUUUGUUUUUUACUCGUAUAAUUUCUCAUAUUUGUGUCCACACUUUCUUUACAUGAUUGAUUGAGUUUACGAAUCCAACGAUUUAUAACGUUAGAGGUGUUUAGAGAUAGCAUUACGACGAUAAAAAAUAAUAGUUAGACUAUUGGAUGAUGAUUCUUCAUUUCCCCUCUCUAAUCAAAACCAUUAAUUCAAAGUAAUUAUAUGACAUGUGAUGUAUAGGUAAUAAUUUCCACAAUUUUGUUUGUUCCAUUCCGAAAUUAGGAAUACUAAUAUAGCUAGUCCAUCAUGUUAAAGUAGUAGUGAGACAAACUAAUGCCACUGAGUUUGACGCUUUGAUUGGUAGCUGCAUUGACACUUUUGAUAACAAGUAGUUUCACGGUUAGGUUUAUUUAGAGAAAUCGACGUAAAAUUGUUCAUAAACUAGUUCAACGAUGAUGUUUAGUUCCAUCAUUUUUUUCUAAAAUAAAAGACAAUAAAUAAAUAGAUGUCCAUUUUAAAUUAUAUUGAAUUCAAAUUUGAGACCGUUAAAUAACCAAAUACUUAUUCUAUCGUUAAAGCAACUCUUUUUGAACGUAUUUAGUUGCAUCAUGCUUCUCUUAUAGUCUUAUCAUACUGAAAUGAUUUGCUGGCGAAUAUGUGUACUAUUUGCGGAUUAUUAAUGUGAUUGAUUGGAUGAUUGAGAUUUUCUUAAAGUGUCUUUCUUGUCACUAAAUUUAGAUCAAGUAACAAAUCGGUCACUGACCAUUAUUUUUAACUUAAUGGUUGGUGAGGGAAAAAAAAGCGGUGUGUUAAAUUUGUCAGUGUUUGGGACUGUCAUCGGCCGGCUCAUCGCACUGUAGACUGUAGAGUGUCGACAUAGAGAGCAGCGAUCUAAUUCCGACGAAGAAGAUGAAACCACUGCCAUUGACGACCGCCAAAACGCCUGUGAAAUUCAGAAUGUAAACGAGACUUUCCCUGCUCCUGACUCUCUCUCUCUUCUCUAUUAUUGGCUACUAACAGUAAAGUUUUCAUCUUUUGCAGGCCAACGUCUGAGAACCUAGUACCAAUUCGCUUGGAUAUCGAAGUUGAUGGACAGCGCUUCAAAGACACCUUCACCUGGAACCCCUCUGGUAAAUUUUGUAGUUGUACUUUUUCGGGUUCGUUUCCUAGCUUGUAAAACCCUGGUGCGAUUUGAUACCCUUGGAAGACUGAAAACUUAUCAUUACAAUGCAGAUACUGAUUCAGAAGUGGUUGUUUUUGCUAAAAGAACUGUUAAAGACUUGAAGCUUCCUCCUUCUUUCGUUACGCAGAUUGCACACUCUAUUCAGGUUUGUAGGAUCAGGACCAAUUUUAAAUAGUUAGCACUCAGUUCUUCUAACUGGGAAGAGGAUUAUCUUUUACUGGCUCUCCUGUUUUGCAGUCACAGUUGGGUGAUUUCAGAUCAUAUCAAGGGCAAGAUAUGUUCACUGGGGAAAAGAUUGUCCCAAUCAAGGUUAAUAUUUUCCCUUGUUUUGUUAUUUUGCUCAUCAGAAGAAUAUUAUCUGCUGUUUACCUUUAUUAAGCUUCUUGCUUUGUCUCAGCUGGAUCUUCGUGUUAAUCACACUCUUAUCAAGGAUCAAUUUUUGUGGGUAAGACUUGUUCACCCUAGCAUCAGCUAAGAUAAGAGGAAAAAGAACUGGCUGCUUACUGUUUCAGUGUUGUAUAUGAUCCAGGACAUGAACAACUUUGAUAGUGACCCUGAAGAAUUUUCUAAAACCUUGUGCACUGAUUUGGGUAUUGAAGACCCUGAAGUUGGGGUAAGCAAAGUUCUUUUACUACUUCAUAUACCUUCUACUUCGUUUCUUUUUCGUUGUAUGUUUAAUGUUGAUUCUUCUCUUCCAGCCCGCAGUCGCCUUUGCUAUCAGAGAACAACUUUAUGAGGUUAGCAUGGUCUCUUGAUUUUAUAGAAACUAUGUGCUCAGCUUAACCUAAUUGGAAUACUUUUUAUAUAAUUUGGCAUGUGUUAAUUGUUACCUGCUAAUUCUUGCUAGGUUGCUAUUCAAAGUGUAGCAACAGCAAGGGAAAGUCGAAUUUCCAAAAAGGGCCGUCGCAGUGGUGAAUAUUCUUCCAGUUCCAGGUCUGGGCUUCAUUACUCUGCUUCGAUGAUGUUCUUAAACCUCAUUUCAGUGUUUAUGCAGAUCAGUUACAUACUUAUGUAGUAGAUUAUAGACGAAUAUGUAACUUCGUUCGAGUUUAUACUACUAACCGAAUAGUGCCUUCCAAGCAGGACAACUGGCCCUGCACUGGACUUCACUAAGCUAUUCAGCAACAGAUACAGCGUAAUCCGGUUAGUUUUAGACUUUACAAAUGUCAGUCAUGUUGGUACGUUUUGCAGAUUCUGAUAAUGAUUCUUAGAAAUGGUCAAAGCUUUUACAAGCUCAAGUGCUCAUCCUAUUCCAAUACAACUGAAGUCUGGUUGGUAGGUCUUACUUAACUUUCAUAAUCCCAAAGCUGAUGUCUGGUUGGUUUGUUUGUUUGUUCAAUUGUCUUGAAAAUCAGGAAAAGGAAGGAGUGGGACCUGUACGAGCCAAUGGUAGAUAUCUUAUCGAGCGAGGAAGUGACUGCGCUUGAAGCAAGGGAAGAGAGGAAAACUCGAUGAGCUGUGAAAGAAAUUAACUACAGAAGCUGCAGCUCUUAUGUUGUUCUGCAUUUAGUGAUUCCUCGAUUAGCAGAUAAAGAUGUAGGUUUGGAUAAGUGGGAAUGAAGUGCGCAUUCGGAAGAAUCAAAAGGAGAUGCUUAGUCCAGGUAGUGACCGAAUGAAGUUCGUAUGUGUUCUUGUUUAUGGUUCGCUAAAGGUGGUUCGGAAUGCUUUGGACUGUGCUCUGGUUCUUAUGUAAAUCAUUAGAAGCACAAAACUCAUUUCAUUGAGCCUUGUAUGAAUAUAUAUCAGCAAAGCUACCAACAGUUAUUCUGUUGCUACACUGGAGAUUAAACUAAAUGAAGAACAUGGGAUAACAUAAACAAAAUGUCAAAAUAACGAAAAAAAAGAACAGAGUUUCACUUCAUUCAUAAUAAAAUUUGAGCAAAUUAGCUAACUAGCGAGCCAUAUAUUCCACCAUGGAAACGCAGCAGAGCUACUUUUGAUUGGGUAUAUCAUUGUUGCUUUUCUUCUUCUGAGCUUCCUUUACCUUUCGGUACUUGAUGCCACAUGCGUUGCAGAGAGUCUAGAAUUCAAUAUAUAUCACAAACAAGAAAUGAAUAUUAUUGAUUAUUUUAGAAGCAGUAGAAUAAACAGUCGACCAUAUGAUAAUACAAGUAGGUGCUUACUUUUGGCCCAAGAGGGCCUUUGCGCCACAUGGGAGUGUCAAAGUUGUCGCAUUUGCUACACCUUCUAUACGGGUUAUAGUAAUUAUAGUUUCCUGGUGGCGGUAAUCGUCGAGGAACGUUAUAAUUAUCAGUACUAUUGUUGCUCUCUCCCACCUCCCUCGUCAUCCUCUCCCUGAUAAUGUUUGUACUGUUCCAGCUUCUGAUGACGGUUGCAGCGGCCGGAGCUGGAGGUGGUGCUACCGAUGCUGCAAGUCCACCAACACCAUUGACCAUCUGGCUACGCUUGUCGGGGUUUAAGGGAGAUGUGACCGCCGGCAUUGCCAACACCGUUCUCCUGUCGUAGUUAGGGAAUUGUUGUCCGCUUGACGCUGAUGUGUUGACCCAUUGGUUUCCGACUAUACUAUCUGGUGUUUGGAUGUUGAUGUUCACUAACAACGGUUGUGGCAGACCGUCGUAGUUGUGCUCUGGUGAGGCCAUCAGAACCCGAGGAAGAGGUGGUGGUGGGAGGUUGGUGUACCUUGGAGGCUCGAGACCAUUGUUUAACUAUUGAAUAAUGAGAAAUAAGUAUUAACAUCAUAAACUAAAAAGUUAGAAACUUUCAAGUCUAAAAAACUCAGAAGAUUCUAAGUAGUUUAUUUUCUUCCAAAAAAGAACAUUAAAUUAUGAUUAAGUUGAUAACCUGACAUUAUUGAUGUGAUAGUCUAAGAUCGUCAUCCCCCACCUCCUAAAGGAUUUUUAUUCUAAAGCAAGAUAGGUACAUACCUGAUCAGUUUCAGUAGAGUUGAUGGCUUCAUUGAGAAGCUCUUCGUAACUUAUGGCGGUGCUUUCUUCCUCAAGAAUCGGGCUUAAGUUAAGAUCAAAAUCCCUUAUCAUCGAACCUCUGUGUUGUUCUUGGUGAGAAUCUAUGUGAAGUCUGUAAAGAAAGAGAAAAGGAUUACACAAAUAUGAUCAGAGUAUUAAAGCGUAUUUAAAGAGAGCAAAAAUUAGACAAAACGGUGUGUGAAAUAUUGAGUUUUUAGUCUAACUCAAAUGAAAAUCGAUUAAAUUAAAAAAAACCGGGGUCGGCAUAAUUAAUAUACAUUUUCUUCAUAACUUAAACAUACAUCGGAAUACUUAAGUUUCGAAAUAUUUUAAAAUCGAUUUAUUUAACCAAUCUAGAUGUACGAUCAAUUUAAUAUCACAUUUAACUCAAAAUCAGUUUAAGUUUUUAAUAACUCAUUUAAAAUUGAGUUCGAUUAACCAACACUAAAACAUAAUUAAUAGGACUCCCGCGCGUAAUGAAAAACGACAACAACAAAAAAGUUAGACAACUGCCACAAAUCUGACAAUGACAUGCAUGCAGAGCCGCAAGGCAAACGUGAACAACUAGGCGCAAGGCAAACGUGCACAACUUUGGUUUUUACUGUGGAGUAAUUUUUAAAAAUUUAUUAUUUUGAAAUUUAAUUAGAAUUUAUAGUUACGCUAGGUAUACAUGCAGUAAUAUACACAGUUAUAUUGGUAGAUCGAUAAAGAAUUUCAACCGUCUAAUUCGAACACAAUGAUAAUAGGACUAGUGUGGGAGCUAAGGUUGGCUAGGGAGAGCCACGACCCCUCUUGCCAGGCAGCUGGAAACAGGUAGUUUUCGAUUCAUAGGAGAUCGGUCUCAACACAUCUCACGAGAUAAGUAAGAGCAUGUCUCGUCACUUAAUGAGCAGCCCUAUAAGCCCCACUUGUAAAUUCAAACAAAGACUAGCCGUUAGGAAAGCUAAGACUUUUGUGAUGACUUUAAUUUAUCACCUGCCGCACAUUGAAUGCUCCGUCAUAAUAAUCUCGAAAACACUAACUCGGACAAAAGUUCACAGAUAUUACAUUUAUAAAAAUUGAUUUUUUUCCCCGAAAUUAUAUUAAAUUGAAUCUGGUAAUCUACCAAGUAAGCAAUGCAUAUUCAAUUGCUAAGUGAAAUGUCUCGUUCAGAGGAUAAAUAUGUGAAGAAACUUCAGCUUUGACAUGCCUAAAAGAUUACAGAAAAAUCAAUGAACCGAUUCGAAUCAAACCAUAAAAUAGAUCAAAUUCUCUAGAUUUUGGGUUGAGUUGUCUACAUUGAAUUACAAAAUAAUUACCGACCGGUCCAAAUCAAACCCUUAAAUCAAUCCAACUGUCAAAAUUUUGGGUUGAGUUGUCUUAGUGAAUCUCUCUCAAUCUUGCUACCUCUCAAUAAGAGGCUUUUGUUUGAUCAAUUGGUUUGUCCAAACUCCAAAAACAAGCAAACUCUAUGUCAAAAUUAAACCUUUCAGGAACAAAAUGAAUGCAUGUUCUACAACAGCCUCUCAAGUCUCGAAGCACACACCUUCGAAACCCCACAAUCCGAGCACAUAUUCGUUACGUAUCGACAAGGUACAUAGAAGUCUCCUACAUAUAAUUUGCAACCUCGGAGUCCUUCAUGUAUCCCGCAGAUUACUUCUCAUGUGCCACCAUUCUUCUUCUUCUUCUCCUCCUCAGCUUCUUUCUCCUUUCGGUACCUAAUACCGCACUUAUUGCAAAGAGUCUGAAAUUAAAUAUAUCACAAAAAAAAAGUUAAUGAAUAUCAUUUUCACAUAAUUAUUAUUUUAGAAGCACGACAUAAAUGCAUAAUAAACAAUCAACCACAUGUUAUAAAAGCAGGUGUAUACGUACAUUAGGACCGAGAGGACCCUUACGCCACAUUGGAGUAUCAAACGUGUUGCAGUUGCGACACCUUCGAUAGGGGUCAUAGUAUCUUCCGGGUGGUGGCAACUGUCGACGCAUCGGCAAGUUAGUGUUAUAGCUAGCAGCACUAUUGCUGCUCUCUCCCAGCUCCCGAACUGCCCUCUGCACGAUGCCAGUCAAGUUAUUCAAAUUCAUGCUGGCAUGUGUAGCGGCCGAAGUGGGAGAUGGUGCCCUCGGUGCUACAGACUCAUUUAAACCAACACCGUUGGGCAUUUGGUUGUGCAAGCCACGAUUUAAGCUAAACGCAGCCGUCGGAGUUCCCAAUACAAAUGGGUUGUUACGAGGGUAUUGUGGCCCCCUUGGUGCUGCUGCGGAUGGUAUGCUUAUCCAUUGACUGUUCAUGUUCAUUCGCGGCAGGAGGUUAUAGUUUCGUGGCGGUGAGGGCAUUGGAGUUGGAGGAGGUGGUGGUGGUGGAGGGUUGUUGUAGCUUGCGGGCCGAAAACCAAUAUUUAUCUAUUAAAUAACGCCAUUAAGAUUAGAGAUAAAAAAAAGUUGGAAACCUUUGAAUUUAGUAAACAAAAAAUUCUAAGUAAAUAAAAUAAAGCGUUAAGUUUUAAUUAGGUUGGUGACCUGGCGUUGUUGGUGGGGGAUGUUUAAGUUAUUGUUCUCCGUUCUCCGGCUAUUAUCACGUGAAAAAACAUUAAAUACCGACAUUAGCGAGGCAUUGUUUGAGCUAUUGUUGGUGAAUUCGGCUGAUACUGUAGGCAGUAUUGUGUUAGUGGGCCCGUUAGCAAGUCCGAUCGUUGGAGUUGUAGGAAUCUCUUCUUCUUCUUCAAGUAAAGGCAGAUUAAGAUCAAUUGGUAAUAGGUUAAGAUCAAAUUCUCUCACCGAACCUUCCUUCUUUUGUUGUUGGGAAUCCAUUCUAAAUUUCUAGACUGAAAAGAAAAAAUCAGAUUAAGCAAAUAAGACAAGAGUAUUAUUUUUUACAAAUAAAUAUAAGAGCAUUAAAUAUAACUUAAAGUGAGCUGAAUAUGAGACAAAAGGGAAGUGUGGAAUAUAAUUUUUUUACUAGUUUAACUGCCGGUUGAUUCAAGCUGGUUGAACCAUCCGGUUUAUUUGGUCAAAUUGGGUUAAUUUUACUUUUUACGUCAACCACCAAACCGUUAUAGGUGUAGUCAUCGAUUUCAAUCGGACCAAUCGAACCAGCCAGUCUAAUUUGNNNNNNNNNNNNNNNNNNNNNNNNNNNNNNNNNNNNNNNNNNNNNNNNNNNNNNNNNNNNNNNNNNNNNNNNNNNNNNNNNNNNNNNNNNNNNNNNNNNNNNNNNNNNNNNNNNNNNNNNNNNNNNNNNNNNNNNNNNNNNNNNNNNNNNNNNNNNNNNNNNNNNNNNNNNNNNNNNNNNNNNNNNNNNNNNNNNNNNNNNNNNNNNNNNNNNNNNNNNNNNNNNNNNNNNNNNNNNNNNNNNNNNNNNNNNNNNNNNNNNNNNNNNNNNNNNNNNNNNNNNNNNNNNNNNNNNNNNNNNNNNNNNNNNNNNNNNNNNNNNNNNNNNNNNNNNNNNNNNNNNNNNNNNNNNNNNNNNNNNNNNNUUGAUAUUAUUAUUUUGUUAUAGAUAAUUUUGGAAGGGAGAAUCAAGCUAACAAACAAACAAAUUAAACAUCAACUUCGAUUGAGAAAUCGAUCUCUAAACAAUCUGAGAGAUAUGAAAGAACCAGGCGCACCACUAUUUGAGCGGUUGACAAGUCCGUUAGCAAUAAUUUAUCUUUGAGUAUAAUAAAACUGACGAUUGUCGAUUUUUGUAUGUAAGAAAAAUGAAGCAGGGUGUUCAUGUGGAAAAAAAAAGACAAUCAAUCAACAACAAAAAUUGAAAGAUGAAACUAAACGAAGAUUUGAUUCGGAAAAAGUAGUACACAAGAACUUACAAUUGCUAGACAGGAGGAAGACUAUGCAAGUUCUGUGUGCGUUCAAUGGAAAAGUUGACGCUUUAUAUAGCAUCAUUACACGCUCCGGUCUCAUAAUACAUAUGGAAACUAACUUAAUGUAAUUAAUUUAUUUCCAUAUAUGUGUGAAUCCAAUCUAUUAAUUUUUUUUUGUCAUAAAUAGUGUAACGCACAUUUGACUGGUUAGUCUGAACCGUUGGCUAGACUACAUAAUAGUACAAUCUGAAACCAGUGAUUCAAGACUAGUCUUUGCUGGACGAACGUUGUCAGUAGGGCAACAUAAACCAGCCAACGGCCGUUGUCAGGUAUCGACUCAAAUGUCGUUAUGCAGGCAACAGUCGUUGUCACCUUCAGGAUAAAAACCCCUUCUCCGUGUUGAGAGGAUAUUAUAUUCUACAUUUUCCUGACUCUGGAGUUCAAUGAUUUUCUCUGAGUUCAUAAACCUGUUUCGUCUCAAUACUUCAAGGCAAGGUUAGGGAGAGCAUGGACGAAGCUAGGCAGGACAAGUGGGUGCACGGGACCCAUUUGGUCAAAAAAGAAAUUAAAACUAAUUUAUAUUUUUGCGUCAAAAAUCUAAAUUGAACUUGAAACCCACUUAAAAAAAUUUGAAAUACUUACCACUCUGUUACAAUAUUUUCUAACAUAGAUGUUUUUUAUUUUGCUCAGAAUAGAGGUAAACGAAAAACACCUCCAACAAAAUAAGUAACGAUUGAUUCUGCCUCAACAAGAGAAGAGAUCAAACACACAAGAAGAGAGUUGCGAUGGAGGAGGAGACAAGAGCAAGUGAGCAACUGGAUCUUCAACUGACACACCACACUUUGCAUAGCGUUAUUGGAGGAGGAGACAAGAGCAAGUGAGUAAGUCAUCGGAGGUCUACAUUAUCAGAUCGUAGCACGACCAAAAUGAACAAUAUCAUUGCCAUUGAUUUAAAAUUUAAGUGUUAAUUUGUAACUUGAUCCAAUGUUACAUGACCAAUUUGGCCAAGUUCUCCCAUAGUUUCCCUACGAAGGUUGAUAGCAUAAUUAUUGGUAGCCGUUUUGACCCCACCUUAAAUAGUUUUUGCUCUGAUUUUGACGAUAUUUGAUUGUUAGAAGCGCCCGCUUUGAUCACAGUUGCAUUUCGUGCUCGUUUCCUCUCAAACGGAUCAUCUCGGUUUGUUUCACUUGUUUCUUGGAGUGUAUUCCUUGAGUUCAGGUAUUUUUUGGAUAGAGGGUUCGACUAUGAAGCCAAUGGUACUUUCCGGAACGAAAUCAGAGUCCGAAUGAAGAAGUUAUUGCCGAAAGAAGUCUGGAGAUUCUGCUAUUGAGGAGUCACCACCGUGAUUGGUGUCACGACCGCGAUGCACAUUAUGGACAGAAUUCUGUUGUAUCCCCAAUUCGAAAUUUUUGGGAGAGAAGAGUCAAGGAGAUGAACUAAAACACAAAUUGACGAAGGGGAAAUUGCUUGGGAGCCUAGGAGCACCAUGGGGAUGAAGAUUUGAAGUUAAAUAGCCAAGGAUUCGAAAUCUAAAGGAGGAUGUACUUCCUACUUUGAUGGAUUGGCGGUUUGAAGUAUUCUCUACACCUCUCACGGAGAGAUAAAUUUUCCUUUUGUUUGGGUUUUGUGGAUUCCUUUAAAUUGAUGGGAUUGUUCUUGUAUGUAGUGAUAGGAUUGUAGAUGCAUGAUGAUUACUGAUGUGUUUUGCUAUCUCGUUGCAUCGGUUGUCCGUUUCCAUUCGAUUCGCAGUUUUCUCAAUUUUCCUUAUUUGGGUUUUCUGGUGAGAUUGAUUGCUGAGUUGUUUGUUGAGCGGAUGUUUGUGGACUUUGCAGGUGGUUUUAGGUCGUUGAGUUGAUAGACCUGAUCCUAAGACCCGAAACAUAUUGUUACCCAUGUUCCUGUCAAUUCUGCUGUUGUGCAGUUUCCCAUAGUUCUUAGAAUGAUCCAAAAUUCAAGUAAGGCCUUUUUCCUAUAGUCGUUUUCACCUUAGUUUUAUCUAUUGUCAUCGAGUGAUCUGUUUGCAUCCUAGAUUUCAUGUUUCUUUUAGUUUGUUGUUCUGUUUCAUUUUAAUCCAAUACAAACUUUUUAAAUUGUGAUUGAUUGAUCAGCGAACCGAAACUGAAUAAUGAAGGUCAAGUAGACCCGUGAAAAAUCAACUUCGAGGUUAUACCUCAAAAUAUUUAUUUGGUUCGACAAAAGGUAACACUCAAAUAUGUAUAGUCUAUACAUUCUCCAACUUGAUUGCACAUUGGUCACACGAGAAUCACACUACAAAUAACUCAAUUUACCCCUCUAGUAAUUAAACUUAGAUGAAUUGGAGAUGAGGAGAAAAGAGUCUUGGUUUAAGCUCUAAAAAAAUUAACCGAAGUAUACGAGAUUUAUCGGGUAGAAUCCGUUCAUGAUUGGAUACCGGACCGAUUUUGAUAUAUUGAAAUUCAUAAACUUAUUGAAAUUCCAACUGGUAUCCAAUCGUAAUUUGAUUCUACCCGAUAACUUAGACGUGAAAAGUAGAUACAUAAGUGAUCACUAACCCGGUAGAUACACCUGAAUAAGGAUUUUACAUUUUUGCCAUUUUCAUAGUGCAUUGAUUUAUGUUACUGAAAUCACGGCUGUGAUUCAUGGGUAAGAAAAACUCAACUCCCCCAUCGUGUACUGAAUCCGCCAAAAACCAAAGGUAAAAAGGGGAACUGCAAUCAACUUCCCUCCCUCCUGCGAGCUCUGCUUUAGGAAGCAAUGGUUCCAGCUGAAUCGGUGAUCGGAGCACGCUUAGCCGUAUAGGAAUCUCAAUUGACCAACCGAAAAUGUCUCAGCUCGGAUAAUCAUUCGGAAACCGUCAAUCAAUUACCAAUUCCAGGGUUCUUGCACUUCGCUAUUCUGCAGCCAUCAUCGCUUCUUUCAUUUGCAAUCUUCUCCGCCGUCGUCAGCGUCAGCUCCCCGCUUUUCUCCAGAUUUUCCAGAGGUCAGUUGAAGAUUUUCUGCAGUUUUUUCUGUGUAUCAAUCUGCUUCGGUUUUGUUGUAUUACCUGCUCCUUCUGCCAUCUUGAUUCUUUGUUACCGAGUUUCCGGAGUUCUCUAGCUUAAUAUAUGAAAGUUUUCCCAAGGCAUUGUCUGUUGCUUUAAUAAUUGACUAUGCACCUCCUUUUCGUUUGACUACAGUGUUGAUUCAUUACAUUGUUCCGGUUUGAUCAAAUUAUAACUUUGAUCAGCAUUGGAAGAGGAUGUCUGGAAGAAACCGUGGACCGCCGUUUCCAAUGAGAGGCUUACCGCCUAAAGAUGGACCAUUACCAUCCAUCUCUGAACAACAUUUUGGAAGGGGUCUAGUAGGAUCACUCCCACCGCAUCCUUCCUUGCUUGAUGAUAUUAGGGAACCACAGUUUGGUUUCGAUCCUCGGCGACUACCCCCUCCUCAUCCUGCAGUGAUUGAGGAGCGUUUGGUUGCUCAAUUCCAAGACAUUCAAGCUUUAUUGGGCGACAAUCAGCGGCUGGCUGCAACUCAUGUUGCACUGAAGCAGGAACUAGAGGCCACACAGCAGGAACUGCAACGGAUGUCCCUCUUUGCUGAUUCGUUGCACCCGGAUAAGGAUAUUCAGAUGAGGGACUUGCGUGAGAAGUCUUUGAAAUUGGAAUCAGACCUUCGUGGGAUAGAGACAAUGAGGAAUGAGCUUCAUCGUGUUUGUGCUGAUAUUAAGGAACUCACUGAUACGAAGCAAGAACUUACACGUAGGGUGCAAAUGAUGACGCAGGAUCUGGCUCGUUAUAAUACGGAUUUGAAACAAGUGCCGUCUUUGAAGACGGAUAUUGAGACUACAAAACAGGAAUUGCAGCGUGCACGGUACAAGUUUGAGCGAUCUUCACUCUUUUUAAUGAUAAGCUAAAGCUGGUCAUUUGUUGUUCAUUACUUUUCCUUAUGCAGAGCUGCGAUUGAAUAUGAGAAGAAAGGAUAUGCGGAGAAUUUUGAGCAUGGUAAGGUGAUGGAAAAUAAAUUGGUUUCAAUGGCUAGAGAGUUGGAGAAGCUUCAUGCGGAGAUAGCAAAUGCAGAAAAGCGAGCCCAUCCUGUUCCUAAUGUUGGACAUCAAGGUAUGUGUGACUUAGUUUCUUAUAGAACAUUACUUUUCCUGUUCCUAAUGGCUAAAGAACCGGGUUCGAUCCAGUUCCUAUUUGGUGGAUGAUUUGGUCAUGUGCCUUGCUUGCUCUACCUGAUGAUACCAUUACUAGAUUAGUUACUUGAAAGGAUUUCCCAUCUUCUAAUCUCUGUUCCUCCUCUGAUCUUCGAGUUUUCCUCUCUAUCUCUAAACUUGUUGUUUAUCCAUUUGUAGCUUAUUAUGCUAACUACAACAAUCCUGAAUCCGGAUAUGCUGGAAAUCCUUAUCCUGCUGGCUAUGGCAUGAACCCAGUAAGUAUACCAAGUAAAGAUGAGAUCUUUAUCUAUUAACUUGCUGUCACAUGUUUACUACUACCUUAUGAUUUGGAACUUUAAACUUCACUUGCAUGUUUGAUCCAUAUGCAAUCCAGGUGCAGCUAAACGCUGAAAGUUAUUCACAGUACGGAGUUGGCCCUCCUCCAUGGGGAGGUUCAUAUGAUAUGCGAGCUCAAGGACGAUAGGAGCGUCAUAAAGUCUCGCUAGGAUAUUAUAAGUGGCAUCUUAGGUUAUGAACUACUUCGAUAUAUUGCAGCUAGAAAAGGAGGCAUGGAACGCUGGGCAGGGCAUGCCACUUGAAAGAGUGUCCAAGAUUCAACAUCGCUGUCACGAAUCUAAUUCGCGAUAUCCUUAACAGUGAAACUGAGUUUUCAAUUUUCGACUAGCGAGAAGGAAAAUUUGUAACAGAUCUGGUGGUAGAUAGGUAACGAUGGAAAUAAUCUGCGAACUAUGUUUCACUCUAUUACAUUGGUAUUUUCCACAUUCAUGAAGAAAAGCCAGAACCAUCCUUCGAAAUCUAAGAGGGAAGGCAAAGCUCAUACUCAUAAGGAUGCCAAUCCAUUAUUGAGAAUGAAUUUAUCAAUGCAGGCAUUACCAACAAACGUGUCUUACAAGUUACAAUCCAACUCUGGAAAUCUAAAAGACGAUUAGAAAAUUGGGAUUUGCCAAGAAGGAUCAUGAAAUGGAGUUUAGGCACUGCAUCAGUACAUCGGUUUGCUCCGGUUUACCAACCGAGAUCCGGAUAUACCCAUUAAGUUCUUUCUUGCUGUAGUGUCGAACCAUCACACCCAUGUUCGCUAGAUCCUCCUGCAACCAAUACCCCAGUUCAGUCUCGUGUAUCUAUAACUAAAUAAAAGAUGCAUUGCAACAAACAAGGAAAGAAUUUGGGUUACCUUGAGCUUCUUGGCGUCCAUACCGGGUUUAACUUCACAAAGAAUGAAAUUGGAAUAGCUGGGGAAUGGUUUCAGAAAGGGCACUGCCUCCAGAAAUUUAUAGAGCCUCUCCCGCUCUUGUACCAAGGCAUCUUUUACUCUCUGCAUGAUUGGCCAUUGCUGUCAGCUAUGAACUGAUAUUAUUUGCUAUUGUAUUAUUCUAGAGAAUGAAAGUAAAAUCCAACCUCCAGGUAAGUGGGAUUCUCCAGUGCUGCACAUGCAGAAACUUCAGCAGCAACAGAAACAUUAUAUGGCUGCUUAGCUCUCCAGAGAUACUGAAUUAUACUACUGGGAAAUGCUCCGUACCCUACUCUCAGUCCUGCUAGACCUGGCAUUGCAUUUACAGCAACACGAAAUGGGGUGAGAAAGGCAACAUCAGAAGCAAGAGUUUUCGGUCAAGGAACCACCAAGAUACCUGCUCUUUUGCUGAAAGUUCGUAGAACAAUCAGGUUUUCGUGCUCCUUCACCCAAUUCAUCUUUGAUUCUAAACCUGAAAACUCGAUAUAUGCUUCAUCCAGCACAACCAGAAGAGGGAGUUCCAGGAUUUUUAACAGUUCUUCAUCUUUAAUUAUACUGCCACGUUACAGUUAGCAAAUGGUAUGAGAAAAAGGAUAACAGAAACAUAUGACAGAACAAUCUUAAGAGCAACUCAAACAAAGAAAAGUAGCUACAGACAUUUCACUAUCCAGAACCAAUGAUAAAUUUACCUCCCAUCUGGGUUGUUUGGUGAUGUCAAGAAUAUGCAUUUCGGUUUCUCCCGUCUAACAGCAUCACAGAUGAGUUCCACAUCUAAGCUAAAGUCAGGCUUCCUUGGGACUAUAAAUUGAGAAAAAAGAAUCAUACAUCUCUGUCAAUCACUACAUUUAACAGGUGAACAAAAAGGAUCUUCAGGUGACAACUUAACAUUCAGCCGUUCAUUUUUCAAGAAAAUAAUUUAUUUCUAAGCAAAUCCUAAAGACGUAGAAGCACCUUUAAUAACAUGAGCCCCAUUAACAGAAGCAUCAAACUCAUACAUUGUGAAAGUUGGAGGACAAUCGACAAUCUUGUCACCAGGAUCCAAGGUGCAGCUGCCAAACAUACAGGUAAAAUGUCUAUAAAUGAUAGAAACAACACAAACUGAGCAAUUUGUGCACACAAGACUAUGCAAUGAAUAAUAUCAUAUCCUUACCGCAUAAUAAGAUCAAUUAGCUCAUCUGCACCACAUCCUACAAGAAUGUAGUCCGAUUCGAGGCCAGAAUCUUUUGCAAGGGCCUCUCGAAGUCUACGACUUUCAGGAUCCGGAUAUAUGUAAGGAAAUUUCAAAGAACCCAAAGCUUCCAUCACCUACAGAUCAUAAAAUGUAACAAGUUUAGGAACCACGUCUGCAUUGAAGCUACAAUCAUGAAGGCAAAAUCUUGUAUGACUAGAUGAACAAUUAACAGCACUUGCUUCUGGAGGAGGGCCAUAAGGAUUCUCAUUGGCAUCCAAUUUGACUAUAUCCUCAGCCUUCCUACCUAAUCGAGCAGAUAAAACCUGUGGAAAGCAAAGAAUAAAAAUUAAAAUUUCAAACAGAACAAAAGGCUAAAUCAAUCAAAAGGAACAAACUGAGCGGACAACAUCCCUAAAGCUUUAUAAGGGAUUAAAGAGCCUAACCAUGUUAUAAGUACUAAAGAGAUAUAUCAUAUGCCAAUAAAGAUGUCUCAUUUGUCAAUCAAUUCGACCAAAAUUAAGAAGAACAGAUGAGCAAUUUAAUAGUGGAAAAUACUGAUAGAGGAGCAACAAAAGUACCUCAAAAGGUAAAAUGGGCUGAUAGGGAGACAUUGUUUUCAAGUGCGAUCGAAUAAAUGAAUCGCCAGUCACUUUCUGUUUGUCAUCAGUCACAUUUUCUGCAGGUAUGCUGGACGCAGCCAUGGAAAUAACCCUGGUGCGUUUCUUCAGUUGAAAAACUGAAGUGGUGCUUGAAGGAACGAAAACCGAGUCCGGAUUAGUUUUCAGGGUGAUCAGGCUGAAAGAAGGGAUCUUUGAAACACCCACAACACUCAUGAUACCUGCAUUUACAGAAACGAAGGAAAUUGGUGUAAGUGCCAGCAAUGAACAAUUUCCACAGAAAUUUCAUUUGAUCAGUGAUUACACAACGCCAACAAGUCAAAUAACAAAAUAAAAGUGAACAUCAUAAGCAAACAAUAUAACUCCUUUUAAACUUUCAAGGGAACACAAUUGCAAAACCAAUAUCAGUCCCCACAAGAUGCUCUCUUGCGAAAAACAAGGGUUCAGCCAAAUCAUAAAAAAGUUCGAAACUUUACAUUAUGAAAACAGAGAAUAAAAAUGUGUGGAUAUGAAUACAGAAGCCACAGAAGUGCUAACCAAGCAUUGAAAAGGCAUGCAUCCGUUGAUGAACAAUCAAAAACAACCAACGGUAUAAUACAAAGGAAGGGAGAAGUGAAGUGUUGACCGUUUGAAGAAGAAGAAACUGAAAAUCGAGGAACAAGGGGGAAAUGGAAAAGUACCGACCAAGUCGGCGCCGGGUGGUGAAGAAUGGAUGGUGAGGUCGGCGGCGGACGGGUACAAGUGGAGGAGCUGGAAUAUGAGUAUCUCUUCAAAGUCUGAAACUCUAAACCUCAGAAUCAAUUCCCAUUUUUACCCUUUGCCUGUAUGCUUGCGGGUUUCAACGUCGGGUCUGGCGGGUUUAAUGGUUGGAUCUCAUGGCCCAUGGGUUUCUGCCGGUUCGAAAUUCCUAGAGCAUGAUUUGGUUUGUCAGUCCGGACCAUUAUGAAAUAGAAACAUCUGAUCGUAGUCUCGUUAAAUUAUUAAAAAAAAUCUAAUGUUGCAGGUUUGAUUUUGAGUAUGUAGCUGAGUAGUGAAAACGGUUGGAAAAUUAUAAUCAGUCUACUUAGAAGGGUUGAUGAACUGAUGAAUCGGAGACAAUCAUAAACACCUGCCAUAGGCGACAGCGACGCAGAAGCAAAAAGAUGCAGUCUUCACUUGCCUCUCCACUCUCCAACAACAAUAUCAGCUUCAAUCCAUUGCUGAAAACAACAACAACCUCAUGCCGCCACUUCAUACACUCCUCCUCAACCGCUCUACCCAGCUCGCUUAAAUCCGAUUUCCCAUCGAAGGCACUCCACCGACCGAGUCAGCUCAACCUACAGUGGUCACACUCACCGCCGCAUUCUUCUCUCCCUUCGAGGUCGACCGUCGCCCGCUGCGGCAUUUCGUCCAACAAUUCGAGUGCAAACGAGGUCAAAAGUAUCAGAGCAUGGGUUGAGGCUGUUACAGAGGCGAUUUCCACGGCAUUUCCAAUAUGGGUGUCGUUUGGUUGCUUGCUGGGACUCCUGAAACCCGCUUCUUACACUUGGGUUACCCCGAAAUGGACCAUCUUUGGACUCACUCUCACUAUGCUUGGUAUGGGUAUGACGCUCACCCUAGAUGAUCUGAGCAAUGCUUUCGCCAUGCCCAAACAGUUGUUUGCUGGGUUCCUACUCCAGUACUCGGUUUGUGUUCUCCCUUCCUUUAGACCUGUCGAUUUCAUUUGUAACAUCUCUGUUUAAUAUACUUGAGUUUGGGAGCCAACUCGAAUACUAACUCGAUUAUAUGGCUUGUUAGUAGAUUAGAUAAUGCAAUAUGUCACUUGGCUUGAUCAUAUGUAAUUUGUGAUUGUGCUAAUAAAAAUACAAGUAAUACAUUGUUAAUUGAGAAAAGUUGAAACUUGUAAAUGUUAGGAUAGCUGGAUGUUUUAUAGUGUACAAGCUUUUAAUUCAGCUCAAAGUGGACCUCUCAAGGGAGUUUGAAUGAACGAAGUUCGAGUUUGGCUCGUGAAGGGUAGUUAACAAGCCAGGCUCGAGCUCCACACGCGCUUAAGUUUCGAGCUCGAGGUAGAAAACCAAGUUUGAGUACAGUCAAGCCCGGCUCGGCUGUCAAGAAUGUAGCUUUUCUGCAGCUUUGAUUUCUGUGGUUUCUCUAUGCUGAAAGAUCAAGUGGAAUACUGCUUGCUUUUACAGGUGAUGCCAAUGUCAGCAUUUCUGGUGAGCAAGAUGUUAAAUCUGCCAUCCCAUUAUGCUGCUGGUCUAAUAUUGGUUGGUUGCUGUCCUGGUGGUACGUGUAAACAUAGUCUUUGCGUUAAUGAUUCAUAUAUAUUUUUCUUUUAACUCUCUUCAGGGUGAUUGUUCUUGAAUUCAAUGUUUGCAGGGACUGCCAGUAAUAUCGUGACCUACAUUGCGCGGUAUGUGCUUCUGUUCUUCGCUUUAUAUCUGUUGCACCUUAUGUACCAUCUUCCUGCAUCCUUAAGAAUCUGUUAAAUGUUAAUAUCAGCGGGAAUGUGGCUCUCUCAGUUUUGAUGACGGCAGUGAGCACUCUGACAGCUGUGGUAGGAACACGAAUUUGUUAACAGAUAAAUUGUCGAGGUACUAGUCUUUUGUUUGUUUUGUUUGAAACUAUUCCUUCGAAUUGCAGGUCAUGACACCAUUUUUAACAGCUAAACUAGCUGGCCAGUAUGUUGCAGUAGAUGCAGCAGGAUUGUUAACAUCAACCAUGCAGGUAAGAGUUACUGUCAUGAUAAAGUUGGAAUGUGGAUAACAUGUUAUUUCCAAAUUCUGUUAAGGGAAAGAAAAAAACCUGUGACCUACUAACUUACGACAAAUGCAGGUUGUUCUUCUUCCCGUGCUGGCUGGUGCCUUUCUAAAUCAGUAUUUCCAGAGCUUGGUCAAGUUUGUCUCUCCCUUGAUGCCACCUAUUGCUGUGGGAACUGUUGCAGUCCUUUGUGGAAAUGCAAUUGCCCAAAGCUCUUCUGCUAUUCUGAUGUCUGGCAAACAAGUUGUGCUAGCAGCAUGUCUUCUUCACGCUUCAGGGUUUUUCUUUGGAUAUGUACUUUCAAGGAUUCUUGGAGUUGACACAGCUUCUUCCCGGACCAUUUCUAUCGAAGUUGGCAUGCAGGUAAAUUGAACAAUUAGUGAGCUCUGUUGGGUAUUUAAUUUUGUAUCAAGAUCUCCAGAUGAAAAUUGAUUUUUAUCUCAAAUGUACUUCAGAACUCGGUGCUUGGGGUGGUUCUUGCAACUCAGCACUUUGGGAAUCCACUCACUGCUGUACCAUGUGCAGUCUCUAGUGUGUGCCAUUCGAUCUUAGGCAGUGUCCUUGCCGGAAUCUGGAGACGCAGUGUGCCUCCAGAGAAGCAGGAGUCUAAUGUAAAGCUUGCAUCCUCCGACUGACAGAACUGAUCCAUGCUCGGUAAUUGUUCUUCCUAUGGCUUGUUCCAAUCUUCUGGUUGAACCUCAAUGUCGGGCUGUUUUUGCCAGUUUCCUCCCAUUAUCUGCUAGUAUUAGCCGUUCUUUUAGAUAGUUCAGUUCUGUUAAUAAAUUGUUUUCCAUUGAAGUUAAUGCUAUGAUGUUAUAAAAGUAGGUACCAGUUCAUGCUUCUAGUCUAGUACCCUGACAUUUCAUUUGUUCAUGGGUUGGAUUAGGUUGUUAAUCUAGUUGGGUUGAACCGGAUGAUCUCGGCGCGUCUUCAAAUGGGUUGUCGAUUCGGGUUGGAUUGGGUUUAUCGAGUUUUUAAACGCGGUAUUGGAAAAUUACUAACUGCCUUUUUCAAAAAUUUGAUUCGUCUCAUUGCGACUGAAUGGUUCUCUAGUCGGUUUGUGUCUGGCGGACGUCUUUUUCAGGUUUUUAAUAUGGAUUGCAGGUUCGAAGUUCUGCGUAAAUCUAUUUGUAUUUGAUUUUGAGUUGGGUUAGAAUCAAUAGUAUUAACAGUUCAUGCAUAAGAUUCUCACAACAAAAAAACAAAACCAGAAGCAAAAAGGUCCAAACUUGGCUAAAAAAAAGAAGAAUUUUAGUUUAUUAGUGAUUACUGCAUGAAAUUCAUCAUUUUGUCCUGUUUUUAGGUGGCUGCAGUUUUCAUAUACAGCUCAGCUCAUUUUCCAUUUGUUCACUAAGAUCCUUCAAACCAACCAAACCCAAACCCCUUCAUAGUAUUUCAACCAACUUCGAACCUGCAAUCCAUUGAACUCCCAACUCUUUCAAUUCAGUUGGACUGGAUCCCCUAGAGAUGGCCAAAGAACAGACCUUUCACUUCAAAAACACCACAUUCCUCCCUAAUCCACCUUACAAACUCUUAAUCCUUCUCUUUCUCUUCUUUUCUCUUUGGUCUCUUCUCCUUCAAUCCAAUACCCGCCCCUUCCUUAGAAAGAGCAGCAUCAGUAGUCGAACCAGUGAUGUUGGUUCCCACAUUGUAGCACCAAACAAAGUCAACAACUCAAAACUCGUUUCGUGUCCUCACAACAUGUCUGUCUACGUCUAUGGCCUACCUUCCAUGUUCAAUGUCGACCUCCUUCGCAAUUGCGCCCAUUUGAACAACUACGUUAGUACGUGUCCCAUGUUGCGAAUCGCGUACUUGGCCAACUGCUUUUUCGCCGCGGGUCCGACCAUGCGGGUGAUGAUCAGUAUGUGUGGUUUGCGACUAACCAGUUCACUGGAGAGGAGAUUUUCCACUCUCGGAUGGAAAACCACCCGUGCCGUACGAAGGACCCCGUGCGUGCAAGCCUCUUCUAUGUACCGUUCUAUGGCGGGUUCCAUAUGUCAAGUAACAUGCAUGACGCCAACCACACUGCGCGUGAUGAGCAAGCAAUGCGGCUGGCCGAACAUGUCAAGCUACAACCUUGGUGGCAUAGAAGAAAUGGGAAGGACCAUUUUAUGGUCCUAGGCCGGACUGCAUGGGAUUUCAUGCGUCCAGACCACGAUCAUCCUGACCAUUGGUAUGACUACGGGCCUAACAGCAUGUUCAGUCACCCAACGGUUAAAAACAUGUCUGUGUUCGUCCUGGAGAGGCACCCGUGGGAAGGGCACAACCAACACGGAAUCCCAUACCCGUCCUACUUCCACCCUUACACAUCCGACCAGGUCGCCCACUGGCAGCGAAUCGUGCGAGAAUCCAAACGACCAUACCUAUUCUCCUUCGUGGGAGCAAAACGAAAGGAAGGUGAAUCAGCCGCAAUUCGAGACGAGCUAAUGAGGCAAUGCUCGGAUUCGAAACAAUGCAAGCUGCUCAACUGCACGACGGACGGGUCCAAGUGCAACGAUCCAACACGAGUGCUGAGAGCGAUGAAGGAGUCGCAGUUCUGUCUACAGGCACGUGGCGACUCCUUCACUCGACGGUCAUUGUUCGACUCCAUCCUGGCCGGGUGCAUACCUGUGGUGUUCUCCCAACACACCGCGUACACACAGUACUCGAUGUACCUGCCCGAUGAUACGAGGUCGUAUUCGGUGUUUAUUGAAGAGAAGGAGGUGGUGGGAAGGAAGAUGAAUGUAGAGAAGGAACUUGAGAAGAUUGGGAGUUGGGAAGUUGGGGAGAUGAGGAAAGUUGUGGUGGAUUUGAUUCCUAGACUUACAUUUGCUCAUCCAGAUGCCGGUGGUGAUAAAGGGUUUGAAGAUGCCGUCGAUAUUGCGAUAUCAUCGUUGCUGCGGGAAGUAAAAUAGAGAGUAAAUUUUAUAUCUGAGCCAAAGACCAAUUGAAACGUUCAACUAUGAUUUUGUACUAGCUAUCAUCAUGCAUGCAGGACUAUUUCCUUCUUUGACUCGAAUAGUGGCUCGUGAGCGCGCGGAGCUCCAUUAUAAUGACUAUAUCGAGCCGAGACUGUUACAUAUAUAUGGUUAUCGAGCUAGCUAGCUAGUUAUUUGUGACCUCGAGCCGCACUCAGGAGUGAAGUGCCUACUAGUUUGUUAAACAAACCAGAGAGUGCAACAUCAACUACAUCCUCGAACCCCUUAUCAGCAUCACUACUCGAAUUCGGAUGCGCAAAUGUCAACCUCGGCAUCAACUCUUCUACUAUCAGUUCCCUCAUUUCCUCCACUUUCUUCUCAUCAAUUUUCAACAGUUCUUCCUCAACGCUCUUUCCGGCCAUUAUCACCUCUUUCUCGUCCAUGUACACCGAAUACGACGUCGGGUCCUCCGGGAAGUACCACUUGUACUGCGAGUACGCCGUGUGCCGGGAGAAGAACACCGGAAUGCACCCUGUCAGCACCGCGUCGAACGUCGACCGCCGUGUGUACGAGUCCCCCGGUGCCUGCCAAUUAUAUAUUCAAAAUUGGAAUUCCACGUAGGAUAGUCAGUUUGAUUAACGGUGGUUGUUUGAACAUUGAAAACAUGCAUGCAACAAUAUAUUAUAAGAAUGAUUGCAUAAAUAAGUUAGAUGUCACUCUGCAUCAUCUAAAUCAUUUUCAUUUUGAAAAUGACAUCAUAAAAUACAAGAAAUAUCGUUGAUUCUGGGUACGUAUUUUGUUCAUCAACUUUUAAUUUCGGCCAGAAUCAUGAAAUCCACUAAAAUUCAGGCUUAAAGACUAAAUUCGUCCGAUUGGACAAUUCCGUACCUCUCCAAGCGGAAUACGGCCACUAUAAUCUAUAACUAGGCGGAAUUAAACCUCAUAUCUCACGACAUUUGAAAUGUCACUUUGUGGCGACAGAAAACAUAUCCGACAAAAUUAAUGUGAUGUCCAGAAUUAGCUUAAUUCGGUCAAUUUCAUGCCCAAUUUCAGCGCGAAAAAACAUACCCUAGGAUUCCACACAAUUCUACCGUCUACCAAAACCUUUUCGCGGUAAUAAAAUCAUAAAAUUGUAAGAUUAUAUUUACGAGAGGUAGAGAAUAUUUAGUUACCUGCAAGCAAAAUUGGGAUUGUCUCAUAACUUUGACGACUUCCUUAGGAUCAUGGCACUUGAAUCUGUCCCCAUUCUCCUCACUCAUCGUACAAUUCACCAGCAUACACUUCUUCGACUCAUCGCACUGCCGCAUCAGCUCAUCCCUCACGGCUGCGAUCCCUCCGCCCUUCCGCGGCGCUCCGAUGAACGACCACAAGUACGGCCGCCUCGACCCCUUUACAUCCUUUUGCCACGUCAUCACCUGGUCAACGUUAAACGGAUGAAAGUAAGAAGGGUAAGGAAUCCCCACUUGCCUCUCCCCUCCUUCCCACGGCUGCCGCUCCACCGUCAGCACCGUCACGUUUCUUAACGCCGUCAGCCUCAACAGCCCGUUAGCCCCGUAAUCUGGCCCACCAUCAUUAUCACUCCUCAUGAAAUCCCACGCGGUCCGGCCCAGAACCAGAAAGUGGUCCCUACCUUGACGCCUAGUCAGCCAGACGAGGUGUUGAGCCAGGUUGACUGUCAGCUGGUCACGUACAGUGAGAUUCUUUUCCCUCGCCUUGCUGGACUGGUGGAGCCCGCCGUAAAACGGAAUGUAGAACAGGUCAGCUUCAGUGGGGUCCAAUGUACGACAAGGAUAGUUUUCCAUCCUGGCGUGGAAGAUCAUCUCGCCGAUGAACUGGUGAGUGGCGUACCACGUGGACUCGCCGAGUGGCUGGCCGAGUCCGCGGUUUGCCACGUAAGGACACAUGUCCGUGUAGGAGUUCAAGUGGGCGCAAUCUUGGAGGAGGCCGGAGUUGAAUUCGGAGGGGAGGUCGUAAAUGUACACCAAAGGGAGGCCACGGCGGCAGGCGGCGGGUUUCUGGUUGUUGCCGCCGUUGUCGGCGGUGGGGCAAUGGAAGCGGUGAAGGGAAAAGAAGAGGAGGCAGAGGGAGAGGAAGAGGAGAGGGAAGAGAUAGGAGAUGUAUAGAUGGGGUUUGAAUCUCCGAUCUACUAGUGAUUUCGCCAUUUUCAUUUGGGGAAAGAAUUUGGUGCCGGAGAGUGGAGAGUUUGGUGCUGUUUGUUGAGAAAGUAAAGACAUGCAUGAGAUGAAUUGCUGGUGGUGGGAAAAAAAUGUACGUUAUGGACAAGGAAAAUGACACGUGUUUAAGUGGGUGGGAGGUGCAUUAAAUUACGGAAUCAUUAGUUACACUUAAUACGGACCAUCCGAACCUGAGGUUUUAGCUCCGGUUCUACGUGCGGACACGUUCGUGCCGAUGAGAUUACAGAAACUUGCAGCAGCUGUGCUCAGUUAAGCUUGUAAAAACGAACGAAAACAGGAGCCAUUAGAUGUCCCUACGGAGUUCUAUCUGUGACUCGAAUCCAGACAUUGUAAGCAUGCUAGUGAUUCGAAUUCAAUUGCUGCUACCAAAAGAACAUGGCUAAAGGUCAUACAAAGGAACGAAAACGGGAGGCAUCAAAUGUCCCUUUGGAACAUGAUGUAUUCAACCAAUUACACUUUAGUACACCAGCGAAGCAAUGUUGUUAUUUUGGCAUUGACAAUUCUCCACUGCGUAAAACAAUGGUCUACUUUACAUCAUCGCGUAAAUACAUACACAGCCGAAAUUACAACCCCUAAACAAACCUCCCCACUCUCCUCCUUCCCCCUCUCUUCUAAGACAUCCCAUAAUGAACAGCCCCCACAUUCCUAUGUGCUGCAACAGCUAUCGCAGCUGCACCAGCAGGUCCGUAAUGAGCCUGCGCCUGUAUCAGUUUCGCAUCUAUCACAAUUCGUUCGUUCAUCUGCUGCUGCUGAUGCUCCACCACCCUAACCUGUUGGUAGUACGGAUUAGCGUUCAUGUCCGCAACCAUUCCGGCAACAACAGGCUGCUUUGUCGCUGAAGCCGCCGAGACCAUCGGCUGUUGAGGCAGCGGUCUCCCAUGCGACAAGUUGUCCCUAUCUCUCGUUGCGGAGUUGGUCCUGAAGAAACACGGUGGCGAAGCUGUGGCAGUCGUCUGUGACGGAAGGAUGGUGUUCCGGUACAAAUACCCGUCUUUCACGUUUCUGUUGCCGUCACAUUGCACAAAUGAUCCAACGACUCUCCCCGGCUUCGCUGCAUUGCCUAUAAACAAAAUGAUGUUAAAACGAAGCACAAAAUGAUGUUAAAACAGAGCAAAGAGAACCACCCUGUUCCAAAUAUAAGCAAAAUAAUUACCUGUUGGCCCUCUUGGCGGAGGCCGCAGAGUCCUGGAUGCAUUUCCAGGAUUACUCUCGGUUCCUCGAAAGUUUUUCGAGACUUCAUCUGUUACUUGAUGGUUGUCAACUGAUGUUGAACUUGGCAUGUUAUGAGGCAUAGUUGAAGCGUGAACUGUUGGCCUGAAACCAGAGUAUCAACACCAAUUUGAGAACCACUGACAAAACACCAACCAUCACCAGAAAUAUAUGAAAUAAGCUCGAAGUGAUUAGGCCAUACCGAGGGAGAGAGACGUGUUUCCGCUCCAGAGGAAUGACUGGUGCACUCCGACCGCUAUUCUCUUCAAGGUAUGCAAACUGCUUUCUAAAAUGACCUAUCGCACUGCAUCACAACACGUGUUUUCAGUAAAUAAUUUGGAAAGAGAUGUGAUGUCAGCUGGCCAUGGAGAUAUUUGAAUCUAGAAGAAAGAUUACCUAGGAUAAAGGAAAUUGGUGCCUUCAUUUCCACUCAUAUAAUCUUUCAACAACUGUGGAUGAUACUCCAGUAUUUCUCGAUAAAGAAGCUCCCUUAUGUCCUCCUUUGUCACCCUUCUCCUUUCAAACUCAAAUUCCAACUUUGAGAUAGGCUGACAAGAAGGUUCUCUCUCAAUUUUGGAGAGGCCCCUGAAGUAAGGGUCCGCAAGCGCCUGUUAAGUGAAAAAGAAAUCAGUCAAUACACUCGAAAUGUAAUGAAAAACAGAAUCCCUCUUGUUUUCAAUGCUAGGAAUGAUUGCAAACAAAUGCAUACCUCCUCAGCAGUCGGUCUAUCCUUAGGAUCAAAUGCUAACAGCCUUUGAAGAAGACGAAGCGCUAAAGGAUCGGCAGUUGGGAACUUCUGUGCAAAUGGCACAGGCUGUUUCUUCCUCAUUUCGGUUAAAUACUUCCUCGCUUUAUCAUUUCUCACCUGAAAACAUAUUUUAUCAACAUCAAGACAAAAGCAGUGAGCAGAGAAAGAUGGUCAGAAAUGAAUUGUGGGAAAUACCCCAGAAAUGGUAUCCAUUGAUGGAGUCCCCAGAAGAUCAGUGAUUAGUUCCAAUUGGUGGACUACACUUUUACCAGGAAACAGUGGCUUCCCUGUCAACACCUCCGCGAAGAUACAACCAAUGCUCCAAAUAUCAAUUGCCGGAGUAUACUGCAUGAAAAAGAGUAGUCAAUUAGAAAAUUUGAAGGAGAAGUAUCGUAUGUUAAAACAUUUCAAUUAAAACACGCAGCAAAAACACAAAACCCAGCACAAUUACCUGAACCUCAGAAAUUUUCAACUUCCACGAGGGUUUUCAAACUCCUACCUGAACAAGAAUUAUUUUAAUCUAAGCUUUACAAUUUCACGCAUGUAGAUCAACAAGUAAGUGUCUUUGUUUAAUUUCCUAGCACAACUCACAACAUUACCGACUCUCUCACAGCAUCCUAUGAACAAGACUCUCUAGCCAAAGUUUUAAGAAUACUAUUUCCAAAAUAUAUAAUCAUAAUCUGGGGAAUAAACUUGAUUGAAAUGGAAAAUGCUGUCUAGACAGGGGUGUCUAGACAGGGGAACACCGCAAUUAUACUCAAUCAUUGAGUAGUUCUGCAGUAACCAUGAGUAGCAACAACUUGAGGUCUCACCCCAGAGUACCAACUACAGCAUAAACACUAACAUCCAGUUCCAACCAAUCAUACCUUGGAAGAGAAAGAUCCACAAAGCUCAGGCGCUCUAUACCAUCUGGUGGCUACAUAAUCCUGCAACAAGUAAUUGGAAAAUAUAACUUCAUGGACAAAAGGAGCAAUGCGGACAAAGGAGAAACCAAAACCAACAUGCCUUAUAUAUAAUUCAGUACAAAUACAUACCGUCCAAAAAACUGUAGUUGGCGUAUCGGUAAAUGCAACUCUUGCUAAUCCAAAGUCGCAUAUUUUCAACUUGCAGUUGGCAUUUGCCAAUAUGUUCUUGGGCUUAAGAUCUCUAUGGUACACAUUCGCUGCAACCAGACCAAAAUCAAGAUUCAAAAUCAAACAUCCACAGUGAUCAUUAACAAAAAAAACAGAUCAAGAAAGAAUGGAGAAAAGGAUUUCCACCAAGACUUAGCUCUUGAUAAAACGUAGGACAGAGAGAGAUGGAGAGAAUUUGAGUGUUUGACAAGUGCAUAGAGAAGCAAUUACCUGUAUGCAUAUACUUCAAUGCACGCAGCAUUUGAUAUAGGAAAAAUUGGUGAUGUUCGCGCGUCAGGUCAUCAUUAGCUUUGAUGACCUGAUGAAGAUCGGACUCCAUGAGCUCAAAAACAACGAAAAUGUCUCUGAACUCCCUCUUUGAAGGGGGUAGCAUAAUCCGCUUAAUCUCGACGAUGUCAGGGUGCCGUAGUAACCUAAGCAACUUGACUUCUCUCAAAAUCCGAAUCGCAUCAGAGAUGUGCUCAAAGACAUCGUGUAUCUUCUUUAUAGCCACUUUUUCGCCCGUGUGCGUGUCGAUUGCCGCACAAACAACUCCAUAGCUUCCUUUACCUAUGACCUCCAAAAUCUUAUAUCUAUUGGCAUCUCCGUAUUCGGUGAAGAACUCCAAAUCCUGCAGGCAUUACAUUUGAAGUCAGACAAAACACAUCCAUCGAUAAUUUAAACAUGAUCACAAUGCUAUGACUGGCAAAGAAACCAAAGAAGACAUCAGAACUUCAUAAUCCAGUACCGGGGCAACAGAAAGUUAAAAACUUGACAAGAUCACAGCAAUCGCAGUUCUUGUGCAGGGAGAAAGAGAUUUGCUGCAAAGGGAUUCUUACUGCUCCACAGAGGGAUAAGAAGCAAGCACUGGGUUUGCUAAUAGGGAAAGGAAUCCAAAAUGAUUUCAAAUUCAAGAGCACGGAACCAAUUGCCGAUCCGAAAAUUUCGACCGAUAGACUUAUCUAAAGCAUCCUUAAGCUUAUCCGGCUAUACAAUUACUCAUAUUUAAUGCUCUCAUUUAACAAAAACAAAUCAACUUCAGUGCCAAAAUCAGGAAAGAAUCCCUCGGACUAGCCUCCAUUUUCGUCGCCAAUUCCAAGAGGCAUGAAAGAGAGAUAAAGACGAGUAGAAGAAAACCAAGACCCAUAUCACAAAUUAGAAUUCUUCUUCAAUCGGCGACGCAGAACCAAUGAAGGAAGAAUAUCUCACCUUCCUAGGGUGGUCUUGCUGCAUCUUUGAAACUCCCGAGUCUUGUGAAGUCGGAAAAAGAGUAAUGGAUUAUCUCAGAUCAGAGAAGAAAUUGGGUAAAGCCUUACUGCCUCUCGCUCUCUCCUCUCAGGAUUCUACCAGAAGCCAAAAGAGAAUCCAAUUCAAUUCAACCCCCCAGCCGUUGCUUCUUCUUCCGUCGCCUCACCUAACUCGUGAAACAAAAUCCGCCGCGGGAAAGAGGGGAAAGAAGCCCUAUAUACCGGCGAAAUCCGUCGCAGAGAUUACGGAACGGUGAGAUCUGGAAGAAUCAGCACAGAGGAAGAAGAAGAGGAAACCAACAGAUGGAUCUGAGAGAUGGACAGAGAGAGAGGAGGAGGAGGAGGAGGAGACAAACACCGACAGCGCCCAAAGUGAAGAAGAAAGGAAGAAGGAAGAGAGAGAAGCGGUGGUGGUUUAAAUAAACCGAACUAUAUUAAAAAAAACAAAUUGUUUGUUUUUUAAAUUUUUAAUUCAUUAUCGUUUUCCGAUUUGUUUUUAUCUCUUUGUAUUACUAUUUUAUUAGAAUGUGUAAUUUUUCAUAAUCGGAUCGAAUAUGAAUAAGAGAAGAAUCAAACCUUUAAAAACUCGUUUAAAGAAUCAAUUACGUCAUUAUAUAUGGAAUCAAAUACUAGAUACGUUAUAACAUAUUAGGCGUGGUAAUUUAACAUUCAUGAUCGUUCAGUUCGUUAUUCAUAUUUAUAUGUACAUCACCAUUUAACUUAAAUUGAAUAAGAUAUCAAUAAAAAUCGAUUUGUACAAACUAAUAUGUUUUGAAAGAAAAUGACGAGGAAUCCCUUCAAGAUAAUGAUGUCAUGUAGAUUCUAAUAUGAGGUUAUCGACCUUCAACCCAUAUAUUUAUUUAAGUAGAUCGGAUGUGCUAUAAAAAGAUAAUAAAGAAUGUAAUUCUCAAAAUUUAAACUUGUGAUUUUUAGGUUGAAAAUCGAUAAAACUAUUACGUUCACUAUACCUCAUUCCGUAGAUUUUAAUGGUUGUUAAAUCGAAAAAAGAAGUUGAGCGGUCCGAGUGGUUUGUUUGGUUCUAGGAAGACUGAUUUCUUCACUUAAUUUCUACAUUUCCUAACGACUCUUUUUUUCUCGGUUAAUACAACAGCAUUUUCCUAUUUUUUGUAUUAGUUUUGCCAGCUGGAAAUUUCUUGCGAGCUGUUGGAUGUACGGAGACGGGUAGACGGCCUGCUUACUUAUUUUCUAAAAUUUUGAAAAAUAUUAUUUUUCUAGGAAAAUAGUAUAUUAAUUAUUAUUAUUUUGUAAUUAUUACUAAAAAGCGACCGACCAACCUUCACGCCCACACGUUUCGUGGAUGGAGAUGGACGCUGCGUUUUCAUUUUCUUUUAUUAAUUAAUUUUCUUUUAAUAAAAAAUAACCAUUUUCUGAUUUUAUAUACUGCAUAUGUAGUGAUAGCCUGAAUUAGUUAUCACAUAAGCAAAAUUGGUAUUUAGCAAAAUUGGUAUUUAGUAUUUACUAUCGGAUUAUUAUUAGUAUUUAAUCAUUCAAUAAUUUCAUUACAAUUUUUUUAUUAACUUAUGAAUUAAGGUGGAGUUAGAUUGAAUUAGAGCUCGAGCAUCUUAAUUUUAUAAAAAAAAUGAGGAGUGAGUAAGAUGCUUAAUUAUUUAUAUCGAAUAAUGAGGACCACAAGUUAUGUUAUGAUGGAUGAUGAAUCUAUAUUCCAAUAAUAUAUUUAUCAAAGUGCAUUAUUAUUAAUAAUUCGAGUAAAGUGCAAAAUGCUACCAAAAUAAUUUGUUUAUGCAGUUUAAGCAUUGCACAAUUGAGAUAAAUGAUAAUGGGUAUCCAUUUUGGUAAUGAACUUACUAAGUUUGUAACUCAUUAGUCACUUAGCUGUUAAAAAAGAGUAUAGAUGUCACAAACAUAUUUACGUAUUGUAUUUUACAACGGUAUGAUCAUUUUGUCAGUUUUCGAUCAAGCUUCUUCACCAAAGGUUGAUGUAGUCGUUGUCGUUUUAAUUUUUUUUUUUUGCUGAGGUAUCAUAAAUGAUACACGAGAGUUGGAAGAUAUAACAAAAGAAACUUAAUGAUAUAAUAAUGUAAAUCUAAAGGAUGAGUCGCAGAAAGGUAAUUUAGAACCUUUCUUGCCACAAAAUGGGCGGCGCAAUUAUCCUUCUGCAACACGUGCAAAACAAAAAAAGAGGUCGAAUUCCUAAGAAGAAGUCAACAUUCCUCUAAGAGCAAUCCAAUUCGAACAUCAUGAGCGGUGGAGUUGAUCAAACGAAUUAAUUCUACUGAAUUAGAGUAAAAAUAGUCGAUGGUUCGUAUAAAUCUAAUGCCGCAAUGGAAUAUAUAUGAAUUGAAAAUUUUGUUAAUAUAUUGAUUUCUUCCAUAUAAGUAGACCAAAAGAUCGGUUUUCCAGCGAGCAAGCUGUUAAUCAAUCAUUGAAGUGAAUAAGAACAAAGAACACAUGCAGCCCUGUUACGUUCUUCACCAAACUAAAUCACCCUAAUUAUUAUUCAUAAUUGACUUUUUUGAAAGAGUUACUAUAGAGCAUGCAUGCAUGUUCCCUUUGCUAAUUGGAGGAUUAAUAUUUAUUAUGCUCAUCAACUUAUUAGGUUUGUAAUAAUGUGAUCAUCUGCGUUAACAAAUAAUAAUUUCUUUAUCAUUAACGUAUUUCAUUUGUAACUAUAUUAUUAUUUUAUUAAUUGACGAGAGAUAUAAAAAAGAAUUAGUUUUCAAGCUAACUAUUUCAACCAGUAUCGUUCGAUUAUUGUGAUUAAUUUAACAUAUAAAAUGGUCAACUUUUUGGUUAAUUUAAUUUUAGUGGUUUAGAUCGGUUAAUACACCCACUAAUCAUUUUACGGGUCGCUUGGAUCAUGUAUUUGAAUUAGGUGUUUUUACCCAAAUAAUUCAGUUUUAGCCAAAAUACCUCGUUUGAUAUCCGAAACAAAAAUCAUUGUAUUUCAAACCAUGGUAUUUGAAAUAACUCAAUUUGAGUUAUUUCAAAUACUUGGGUAUGUGGGUGGUAUUCGAAAUCACUCAAUUCAAAACUCAUAAUUCAUUAUUCUGUGUUAGCCAAAUAAGAUAAGUCUUAUACAUCAAAUGUUUUGCAACUCAAGAAUAACAUAUUUUUAAAUAAUGUAUCAUUUUACUCUAAAAUACCUUAUUUAUAAAAUAAGUCAUGCAAACGAUCGAUAAUUAUCAACCAAAGAAAGAUCGGUCAACUUAACAAAGUUGUUACGAGAGUUAACGCACGAUAUUCAUAUAAUUCUCUAGAAGUUUGAGUACGACGCAAUGUGACAAACCCUAGAUGAAGAUCACGGAUAUUAACUGCCAAAAUGAAUACACGUUUCUUAUGAUCAGNNNNNNNNNNNNNNNNNNNNNNNNNNNNNNNNUAGGUGGUAAUUAUAACUAAUUUUAUUGUUGUUUGUUUGGUUAAUCCGCCACGUGGCAAUAUUGGACACCUUGUUAUUCGGAAGGCAAAAUCAGCCGUCAAAGACAAGUGCCUUAAUUUGUUUUGUUUGGCACUUAUUAGUAAAUCCAAUAAUGUGAAGAUGUGUCCUCCCCAAAACCAAGUUAAAAAUAAAAUCCAGUGAUGAACUUUAUGAAACUGUCGGCAGAAUUAGUUGACCCACUUUGCUUAUUUAUACCUUCAUAACUCAAUUUAGUAACUAAGAACAAAAGAAGGUGAACAAACCAUUCCCCCUUAUAUACAUUUUGGUUCACAUGUACACAUGGUAUAAAGUAUAACUGAAUUAAAAUUUAAUACCUCUAAAUUAAUAAUACAUAACAUUACUUAAUUAACUACGUAUUACUCCACUCAAUUAGAAUCGUAAUCUAAAUAUUCUCAUUUGGUGUAAGUUUAGUUAGUAAAAUUGAGAGUUGACAUUAAUACCAUGCAUGUGUUUGAUUGCCAUUGGAAGUUACACACGGAGUUGACCAGAUUAGGGGGCGGUGUGCCGGUGUCGGCUAUUCCGCGUGCUGCACUGAGCAUGAAAUCGACAAUUUUCACUCCUAUGGAUUUUACACGGCCACUUUAAAAGUAAUAAUAAAAUUAAGUAUGGAGUGGAUAUCAAAGUGAAGUUCGUCAUCACUUAUUUAUCAAGCAAAUUACAAUUAAAAACCAACUUAUACAAUUUAUUUAAAAAAACUUAUAUAUACUUAAAGGAUUAUAAAAUAACAUGUUAGUCUCGUAUUUAGUUAUACAAUAUUAAACAAUUGGACACAUAACAUAUACAAAUUUAAAAAUUUACAAUUCUAUCCAAACAAAAUACCUUUUUGAUCGAAAAUCAAGUCGGGUAUUUUAACCAAAUUCAAUACACUAGAUAUUGAAUAAUUAAAUUACUUAUUCUAUUAUAGCCCCUUCAUAAUUAAAUAUGUAAUGAAUUAAGAAAAUACAUGAUUGUAAGAUUAAAAUAAAAUAUUUGAGAAGAAAAUCAUAAUUAAGAGAGUAGGCGAGAUCCAUUUGGGAUGGUAUAUCCAUAGGAAUAUGAUAAUAUAAUCCAAUCAUCAUAUCAGAAAGUAGUAAUAAAUAAAUAAAUUAUCCUAUCAACAUUCAACACCUCAACGGCUUACAAUUGGAUUUAAUUAAAUUAAUUUAUCAAACUCAAAAUGAAAAUCAAUAAUAAUCGUUAAUUGNNNNNNNNNNNNNNNNNNNNNNNNNNNCGAAAAUAAAGUAAGUAAAUAAUUAUCUGAUAGUUUAAAUGAUUGGAACUUGUAUAUAUUUCUCAUAUUAUAUAUGAAUGAAUUUUGAACGAUACAAGUAAUAAUGUACUUAAUUAAGUCUGUUUGUUUUUGUUAUCUCAAUUUUGGUACGAAAGAAAGAAGGAUGGGAAAGAUUUGAAGAAAGAUUUGGGAAGGAGGAAGUGAUUCCAUCCAACCUUUUGUUUAUGCGAAGGAAGGUUGUUGUUGUUGUUGAGAGGUCAUGGUCCCAAACUGUGGGGAAGUUUACAUCACCAAAUUUAAUUAGUUUAUUAAAUAUUUUUCUAAUGGUGGUAUUUUGUCGGUGUGGUGAUGUCCAUGUUGGUUCAACUGUUCUACUCAAUACCCCCAUUUUAUUUUAACAUUUUGGACCAAUAAUUUAUGAAUUUUUUUUGUAUAAAAAAAGUGUAUAAUUUACGAAGUUCAUUUCACAACAAGGCGUUACCUGAUAACGUUUUUAUUGUUGGCAUAUAGGUAGUUUUGUGGGUAGAUAUGAAGAUAGAAAGUAGUAAAAUUUAAAUAUUUAUUUUGAGAAUUAUCGACAAUAUUUUGAGAAGAUAUUUAAAAAUUAAGUAUGUUACGGAAUAGACGAAAAUGUUAAUAUUACGCUUUGUUUUGGGAAGUCAAUUUUGCGAAAUAGUAACAUUUCCUUCUACUCUAUCCAACCAACAACCACGUUUUCCGCCUGGUAAUGAAAAACAAUACUCGUUGAAACAUUAUGUUGAUUAUUUUUAUGAAAUUAUUACUGAAAGUGAUAGAUGCGCUUUGUGUACAAAAGUCAUAACAUUAUUACAAUUUCUACGAAAAACUUGCUUGAACGAGAGUGAUACUAUACGCUAAUUACUUAGCUUCGAAUAUUUUGGAGUACGAAUACAUUUUUACGUACGUUGUUGUCACUUAGAUAUCGAUGACGUAGUGUGUCAAUGAUGUGACACUUUAUUGGUGUUCAGGUGACAACCAUGUGGGAUAUCCGUACAUCGAGAAGACCGUAUAGACACCCAACGUUAUUGCUGACGUCAACCACGUGUCGCUUUGGUGGCAAUCAUGCAUAUAGGAGGGUAGACGUACAAAAAAGAGUAACAUUAUUACACAAUCAAUUACUCUUAUACUGAGCACUACCUGAGUCGUGAUGACUAGACAUCAUCGACGUAGUGUCUCGGUGGAUAAUCAUAUCCCUUCUUACGUGAUUAUUUUUAUCAACGAUAUGACAUCUCGUUGAGCGUACGGGUCUAUUUUAGACGGCCAAUUUUCAUUCCGUAAAAUGGAAGAGUCCCGUAGGGAUCCUUGGUUGCUUGCUACCUUUGCUUUUAUUAUUAUAGUCUUAAUACUCUCUGCUCGCAGUUCAUCACAUGCAUUUGCAGCAAGUUGCUUCCACAUGGAUUUUGUCCAUAUAAAAAAUAAAUAAUAGAUUGCAAUGCAAUAAUUAACUCGGUUGCUUUGCAUCUCAAUUCUCAAAUAGUCAACAUGCACUGAUAAUAUAUAAAUUACUUCUCUUGAUGAUUGUAUAUAUUUUUGAUUUUUUUAGGACGAUUAAUACGUAAACACUCAAGUUGAAACCUACAUUAUAAUAAAUUGGUCAUUGUGAUUCUAUAUAACGCGUGGCGUAUUCUACGGUUGAUCCAAUGAAUGUAUUAAAACGAUCGUUACAUGAUUGUUACAAUAUAACCGCAUGAUCAACACUAGGACGCGCGGCGCAUCGUACACAACAACUCGAAGAUCUAACAGAAUACGUAGAUACUACACAACACUUAUCCCAUAUUAUUUGAAUAUGGCUUUCAAUUAUUUUGAUUUACGUUUGUAUGUGUUUCGUCAAGAAUUCCCAUUAAUGUCAGUCUUACAGAACACACAUCACAGUAGAAAAAAAAUAUCAGGGACAUUGUACCUUAAACAUCGAAACGGCCUCGACCGUAUCGAUCUGCUGACCGGUUUAACCAUAAGGAAACUGAUCAAAUGAUCAGCAAGCACAAAAUGACAAAGAGAUAGAAAGAGAGAGAAGAAUUUGGAAGGACAGAGGCAUCUGUACCAGAACUUCAUUUCCUAUCCGAUCAUGUCUCCACAAUUAAAGAAUGCAAAGCACGUGCAAGUCCACAUCAAUUCCCCACCUUAUAUUCCACACAGGCUUGCCUUCUUUUCACAGUUCAGUACUUUCUGUUCUGCAUGGCCCAAUGUCAUUGUGUUUCGUAUGUCAAGCCCAUUGAUGCUUUUAACCAAAAGCCCGAUCCAUUUUAAGGUGGACAUCCUUUCAUUAUACCUGGGCCGAUUUCGUCACUUUAUUGAGCCUCAUGGACUUGCGUGAUGGGCCCCGGGCAGAAUUCUCCUACCUCAACCGAUUAAAGCCGGAGUCAACUAGUUUAGCUACUUCUUGAAAUUAGGAUACAGUGUUGGUAGCAAGCCAUUAUUACCGGAGGCCACGAUAACGGCUUGCUAGAGAAAGAAGGUAGGAGAGUCACUAGUGGCGGGCUGGUGGCUGGUCUAAGGGAACCUUCCCGAUUUCGUGGCCCAACCCAUCUCCGAGUCGAUACGUUAUAUAAAUGAUCCGCGGCCGAUAAAGUUUGUCACAGAGAAAGGAGUAAAGCUCUGUUGCUGAAAGUCCAGGACACUAUGAGCUGUGGACAGCAACCACAUCCUAAAGUAGGUACUAGUAAUAACAUUUGAGGAACAUGUAGCUGAAAAAAGUUAGGCGAGCCAGUUGGGGUGCUGAUAUAUUCCCUCCAUUUUCAUUCAUGGUUCAAAAAAUUUGUCAAAGAAACAAACUUUAGUUAAUUUGGUGGCAAUCUUUUUCAAAAAAGGGACAGGUUUCACAUUGGCUUUGUCCCUCGUGACCCACACAACCAACCAACCUAACCAUCAUCAUCAUUCAUUUGCCCACAUUUACUGCUACUGAUCAAUCAACCAAAAUCCCACCAAACCUACAAACAAAGAAGAACAUCAGCCUGCCAUCUUCUUCUUCUUCUUCUUCUUCUUCUUCUGCUUCAUCUUUUCCAUUUGAAGAGGACUAUGGGCAAAGCUCAUAUCACCAUUGCAUUCUAUCACAAUUUGCUGCCUAGCUUUCAUCCUCUCCAAGAUCUUCAUCUCCUUCCUCCUCUACAGCGAUGGAAGAGGAAGCAUUCUGUUCAUCAUCAAGACCCCCAUUUCUCAGGUACUAAUCAUAAGCUACUCUGUUGUUGUUCGGUGAUUCGAUUCCGCUAGUUUAGAAGUCGAGUCAGAACCCAUUAUUAGGGGUUUAUGCCACUAGUGUAUACAUGCUGCUGCGUGUAUAAAUCACUUGCAUUUGUAACUCUUUAAUCGCCAUCGUUGUGCUCUAGUGGGUUUUUUUUCGAUUCUUGCUCAAAGUUUCCGACCAUCGUGCUGAUUUUGUAAAAAAGGUGGGAAGGUGGUGAUGUUCAAGACAGGGGCAAUGCAGUCACUCCAGAUAAACCCACAGCUCCUAAUAAAGAAGACAACAAAGCUAACCAACAAGGACAUCAUCGGGUCAGGAGACCACGGCACAGUCUACAAACUAUCACUAAACGACUCCCUCUCCUUUGCCUGAAGCGGCUCAACAGAGGCACACCGGAUCAAGAGUGAGGGUUCGAGAGGGAACCCGAAGCCAUGGGAGACAUCAAGCACAGAAACAUUGUUACACUCCAUGGAUACUUCACUAAUCCUCACUACAACUUGCUGAUUUGCGAGCUGAUGCCCAAUGGGAGUCUGGACGGGUUCCUUCAUGGAGGGAACAGGAAUGAUGAAGUGACGAAGCUGGAUUGGGAAUGUAGGUACAAGAUUGCAAUUGGUACUGGCCUGAUAUUUUUUUUUUAUCUUAUUAGACACUUUUAUUGAAAAGAGUUCGUUGAGAUUUUACCUUUUAAUAAUUGAUAAAUUCAUCAUAUUGACAUUUGAAAUGUCUUUGGAGGGAAGUACGGUGAUCUUGUAUGUAAUUGAAUGCUAUUUUAUUACGAGAUUUCCAUAAUCUCCAAAAAAUAAAAUUUUCCAUAAUGGCACGAUGUUGGCAGAUUAUUUUUUUUAGGAUAACGCAAUGUUUUUCGAGAUUAAUAAAUAUAAAGGAAUAUCCAAUCGUUGACCCAAUAGUAAAACAACAGCGCAAUUCAAAAAACCGACAUCAGUCAGUUGUGAAUCUAUGGUGAAGGCAUUAAAAUUGGCUAAGGACUUGGUAAACGGAUCAUUACCAUCGGAUUUUUCAGCUAUAUUGCUUAUAACGCUAAAAUCACCAAAAAUUACAAAGAGGACAUCAAGGUCGAGAAGUAAAUUUCGAAGUUAUUCUAACUGAUGAUCUCAAAUAUUGACGUCCGUAAAAAAGUAAACACCAAUGAGGAUGUUAUGUGCUUAUAACAGGCAUCAGAAAUUGAGAUUGUAUAUAUUUAUUGACGAUCAUACUGCUAAUUAUUUUAUUAAUCCUAUUGAUCUCAGUGUUUAAAAAAUCGACUGAUUGUACAUGAAGUUAGACUCAUGGGGAACAAGGUUUUGCAAUAAAGAUUAGAACUUUUGUAACGGUUUGAUGCUUUUACCGCUUCGGUCUCAUCGCCGGAUAAGGUUUUACAAAAUAAAACAAAACUUAGGUGAAGGUUCGAGUCUUUUAUCCACUUCCGUUACAGUUUUCGUCCGAAAUCCAACGAGAGCCAGACACCUCAUUAAAAUGACACUGACCUGAGUUUGUGAAGAAUAUGAGAAGUUGGUUUUUUUCUGUACUUUUAUUCUGGUUACUGUAACAACACAAGUCCACGAAUGGAUGGAGUAGAGCAAGAUCACGACAUAAUUCGACAAUUAAGGGAAAUAAAAAGUUUGAGGUUGUAAUUUGUAAAUUUCAAAUAGCCUCACAAACUGAUUGCGAAAUCAAGGAAAGCGAGGCUGGAAUUAUUACAGAUCACAAAUCCUUUUUUGCUUCUGAGAAGCAGAUGGCAAAGUAGUAUGUGUAUGUGGGCUUUUCCGAUCCACUCAAAUUGCCAAUUGAAUAAUCGAUGAUGCUCUACUAUUUACUCCCAGUCGUCUUUCUUCCCAAUUUCUUUAUUUCCCCAUCUUGUCUCUUCCUUUCACAGCUCUAGCUUUGAUCUCGGACCCAAAGCUUCGAGCUUUUUCUUCUGGGUUCGGCGCUUCUGGGCCCGGAAAUGGCGUCAUUGACAUGCCAUAACCUUACAACCGUGGUGGGUUGCGCCGCCUCAUCUUGGAGUGAAGCUAGAUGUUCAUGGUGGAACAGACUGGAAAACUCUGUUGCCAUCUCCAAUGGUGGAAUCCACCGUACUGGAAGACUGGUCGCUUCCUGCCUUGACUCUGUUCGCUGUAGAAGCGUUUCGACAAAGAGCGUCGACGCUCAGCUCAGUGGUAUACUUUGCUUAUGUGCAAUACUGUAAUUUGGUUUCUUGUUACUAUUGGGUUGUGUUUUCCUUUUAUGGUAAGAAGGUCAUUCAAACAAGUAUUCAUUACCAGAAAGGGAGUGUUUCACCCACCGUGUGCUGCUGGCUGCAUAUCUUAAUCUGAGAUGUGUAUUUGGUGCUUUAAAUAUCAGUUUGGUAUUGUAGGUUGGUGAUAUGGACCGAGUUUUUCACGCUUUUAGUUAUGUCGUCAUAGUAUGUUAUAGUGUAUCCAUUUGCUUAGGUGCGCAUCUCUCAUUAAUUCAACUGUUCUUGAAUCUUCUGACUUGCUUGUCAUGAUGGUCGUAUGGUGUAGACUUUAAUCAUAUUGGCUGGGUUGAUUUCUGCUUUUGUUAUUCAUUAUUCGAUUUGUGAAUCAAUUCAGUUUCUCCAGGAGCUUCAGAUGUCUUGUUGAAUGUGAAAAGAGGUCAGAUUUCGUUGACGAAAUUGUUUGAAGUGGUAGCUGAGGACCUGCUGAUCCUUAACCAAAAUCUUAAAACAGUGAGUAUUCUCAAAAGCACUAUUGAACUGUUUAAGCCCUGAAAAUGAGUUGUUUCUUGCGAUGGAGCUGUGAGUUUGUUCAUAGUUUGACUCAGAAAAUAUUGGCAAGGCUGGGACUAAAGAGAUUUAGCUAAUGAUUAAGAUGAAUGCUUUAAUCAUUGAUGUUAACGUUAUCUAUGAAUAUAAAGUUGGAAGCUUUUCUUGCUAUACCCCUAUUUUAUCAGUCUUGUAUCUGGUUCUAGCUGAAUGCACACAUAAGCUUUCGAACUUUUAUUGAUUCCUUAUAGCCAAAUCCAGCUAGAAGCUUCAGCUGGGUUUAUAAGAUAUCAUGUAGGACAGAAGACUAUUUAUGAGCUAGCUACCUUGUUAAUUAUGCCCAAUAUGCUAGGAUAGCCUAAAUAACUACCUUUACCAGUUUUGGUGACUCUGACCGGUCAAAUAUUGUUUCUUUAUAAGUUGCAGUUUGUGCUAGCUGUGAACAUUUGAUAACAUUAAAACUGAUGAAGAUCUUCUGCUAGAUUGUUGGUGCAGAGAACCCAGUUUUGAUGUCUGCAGCGGAGCAGAUAUUUGGUGCCGGAGGGAAGAGAAUGCGACCGGCUCUCGUAUUCCUGGUGUCAAGAGCUACAGCUCAAAUGUCCGGUUUAAAGUCAGUCCUCCUAUAUAGUUUUCAAUUUUGUAUGUUCAGAGUACUUGUUAAGAGUUAUAAUUUAGCAUUACUUUCCAGGGAACUUACAACAAAUCACCGACGUCUUGCAGAGAUCAUUGAGAUGAUCCAUACAGCAAGUCUUAUUCAUGAUGAUGUAUUGGAUGAAAGUGACUUGAGAAGGGGUACGUCUCUCUAUUUUAGCUUAGUUUUUUGUUGAUCAUUGGUUAGAUUUGUUCUUGUUCAUACACAUAUAACUCGUUAUAAAGGCUUGACGCGAUUUGGGGUAAUGUUGCUUGUUUGCAGGGAAGGAAACAGUUCAUCAACUUUACGGCACGAGAGUCGCAGUACUUGCAGGGGACUUCAUGUUUGCUCAGUCAUCAUGGUACUUAGCGAACCUCGAAAACCUCGAAGUCAUCAAACUCAUCAGCCAGGUAAACCUUGGAGCCUACCUUUAAUGCAUAUGCCUGCAACUGUUCACAAUAAAGGAGGAAACUUAGCUGCAAAUCCUGGUUCCGUCUGAUCAGGUUAUCAAAGAUUUCGCCAGUGGCGAAAUAAAGCAAGCAUCCAAUUUGUUCGACUGCGACACCGAGCUCGAAGAGUACUUGAUCAAGAGCUAUUACAAGACGGCAUCUUUAGUUGCGGCCAGCACCAAAGGAGCUGCCAUUUUCAGCGGAAUGGACAGCAAUGUUGCUCAGUGUAUGUUCGAAUACGGCAAGAACCUAGGUUUAUCGUUCCAAGUCGUGGAUGACAUACUCGAUUUCACGCAAUCAGCCGAGCAGCUUGGAAAGCCUGCCGGAAGCGACCUGGCGAAGGGGAACCUAACCGCACCGGUCAUAUUUGCUCUGGAGAAAGAGCCUAAACUUAGAGACAUCAUUGAGUCUGAAUUCGUCGAUGAAGGCUCGCUGCAAGAGGCUAUCGAGUUGGUGAAGAGGUCUGAGGGGAUUCAGAGAGCGCAGGAACUAGCGAGAGAGAAAGCUGACGUUGCUAUCCAGAACCUCGAAUGUCUUCCUCGAAGCGCAUUUCGGUCUGCUCUCGAGGAAAUGGUGCUGUAUAAUCUCGAAAGGAUCGAGUGAUGAAAAAAAGAAUACCAGACUCGUUAUGUGUGAUGGAAUACAAUAAAUAGGAUGGUGUUGAUCCGGUCUGGACACCGUGCAGGAUCGAGCACAGCCAGAAGUGCAGGCACUGGGGUGAUGGUUAGCACUAAAGUUACCGUCGUUGGCAAGGUUAUUGGGAUAUAGCUUGUACAUUCAUAGCUUCAGCUCCUGAGAUUGUUUCCGGAGUUGAGAGCUAGCUAAAGGAAAUUGUAGUAUUCAAUGUGGAAUAUACUUAUAGGGGAAAUAAGUUGAUCAAAGUUGUUCAACCUACAUUUUGGUUUUGGGUUAACCGAAAACCAAAUCAUUUCUACCCGUACUGAUUUCGUUAGUCAUAUAAAGUGUGACGUAACUAUGUCCAUAGACUCAAACAAUUGGAACAAUACACUAGCACGUCGGAGUGUGUAGUGUGUAAUACACGAUGCCACUUGAAUAGCACAGAUCGAACUUCCAUUGAUCCUACGAGUUGGGAGAACAAUACCCGAUAAAUACACGUGCAUGUCGGUGCGUGUAUUACACGAGCGCGUGGAUGUCACACAUGCAAUUAAUCGGGUAGGCGUGAUUUGCCGGGUCGGGCCUGAGGGCAUAUAAGGGCUUUCCAUUUUGUGCACACCGUGGCCGGCCUGGGCCUGCAGAGUUUGGGCCAAAAACAAGUCGGGUCAGCCAAAUUUUCAGAAGGCCUUAAAAACCGCUCGGAGCAUGGGCCUAGGGAAUUUGGGCCGAACAACCAAGAUCGGUUUGAAUUACAAUUAUGAGUUCGAUGGACAUAAUGAGAAUCAGGCAUAAUAUGCUAUUAAUCUUUUGUUUUUGUCUUUGGUUAGAAACCAAGAAUUGAUCAGAAAGCCCUCCGAACAUAACAAAGCGGCGGAAGUGGGGUAAAGUAAACUGGGAAACUCCACCGGCGGUGACUUUCCAGGCAGUCCAGGACUCCUCCGGCAAAUUCCUGGCCGUUCCUUCUUCUCAGAUCCGGUGGAGGAACUCGAAACAAGCUGGUCGUCAGCUAAUCCCUCUCUCUCUCUCGAUUAUGAAACUCAUGGGCUACUUCAAGCAAUGGUCAUCCUUUGCACAGGACACCACAGCCAAAGCUUCAAUCGCCGCCAAGUUCCUCUCUUUCCUGCACAUAACUGAUUCCUACAUUGUCUCCACCACUCUCGUAAUAUUCCCCCACUCCCAAUUCUCAAUUUCUUCAACGUCUUUGCUCAAUCGAUUUGAUAACACUCUUUUUCAAUCUUUUUGCAGGUGCAGGGUCCUAGCAUGCUCCCCACAUUGAAUUUCUCCGGCGACGUGCUUCUAAUCGAACACUUGUCUCACCGAUUGGGGAAGCUUGAACCUGGAGACAUUGUUCUUGUUCGAUCCCCAGUUGAACCCAGAAAGAUUGUGGCGAAACGAAUAGUUGGGAUGGAUGGUGAUCGAGUCACUUUUCUUACUGACCCUUCCCGUAGUGAGAAUUCCCGCACUGUUUUGGUAAGGCUUUUUACAAACUCAAAGAAGGGUUUCUUUCUGUCUUUCAACAAGUUUCAAUUUUUCUUUUGUUAAAUGCUUACUGCUUUGUGGGGUGAUUUGCUAAGUUGCAAUUGGUAAUAAUGUGGUGCAGGUUCCAAAAGGGCAUGUGUGGAUUCAGGGGGACAAUGUGUAUGCUUCUGCUGAUUCAAGAUAUUUCGGUCCUGUUCCGUAUGGUUUGAUUCAAGGAAGAGCCUUUUUAAGGGUGACUGUAUCUUUCUUUCUUCUUUGGACAUUAUCUUUACUUGAUUUCUUAUUCUAAACAGAAUCAGCUACUAUCAAGCUGAUCUAGGAUUCGAAUUAGAGGAAUUCAAUUGAGCUGUUUCGCAAGUUGCAUGGUUCUUUACUAGGAGCAGUAGGUGGAUAAGAUAUCAGAUGGUUAGGGUAAUAAGAAAGAAGUCAGUUUGAACCAAAUAAGUGGUAGGACUGUUAAGAGUGUGCAUAGGAUGUAUCUCUCUGCAUAGAAAGCUCAACGGUUUACGUUAUGAAAGGCGAUCUGAAUGUUGAUUGAAGUGCUGGAAAGUCUCACAUGUUGAUGUCUUUGCUUUGCUUUUGCAAUCUCGAGUCUUCUGCAGACUGCAAAGUGCUUAUAUUGAUACCAAGAGGUCAUCUGCCCCUUUACAGUUCUGCUAUCAUUCUUUAGCUUGUGUUAUUGUUAUCUUCCUUUCUGUUGAAAACGCAUCCGGACGAGGGGAUAAACCUCGCAUACUGUGGCUUUCAACUGCUCCUCUUUCCGUCGGCUGUAGUUAUACUUUCCUCUACGCUUACUGCAGAAUUUCUGUGGUCUCUUCAGCUUCACUUGGACUAUUGUUUUACUGCCGUCCGCUGCGCCGUCUAGUAUAAAGAGAGAACCUUUCCAUCCAUUACAUACUUAUUUAGUUAUCAGGUUCUCUUGCUACCAGUAUUUUUGGAUGUUAAAACUGAGUCCAUUAGCGAUUUAGGAAAUGCUGCAUCUGGUUAUGACUUGUAUGUAUAUCGUCUUUGGUAGACACGAGAUGUAAAGGAACAAGCUUUGACUCGCCGUUCUUCUGAUUGAAAAUUCAGAUUGUGGCACAUUUUUCGCCUGCAUGACUGACAACUAUCUCCGCAGUCUUGUUUUAUUUGAUGAUCGAGCAUUGAUAAUUUCGGCCUGAAGAAAAUUCUUUGUUUUUUAUGCUACCAGGUGUGGCCGGUUCAAGACUUCGGGAUUUUGGGAUGAAGACAAAGAUACCUGAUGGUCCGUCAUAGCCUUCCUCGAUUCAUCACCAGUUAUUCAAGGCUGCCUAUCGGUGAAACGGGAUAUCAUUUCACACAACAAUCGUGAAUGAGCAACUUACAAGACGUCCGAAUUCAAAGGAAAACAAAGUCUGCCAGAUAUGUACGCAACAACCUUGCAUCUAACCGUUAGUUAGAAUUUCAGACGAUGAGAUAGCAAUACUCAAUCAUUGUUUUAGGGUAGUCCCUUCUAUUUGAAACUCGGGACUGAAUGCAGCUAAGUGUACAGAGUAAUGUAGUAACUAGUUACACAAUUUUGUUCCUACGUGUCUGGGUUUGGCUCAGUUCACUUCUUCCUAUUUCCACGAGAUGCCAAGUCAGGAAACAGCUUACUAAUUACUGUGAAAGAGACUGAUUCAUGAAACAACAAAAAGAAAGAGACGAAAGGAAACCAACAGAGCAGAGAAGCCAAAGAAGACAACUUCGUGAAGAUCGGACAAAACUAAAAAAGGACAUUGUCAAGACUACCUAACAACAACGUGCCAGCUGGGGCAAUAGGUACAGCACGCAGCAGUUAACGUUAGAAACAGAGGAGUAUCUGUCUCAUACACAGAAUAAUCAUUGGUGAUGAUCAACCCGAUGUCAAUAACAUCAACCAUUCCCGCGUACACCAACCUGUCUUAGCUGAAGCUGACCUAGGAAAUAUACAUUACAGUUUUGAAUGCUUUAUUGUCACAUUCUUCAUGUACAAUUUGAUAGCAUCCAUUAUGACUAUAUUACUUUAUGAAAUAUACAAGUUCCUGUUGAUCGGCUCCUACGUCAGCACAGCUUUCUGACUUCACCUAAUGGUUUAACCAACACGUACGGUCUGGUUUCAACGGCUGUUGAGUCCGAGUCAAACAGCGUCGGAUUUAACCGAAUAGUAUCGAAAUAACACAACAUGUUGGUGGUUUGGAAUUAAGUUGUUAUAAACUAUCAGUCUAAGUUAUCGUGACACCCACGUUUCUUGUCUAUGCUGUCAUUGACAACAAAGAAGAAGAACAAGUUGAUGAUAAUUACCAAGAGAAACAACAACAACAACAGCAGCAGAAAAAAAAAGAUAAUUCUUUAAACUUUUGUAUACCAACCAGACUCUCUGUCCAACCAACUGGUCUUCUUAUAUAGUUAGUUCAGCCUGUUUUCCUACACCUGAAGAAAAAAAAACAUCUUGAACAAAAACCCUCUGAUCAGAAACAUGGUAGAACAAAACACCACUAUUGCACACGGCGGCCACAGUCCUCAGCCGCCGCCGUCCCAAUUUCCUCCUCCUCCCUCUGCUCCUAUCAGUCCUCCACAACCCCAACCUGAACCUCAACCUCAACAGCCCCCGCCGGCGGCGCAAAGCAAUGGUAUCCCAAACCAGUGUGUGGAUGGGAGUCCGGCGAUAGGGUAUCCUUACAAUCCUCAACAACACUACCAAACAUCCGAACACCAAUCAUCGUCGACGGUGACGGCCAAUGUGUACAUGAACUCUGCCCAAGCGAUCCCUGUAUCUAUGUCAACUGUUGCUGUUAUCGAAGGCCCUCCCGACCUUCCUUGCUGCGGAAUUGGUCUUGGCUGGUUCCUGUAAGUACAAUCUGACUUCUCUAAGCUUAACCAAAAAAAACUAUAUUAUGAGCUGUUGUAUUCUUUUUUGCUCUUUCUUUCCUGCCUUUUUUCAUUUUUCUUUCUUUUUUCGGUCUAACCUAAAUUGAUGCAUUAUCUUAAUUUUUCGAUUAUGAAAAUUGUUAGUAAAAAAAAGAGCCAUUGCAUUUACUAACUUAAGUUAUUAUGAAAGAGUUUAAAUUAAUUUUUAUAUUAUUCAUCAAUAGAUCUCAUCAAAGGAAAGUUCUUUUAAAAGAACUGAAAUCUACACCGUUUAAAUAUGUCAUGUUUUGGGGGUGAAAAAUCCGUACCUAAUUUUAGUCAAAUCAUCGUACUGUAUAGUGGUUAGUGGUUAACCACAUAAUUAAACUAUUUUAACCUUUUUAUAAUAUUGCUUGUGGAUAAAAUGUCUUUGAUUAUUUAAAAGUUAGGUAGCAAAGAUUAAUGAUUUUUGUAGGUUGGUUGAGUUUUGCGGUUAAUUGCGGUUGAUCACUAAUCAUAUUUUUUUGGAAACUAAAUCACUAAUCAAUUUUCAGCCUUAUAUGUGCACGAAAUCCGAAACGUAUAUCUCUCAAUAUACUAAGCAUGAAGCGUUAUAUUAUAAUAAUUUAAGUUGUAAAAAGAGGCUUUGGAUUGAUUUAUAUAUAAAGACGUAUCAUACCAAUCUGAAUUACUUGAUGUGUUGUGAAUUUGAAGGUUCAUUCUGGGAUUCUUCUUUGGACUGCCAUGGUAUAUUGGAGCUGGGGCUCUCAUAUGUUCCAAGUACGACCGCCGAGAGAGGCCUGGUUACAUUGGUUGCGCCGUUCUUGUACGUUUUCCUUUUGUCUUUUUUCCUCUCCAAUUCUUACUCUGGCUAGCUAGCUUUCUAAUAUGAGUUAACUCCCCUGGUUAUAAUUUCUGGUUUUGCAGGCUGUGAUUUUUACGAUUUUGAUCAUCAUUAGCUCAACUCGAUCGGGCGAGUCUUCGUCAUACUAACUUCAACAUCUUUCUUUGUCGCCUGAGUUUCGCCGUCGUUGAUGGCUCUGCAGAUGUGAAAGGCUUCCAUUUUAAUUUUACUGCAAUUUCGGUCUCUUGGAUUUUUAAUUAAUAAUUAUAUGGACUCUGGUGUACAUCGGAACACGUUAUUAUUUGUAUAAAGCCACUACUAAGAAAUUGUAUCUUUCUGUGACGGGAAAUUUUGUCGACAUCAAUUCUGUCACAACUUCUAUCGCAUAUUCGCAUACUUGGUUCCAAAGAGAUACACAAUGGAGGCUUUUCUGGUGAGAAAACUUAUUGUCUAGUGACAAGCAUACCGUCGCCAAAUAUGUUCUUUGUUCUACAUGUUUGCGUCCCUGCAAUCGAAGUUUUUGGUUGCCAAUAGGCUGAGGGCUUCUGGAUCGAAUUUCGGUCGUCAAAACUAGAGGCUAUUGCUUGCUUCCGUAUAUAUUUCUUGUUAAGUUGAUUACAAUAACCAAUAGGAGUCGUUUAGAUGCGGUAGUUGAUAUAAAUGGUCCCUUAUGUAUUCAACGGGUUCAUUUUCGUCUCUUAUGAAUCAAUUGCAACAUGAAAAUCCCUCUCGUAUUCAAAAGUAAAAAUUGAGUAUGGAUUGGGUAUUCCGUCCAAACUUCCGUUAAUUCGGCCUAGUCAGCACAAUUCGUUGACAAUACUGGAUUGGGUAUUCCGUCCAAACUUCCAUUGCUUUGCAAAGAAAUAAGCGACGGAGACACCCCGUUACAGAAUACUAAAUUUAUAAUAGCGGCAAUGUUGUUGCCAGUCUGUAGCGGAUGUUUGGGUCAGUGGUGAGGUUUCAUCGAUAAUCGUGCUAAAAGUAAUGACAUUUUUACUUUGCAUAACAAGCUUCAUUUUAUAUAUUAUAUAAGAAAGUUAUGUUACGCACUGCUUACCUAAUAACAUCAUGUGUUGCGCAAUAGACUUAAUUUGAAUAUAUUAUUUGAGAAAUAGCUUUUAUUACGUAAAGUUUAAAUCAACAAUUAUUUUAUGUAAUGAUUUUAAAUGAUUGUUAUGUAUGCCUUAGGAUACAUAUGACAUACCAUAUUAUUUUCUUACUUUACAUGUUUAUAGUUUACAUGUUACAAUCGUGAUAUGACUGAUGAGACUAGCCUUCGAAAUUCUUAUUGUUCAAUUUUGGAAAAAUGCCCCAAAAUGGCUUGAAUUUUAAAAUACUCAAUAUUUUUGUACGUAGCGAAAUUAGAAUUAGUUUACGAUAACAACGACAUCGUCACUGUAGCUGGAGAUUAACUGUCGCUAAUUAAUGAUGAUGGUGCUUAUUGAUUGCUUGUACGGUCGCUACAACUAAAACCACAAUUGCCUGUGUAGAAUAAACUAAUCAAUCACUAUGAAUCAUUUUGCAAACAUUUUUAAUUGAUCUUCAAUUAAUCAAUCAAAAAUCUGAAUGAAAAAUUGAAAGAAAUAGGGUGGGAAUUUGUACUUACAAAAAUAGCGCAGACUAGGAGUUCCGGCAGUUCGCGACGGUCGAACCUUCCACAGAGUAGAAUGAAGAAUCCGGCAUACCGCGAAUCCAGAUCACACCCCACCCCCAACCCUCAGCAAAACCAACCAGUUACUGGCGAUGCAGCAAGGACGACUUCUUCCCUGAACCCUCUUUCAAAAACUGCACCACUUACAGAGCGGCUCUCUCCCAGACCCUCCGCCGUGUCAAGGAGCGGAUCCUCUCCUGUUCCUCCGACGAGAACGAGCUCGUCAAUUUCCCCCUAGAGAGCCGUAACUCUAUGCUGAAAUGCCUCACCUGGUGGGACCUCAUGUGGAUGAGCUUCGGCUCCGUCGUCGGCUCCGGCAUAUUCGUCAUCACCGGCCAGGAAGCUCGUAACCACGCCGGCCCGCAAUCGUCCUCUCCUACGCCGUCUCCGGACUCUCCGCCCUCUUAUCAGUCCUCUGCUACAUCGAGUUCUCCGUCGAGAUUCCCGUCGCCAGCGGGUCCUUCUCUUUCCUUAGAAUCGAAUUGGGCGAUUUCGUUGCAUUCCUCGCCGCCGGGAACAUUCUCCUGGAAGGAGUUGUCGGUGCCGCCGGAUUGGGUAGGUCUUGGUCGUCCUAUUUUGCUAGCAUGAUUAAUUCCAACAAUCCUGAUUUCUUGAGGAUUCGAAUUCAGGGGUUUGCUGAAGGUUUCAAUUUGCUUGAUCCUUUAGCUUUUCUUGUGCUCGGGGUGGCUAAUGGCAUUGCAAUGAGUGGGACGAGCAGGACAUCUUUGCUUAAUUGGAUUAGUUCAGUUAUUAGUGCAAUGUUGAUUGUUUUCAUAGUAAUCGUCGAUUCAUCCAUGGCAAAGCUUCGAACUUGACACCAUUUUCCCCUAUGGAGCAAAAGGUGUGUUCAAUGCUGCAUCAGUGGUGUACUGGUUUUACACAGGGUUCGAUAUGGUCGCUACCAUGGCCGAAGAGACCAAGAAGCCUUCGAGGGAUAUCCCGAUCGGAUUGAUGGGGUCCAUGUCCAUGAUCACCGUGGUUAUUGCUUGAUGGCUUUGGCAUUGACAAUGCUGGUUAACUACACAAAAAUCGAUCCGAAUGCUGCCUACUCGGUCGCUUUCUCACAGAUCGGUUUGGGUUGGGGGAAGUACUUGGUUAGCAUAUGUGCAUUGAAGGGAAUGACCACUAGCUUACUGGUUGGAUCGCUAGGACAAGGCAGGUACACAACUCUGAUCGCGUGGUCUCACAUGAUUCCGCCAUGGUUCACUCGAGUUCACCCCAAGACAGGAACUCCUAUCUACGCCACUCUUUUGGUGACCACACUAAGCUCCGCGGUGGCGCUUUUUUCGACCUUGGGUGUGUUGUCGAGUGUGUUCUCGUUCAGCACGCUGCUCAUUUUCAUGCUCAUGGCCAUUGCGUUGUUGGUGAGGUGGUACUACGUUAGCAAUGUCAGUUCGAGGGGCGAUUUGGGGAAGUUCGUGGCGUGCUUGUUGACCAUCCUUGGUUCCGCGGUAGGAGUUACGGUGGUGUGGAGCACCGAUAAGGGAGGUGGGUCGGGUAUGGUGUUCCUGUGGCAGUUUGGUUAUUGGGUACGCUCGGGAUGUUGAUGUUGCCAAAGCAACGGGCUGCCAAGGUGUGGGGGGUUCCGGUGGUGCCAUGGCUGCCGGCAUUGUCGAUCGGGAUGAAUGUGUUUCUGAUCGGCUCGCUGGGUUACUUGGUGUUCGUGAGGUUCUUCGUGUGCAGCGCAGUAUUGGUGGUGUACUACUUGUUGGUUAGUGUUCAUGCGACUCAUGAUGUUGCUAACCAGGAGCAAGGGGAGACCAAGCUUGAGGAUGAUACUAUGACUUAUUAGGCUUUUUUCAUAGGCAAAGUAGUUGUUUAUUGAAUUGUUAUCGUGUGUAUAUGAAAACUGUAAAUAUCAUUAUGAACAAAAAAUCAAGUAUUUCUUUUUCAGUAUACACCGCUAGUCACUAAUUCAACAGUUCUUCAAUCAUUCAAUUGCGAACUGAUCAAAUUGUAAGAGUUUCGACUUAGUUCAAGGAAGAUUUUGGAGUAGGAUUAGUACUUUAAGUAAGAUUAGUAGGUAGUUUUGGAGUAGGAUUAGUACUUGAUUUUGAUUUUUUAAAAUAAAAAAGGCUCCAAUGAUUAAUAAACAAAAGUAGACUGAUUGAUUUGUAAAAUAGACCAAAUUAGAUGAGCUAUAUAGUAAAAGAGUAACAACGAGGGAACCGUACCCUCUCAGUUUUCUACGAGGCCGAAGUUUUGAAUUCGCAGAGAGGAGAAUCCGAGCAGAGAUUUCGACGUAGCUUCUUCGCAGGAUUGGAAGAAGCAACAGAAGAGUAACUCGGCGGAGAGGAGAGUGCGGCGCAGGUGCUGUAGAUUUACGCCUCUCGGGAUUCUCUCGGAGAUAGUGUGACCUAAUUCCGGCUCUUAACGAGUCUCCAGCGACUGAAGGAGAAGAAGAAGAAGAAGAAGAAACAUGGGAGAGCGGAAGGUUCUGAACAAGUACUAUCCUCCGGACUUCGAUCCGGCGAAGCUGCCACGCGCCCGCAGACCAAAGAAUCAGCAGAUUAAGGUCCGGAUGAUGCUUCCCAUGAGCAUCAGAUGCAACACCUGCGGUAAUUACAUCUACAUGGGGACGAAAUUCAACUCACGCAAAGAAGAUGUCGUCGGCGAGGUUCGCUAUUCUAUUCUCCUUCUUUUGUCAAUUUUUCUAGGGUUUAUUGUGAUCGAAGUCCUGGUUUGUUGCGUAUGGCGUUCUUAUUGUUGGUAUUAUUGUAUUUCUGCAGACGUAUUUGGGUAUACAAAUAUUUCGAUUCUACUUUAAGUGUACGAGAUGCUCGGCCGAGCUUGCGAUGAAGACUGAUCCUCAGAAUUCCGAUUACAUCGUGGAGAGCGGGGCGACGAGGAAUUAUGAGCCGUGGCGUAAAGAGGAUGAGGAAUUGGACGGCUUGAAACGGAAGAGAGAUGCUGAGGAGAUGGGUGAUGCGAUGAAGGCUUUGGAGAACAGGACGUUGGAUUCCAAACGGGAGAUGGAUACUUGAGGAUGAUACUAUGACUUAUUAGGCUUUUUUCAUAGGCAAAGUAGUUGUUUAUUGAAUUGUUAUCGUGUGUAUAUGAAAACUGUAAAUAUCAUUAUGAACAAAAAAUCAAGUAUUUCUUUUUCAGUAUACACCGCUAGUCACUAAUUCAACAGUUCUUCAAUCAUUCAAUUGCGAACUGAUCAAAUUGUAAGAGUUUCGACUUAGUUCAAGGAAGAUUUUGGAGUAGGAUUAGUACUUUAAGUAAGAUUAGUAGGUAGUUUUGGAGUAGGAUUAGUACUUGAUUUUGAUUUUUUAAAAUAAAAAAGGCUCCAAUGAUUAAUAAACAAAAGUAGACUGAUUGAUUUGUAAAAUAGACCAAAUUAGAUGAGCUAUAUAGUAAAAGAGUAACAACGAGGGAACCGUACCCUCUCAGUUUUCUACGAGGCCGAAGUUUUGAAUUCGCAGAGAGGAGAAUCCGAGCAGAGAUUUCGACGUAGCUUCUUCGCAGGAUUGGAAGAAGCAACAGAAGAGUAACUCGGCGGAGAGGAGAGUGCGGCGCAGGUGCUGUAGAUUUACGCCUCUCGGGAUUCUCUCGGAGAUAGUGUGACCUAAUUCCGGCUCUUAACGAGUCUCCAGCGACUGAAGGAGAAGAAGAAGAAGAAGAAGAAACAUGGGAGAGCGGAAGGUUCUGAACAAGUACUAUCCUCCGGACUUCGAUCCGGCGAAGCUGCCACGCGCCCGCAGACCAAAGAAUCAGCAGAUUAAGGUCCGGAUGAUGCUUCCCAUGAGCAUCAGAUGCAACACCUGCGGUAAUUACAUCUACAUGGGGACGAAAUUCAACUCACGCAAAGAAGAUGUCGUCGGCGAGGUUCGCUAUUCUAUUCUCCUUCUUUUGUCAAUUUUUCUAGGGUUUAUUGUGAUCGAAGUCCUGGUUUGUUGCGUAUGGCGUUCUUAUUGUUGGUAUUAUUGUAUUUCUGCAGACGUAUUUGGGUAUACAAAUAUUUCGAUUCUACUUUAAGUGUACGAGAUGCUCGGCCGAGCUUGCGAUGAAGACUGAUCCUCAGAAUUCCGAUUACAUCGUGGAGAGCGGGGCGACGAGGAAUUAUGAGCCGUGGCGUAAAGAGGAUGAGGAAUUGGACGGCUUGAAACGGAAGAGAGAUGCUGAGGAGAUGGGUGAUGCGAUGAAGGCUUUGGAGAACAGGACGUUGGAUUCCAAACGGGAGAUGGAUAUCCUUGCUGCCCUUGAUGAAGUGAAGUCCAUGAAAUCAAGGCAAGCAACUGUCAGCGUGGAUGCGAUGCUUGAGGUGUUGCAGCGAGGUGCUGCUGUGCAGGUAUGGUUUCUUAACUCAAAGAUAAUCUUCAUUGUGUCAAGGAUUUGUAGCAUGAAUUAGUUACUGUACAUGAUAUGCAUGCAGACUUGUGAGAUUUUGGAUGGAUAACCUGUAAAUUUGGUAUUCACGUGGCAAUGCCUUUAGUUAAUUUAGACUAGAAGGAGGUGCUACUAUGGUUUUGUUUAAUUCUAUUACUGACUCUGUAAAUAUAAUCUACAGCUUGGUAUGUGAAUCCCUGUGUAAUGUGAACUUACAUCUAAGAAAGCUUGAACAUUUAGAUAUGUCUGGAUGGAGAUUUAAGUUUCUGGUUUAAGUUCUAUCGCAAGUAUGCAUCCUAUUGGUUCUUACUCACACACUCUCUUUCUGUUUUCAGGAGCAAAGGUUGGAGGAGGAGGAUGAAGCCCUCAUAAAGGCAAUAUUCGACGUAAGUUUUACUCUGUUAAAUAGUUCUUCAUUCUGCCAAGCAUGCAUAAUUUACCUUGUGUAAUUGUUCACUCGAUUUAUUAUUUUUAGCAAGAUCUAAUAUUUGUGUCUAUUUCAAUUCAGAAACCAAGAGAAAUUAUACGAAGAAUUUCAGAUGAUGAUUCGGACGAAGAUGAGCUGGAAAUGCUUGCUCAUAGAUCUAAGGUAUGCUUAUUGUGCAAGUUGGGUGUGUUUUUACUUCCAUUGACAUUCUUGGUGGUGGUGUAACUUUCAGUACGCUUUUACGAUGCAGAGGGCAAAGUUUGACGAUGAAAACUCAGAAAACCCUACAGAUUCACUCUUAAAUGCUACCAGUGUGGCAGAGAGCUCGAGUAUAAAAGGUAAAAGAUAUCUCCCUCACACUAUAAUUUGUAAACCAUACAAGUAAACUCUUUGAGAUCAGAACCUUCCAAUGCAGAAUCUUAACGUCAGUUUUGCUGUUUUUUUUGCAGAUAGCUCUAGCGAUACCGGGAAAAAGAACGACGCUAAACCAAGUGUAAAACCUCCGCUGGUUACAAUAUUGGUCAAGAAGAAGGCAGCCAUAUCUGCUGAGAACAAGCAAGUGCAGAAAACUGCAGAGAUUAAGGCAGAGGACAGUAAAAACGAUGAUGCAGGCGCGGGACUUCAAUCCCUGCUUCAAUGCUAUGGAAGUGACGAUGACAGUGAAUGAUCAUGCACCUGCAAAUCCCCCUGAUGCUGGAUUGAAUAUCAUGUUUGCUCAUUUGAUUGGAUUUCAUGUCAAUUUACAACCAGCUGGGAUAGAUCUUCUGUGAUCCUACACUUCUAUUGUCAAAAUUUCCAGUCCACACAUUUCUAAGUUCCAAUAGUUUGAUGUGGUUUGAAUUUUGAAUAGUAAAAUGUAUUGUACCAUUAACAAUAUGAUGAAAUCGAGUCUCAAAAUGUCAAUGAAUAAUUGUAUCAGAUGUUGAACGGGUGAGAUCGACAACGUUAAUUUCACAACAUUUCUGCUCAUUUUAUCAAUUUUUCAGUAGAUACAUGCCUGAAGAAACCUUCUGAGAAACCAAUUGUUCUUCACCAAGAUUGUUCUUCAACAAAAGCAAUGCUACAACAAGAUGAUAGAAUGGUAAGCAACCAUUUUCAUUCAAAUCCAAACAACCAGACAUGAUACUAUUGUCACUUCUGAGGUUUCUUCUUCCACAAGUCACCAAGCAUCUUAAUCCCAGACCCCCUACGCUGCUGCUUCCCACUCCCAAACCCACCAUCAAUGUUGUCGCCAAAUCCAGGCGAUCCAACGAACCCGUUGUUCCCAAACCCGCCACCUGGCGUCUCAAAUACAUGGUGAUUGUCCAUCGAAGCGCACCUCUCGGAUACAAUCAUCCUUCCAUUCCCGCCAGCUAGCACAGCUGCUGCAGCAUCUGCUGCUUUCCUCCACUGUUCAGUCUGAACUCUCAUCAUCUUCAUCUCAGCUUCCAACCCUUCUUUCUCUUCUUUCACCCUCUCCAGCUCGAACUUCAACCCGGUCUGGUUCCCUUUACUACCCUCCAGUUCUUGCCCCAAAAGCUUCAAUCUUUCGCACAAAGCCUCUUCCUUUGCCUUUGCACUUGACAUCCUUGAAGCUGCAUCAUUCAGCUGGCUCUUCAACUCUUCCCUCUCCUUAUUCGAAUCCUCCAACUCCUUUCCGGUCUCUUCUAGUUUCGCUUUAAGUGUAGCUAUCUCCUCAUCCUUCAAAGCUACCUCUUCAGAAGUAGGCUUUACUACUGCCUCCUCCAACUUCUCUGGUAGCUCCACUACCGCCUUUUUAUCUACCGGAACUUCAAACACAUCGGUCUCCUGAUCAUUUUCGUCUGCAACAGCAUCCUGUGAAGGCUUUUGCUGUGUUUCUGCUUCCUCAGGUUCUGGAUUUAGGGCGCAUUUCUUGCUCUCGAGUUCUUUCUGAGUUUCCUUCUUAGCAGCCUCCGCGGAAGCCAACUGGUCCUUGAGACUCUUGAGCUCUUGCUGUGCUUGGCCUAGUUGUGACUCAAGAUCUGCAAUCCUUGGGCCAAGCUGCUUCUUUUGCUGCAAUGGUGGAUCAGAAUGUGGCCCACCAGCUCGAGGUGAGCGGCGAUCUGAUGACGAAACCACCUUGGGGCUACUACGCUCGGUUGAAGAGCCGGAUGAUGUCCUUUGUGGAUGUGGACCUCGUGUCGAUUGCCUCUGAGGCAUUUCAGAACUCCUGGAUCCCAAUAUAAACCGGAAUUACAUCAGGCAAUAUCACCAUCAUAACACAAUUUACAAAGAAUCAUUGCAAAAUCCUAAAACAUCCAGAUCAAGGUAGUCAAGCUACAGGAUACAAAUAGCAUAUAGAAUGAGUAAACUGGUCAUACAAAUGCUGCUGAAAUGAAACUCAGAAUCAAUAAAGACUCGUUCUUUGUCAUUCAUCAAACUCUGCAAAUGCAUUGGUAGUUAGAAUUGAGAAAAAACAAGAUAUGGGGAUAUGGUAUCUGACUGACCUUGCUCUUGCCAUUUUGCUUGGCUGUAGAGGAACAAUUACAACUUCCAAAACUGGCUGAAAGAGUAAUGGAUGUUGCAGAACCUGCUGGAAUGAAUCUAUAAUGAGAAAAUGGACAAAUGUGUAUUCAAAGACUAAUAAUGAUUUAGUGUAUGGAUGGAUCCAGCCGCAAGCAAGCAAGCAGCUCUCAUGUGUUUCCAGAUCGAUGGAAGGGGAUUCAAUCAUUCAAAGAAGAACAAUAACUGCUGACUAACAUACACAGCGAAACCUAACUCCAUCUUACCUAACCAUAGACCCACUCGUUUGGGUGGCAGUCUGUGACUUUGCAUUAAUUUCUCUCAACUCUACUCACUCAAAAUUAUUUCUCUUUUCAUUUCGUUUCAUUUUGACUGUUUGAGCAUUUCAACAUCUGAAUUAGAAGCCAAAUAGAAGAAAUUAAAAAACUUUGUUCCAUUGGAGAAGAGGAAACAAGAGGACAAAGUUUGGUUCUUUUUUAAUCUUUUUUACAGUUCCCCAUAGCCCACUAGUUUUAAGUUUACUGUGUUCCCCAAUGGUGCUUCUUCUAGUCUUUAAGAUGUCGAUGCAAGUGUGGCAGUGCUUCAGUUCUUGGGCAGUGAAAACCAGAAGCAGGCUAAAUUCAAAUUCUCUUUUCUUUUUUUUAGAGAUUUUCAUUUCGAAAUCCCUUUUCUUUUUCUGAAAAGUGAGGGUGUAAGGUCUUUUUCUUUCUACAGAGCACUCAGAGGAUUGACAGACGACAAGCUCUGCCAAAAAAAUAACGCAGAGUUCACUUUUCAAAUUAAAAGAAGAACAAAAUGAGUAGCACGUUUAAUCUCACGCGCCGCCGAUGAGAAGAAACAACGACUGUUUCCCUCUCCUCUCUCUGGCCUCCAAGUUCAAAAUAAAACUUUCCCGUUGGAGGAAAAAUCCAGAAAUUGACAGUGGGAAGUUUUGUCACUGCUCUGUUUUAUUUUCAGUUGACAAAAAACAAAAAAGAGAAAUCUUUUGUCUUUUUUAAAGAUCUACGAUUCCCUCAAAAACAGCAUGGUGAUUUCGAGUUUAUGAAGUAAAAACAAAGGAGGGUUUGUAGUUUUCAUGUGGGUAGCAGUAGAGUGCCAGGCUAUGCUCUGCUUCUAUAUUUUUACAGAGUGUGCAUACAGAGUGCUUUGAGGAAACUGAAAAGAAAUUCAAAUGCAAAACUCAGAAAGCAUAAUGGCCAUGGAUGGAGGGACCAAACGUUUGUUAAGCUUUGAAGAACAAACAGAGGAGAAAUGCAGGAGAAGUUGAGAUAGAAAACAGAGAUUGCAAAACCAGAGUAAAGAGGAGCAAACGCAGAGAAGAAAGAACUUGCCUGGUGGGAGUUGGGGUUGUACUCGUCAGAGCUCGAAAUGGAGAAAAUGGAGGUUGAUAAAGGAGUAAUAGUAGCUAACUGAUUGCGAGGUUGCAGCCUGGCGAGAGGGAAAGAAGAACAUGUAGUUUAAGAAGAAGAAGAAGAAGGUGCCAUGAAGCUAAAGGCAAACGCUCUUAAAUGAUGAUCUCGAGGAUGGAAUUGGAGAGUGGGGGAGUGGAGUGGAAUGGUUUACUGAAAAUUUGAAAAUUUGAUCCAUUGGAUAUUUUAACAUCUGACCCCAACAAAAUUACACGUGUGGAUUAUAUUUCUCGGCUUUGGUUGAUUUACCCGGUCGGUCAGAAACCAUCUGAAAUCGAUCCAAUCAAAGCGGAUCAAAUCAUUGUCGAUCCGGUUCUUUCUCACGUUCACGGAUAUAGGAACAAGGUUGAAAGUGAAACCGCAAAUUAUGAGAGCUCCAGUCACAAUAGUGUUCCAACUUCCAAUAAUCACACUAACAGACCACUUCAUUUCGAACCUCUUGUUCGAAAAUCAGUGUAUUCAGACUUGAAAUUUUGAAUAUUUCAUGUACAGAGUCUCACUAACCCAAUUUUCCCCAAAUCGUCCAGCUUGAGCCAACUGUAAUGGCCCAAAUCAACAAAGCCCGUGGCUCACAAACCACCCGUGGGUUCGGGGUUGGCUAAAAGGGCAGAAAACAGGUCGGUCACAUACAAAUCAUUCAAUGUGGGUUCGGGUUCGAGUACUCGGGUAAAUAAUCGGGUUAGUGUCAUGAAUGCCAAAGCAAAGCUCUUUUUCUAUUUUCUUAUUUAAUUUGCAACCACCUGCACCCUACGGUGUUGAUUCAGAGACCAAUCUGGAAAACAACUAAAACCAACCACAUUACAGAAGUGAAGAAUCUGAAUCAUUAUGAACACUAUCCAAACAAACCUUUCACUACCGCAAACCGAUUUUCGAGUCUCACAACGAUCCGACGCCCACCCCGAGAGCUUUAGAUACUAUUGCCAUGUGCUGCCUUGUGCAGUCGUCACAGCUCGAGCCUCAGCAAGCGAGACGGCCAUAGCCAUCAUCAUCUGUUCCUCGAAGCAGACGUUCUGGAAAUUCCCUCCCAUCUCAUCAGGCAGUGUAGGCGGCGGCGGAGAUGGCAGUAAUACUGUGGAAAUGUCACUCUCUUCUGUUGUAACAGAGCUCGAGUAACUUGUACGUGCUUCGGCAGCAUCAGAUCCACGGCUAGAAGUCCACUCCGUGUUAUCUUUUGUUAUCUUUUGUGGCUAAGAUUUCGCAGUCGGGUGAAACGUUGCUGGAACUCUCUGCUGGAGUGUAACUACUUGCUUGCUGGUUCACCGUGUUGUAAGAGCUGUUACAGCCAGGAAGUAAGUUCGCCACGGAGAUGUUCCCGUUUGUAAUGGAAGUAGAUGGAUCUCCACCCAUCUGCUGGCGUUCGGCAAGGGCAGCAAUAGCACAAGCAAGGCCCCCGGAAGGGGAUGAUGACGAGCCAACAACUGGUGGAAUUGCCGGGGUUGAUGAAUAGCAUUCUGGGGCAUAUUGCUCGGACGAAACAUCAUACGCCAAAUUCCUAGGUCUGCCAUUUUCCUGCAGAAUAAUUCACCAACACACAAUGAAUGCUUCUCUCUUUGUAGAAGUGGGAGCAACAAUUAGCAUCCAAGGAGCGGGCUUUGAGUUGCAGAAACGGUUACGAGUAAUUCCAGUUAGUUCUAUAGAACACAUCUAAUUGCAUAAUUGACGAAAACAGAGUGGCAAUCACAUCAAGCGAGAGAGGCACAGUUCAAGAAGACUUCAUCAUUCAUACACGUGGAAGAGACCAAUCAGCAAAGCUUACACUUGAAAAAACUGCAAAGUGCUUCUGACAAUUCAGAAGCAUACAUAUCUAACAACGUAAUAGAAGUGAGGAUCGAAAUAAAGAUAUCGAGGAUAAACAUAUGAGUUAUACAACAGCGGGGAACCCUCAAACAUGGUCAAUUACAGCAUUAGAUGAAUAUGUACCGCCUGACAAAACUACCAAGAGACAGACACGUCUAUCGAGGAAGCUACUAUACCUGAAUAGAAAGCCAGAUUGCCUCCAUGACCAUAAUAUCUUCGAGAUCCAGGUCAAAUUCACCAUCCCUUCAGUUUGGCAACAUUUCAAUAUGGUAUCAAGUCGCAGGUAUUGAACAGGCUGUUACUAGUAACAAACAAGAAAUGCAUAUGCAAUAUGCCGAAACACAUUCAUAACUAUGAUUCGGAAAUCCAUACACCAAAAACACCAAUAAGGUUAAUGUUAAUAAGCACCAAACGGGAAGUAAGAAAAGAAUAUUUGUACAAUAAACUGCGUCUAAAGAAGCAAACCAUUACAAUAAGAAACUUUCAAAAGCUCAAGUCCUCCAUAAUCUACAAUCACCAUUGCCUGAACGUGAUGCUAGUACACAAUAAUUGGUAACAGAUGAACCUUCAGCUAUAACAGUAGCAUCCUUAUGGUUCUAAUGAGGUGCACUACUCUACCUCAACCUCAUGCAGUAAUCAGCAUAGACCACUAGCCUCACAAAAUAUAUAGUCGAACUCGAAGUGGCAUGAAAGAAAUAAAUAUGAUGUCCAUAAGAACAAAGAGAAUCAGAAGAAUUCAGUUGAGGAACAAAUGAUCAGAAGUAGCCAUUGACUUCUUCAUCCACUGAGAAGGAUGACUUAUAAAAUUAUGAUCUUCUAGGAUUCAUGAAUGAGGUAGCAUAAACAAUUACCAAGAAGUUAUUUCACUCCUAAAAUUUUUCACCAGAUUGAUAAAAACAAAGAUAUUUACAUAAGGAGUCAAGGAAAAAUGUAAACCAAUCUUUUUUCGUCAGGUGAUGCACAACAUACCUGCUCGGUCUUGACAAUACAGGAUCUCUGGUAGAAGGUCGAGAAGAAACAGUUUCCUCAGUUCCGACUGCAACUGCAUAGGAUGAAACUGGAGAAAAACUGAAAAGAUAAGUAGACAGAGAGCGAAAAAGGGGGGGAAACUCUAGUAUCCAGGUAGGAACAAGCAGUGCAGAGUGGUGAUACCUGCUGAAGAGCCACAAUCAACCUCUUCAGAUGCAACCUCUUCAGGUGCAACAUUAGAACUGGAAGAACUUGAUUCUAGUCUUUUCUGCAUCCUGUCUUCAUCAUCCUGAAGUUCUUGUUUCCGCAUCCUUAAUUUUGCUUCAAUUACUCGUUGUUCUUCCUGAAAGAUUUGAAUAAAAUUAACCAAUUCUUGAAAAUACUUGCAAUUUGUGGAAGCAAAUGAUUAAUAAGAUAAUAUAUUACAAUUUGCUCCAAGCCCUUUUCCUCUUUCGUUUUUACACCACGGUACUCCACAGCAUAAUUUGAUGUUUUGCAGAAAGGACAUCUAGUAUAGUUAAGUACAGCACCCAGAAAAUAUGACAGGCGAAUAAGACAUGGAUGUAGAAGGUACAACAAAUAAAAACUGAUAUCUGCAGUAAAAGGAUACUGAGUAGGACGGGUUGAAUUAGGAUUUUUCAUCUGCAGAAAACACUCUGUUGCAGAGAAGAAACAUCAAAGUGUCAAUUCACAAAUUAAUCACUGAUAAGUAUUAAAAAAGUAUGAGUCAAAGGAUCUGACUAUUACCUGUACAGAUACCCUUCAGGCAGCAUCUUGACCUGUUGAGGCUUGGGUAAUACUGAAACAAAAACACAUUGAAAACGAUACCCCGUUCAUGUCAAGUACUCUUUAUAGCAUGUGAAACAACUGCUUCCCAUUCACAGGCGCAUUUCUGUAUCCUUCACCCCACCCCCGAAGUCUAAAAAAAAAAAAAUUUGGCAUCUAAAAAAUGUCUCAUUCUACCAAGCAGAGUAGAUGAGAAAAUCAGCAGGCAACUAUUUCGUGAAGAAAUUGUUCCAGAGAAGUAAUAACUAAGACAACCUAGAGAAGAUACUUAAGAUGCAACUACAAUGGAGAUAGAUGAGCAAAUAAACCGAAAGAGAUACAGACCAGGAAACAAAUAGGACAUUCUUCGUGAUCAUUGCAGAGCUCCUCGUCUCCGGGAUAGCAAGGUGCCAGCUUGGACUCAAGUAUGAGUUUUCUUAGCUUCUUGUGGUCUACGUCUUUGUGGAGAUACAAUCCUUGUGGCUUUGUAUACCUCUCAUCCACCACUUGCUUCCUCCUUCCCAACUUAUUACCCAUAGUACUUUAUCUGUAACACCCCUUGCGCUAGUUUCUUGAUGUUGUAUUCUUCAACUGGAAAAACGAAGGUGAAGACAGCAGCAACGUGAGAAAUCAAACUAAACUAGUUUGUCCAAUUAUUUAGCUCAGCGAAAUUGAAACUAAAUUCCAAACGUACUACAGGAUAUCUAGACAUCCAAGUCACAGCAUAAUGAUCCUACACUACAGCCAGAGUACUUGCUUCAGUCCUGCAGGAAACCAUCGUUUUCCAACAGUCCUGCACGCAAAGAAUUCAUAAGCAAAAAAUUAACAAACGUAAGAUAAACAGUGCAGUCGCAGUAUCAGACAAGCACUAUCAACAGAAGGAAUAGUGCGGCGACGACGACUAACAAACAUUAGGUAAGGAGGAAGAACGCAAUUCCACAAUUGGAAAAAUAGCUUCUGAUUGCGGCACAGGUGAACAUCAUACAGCACAGAGAACAGAAUACAAUCCACACUCGGAGCUGAAUACGAGAAAAAGGAAACAAACCUAAGCAGGAACGAAUCAAUUGCGAGGAGAGACUGGAAAAUGAAAAAAAAUAAAAAAUGCACACACAUAACCCUCCACAGAUGACAUAACCACAGCCUAGUCGGAGAGCAACCGAAUCCAACCGAAAGAAAUCACAGACAGUAAAGCAGGUAGACACAUCAAUGUAAGAAUUUCGUCCAAUAAGAACGUAAAGGCAAAAAGGAACAACACAGAAAAGCGAUAGAGACAAGAGGGAGGUGGAGAGGUGGGGGGGAACCUGGAAUCGUGGAAAUCUAGAAGGAAAUGGAGAGAGCGGGAAGAAGGAGGAGAAGAAGAAGGAUGAUAGUGAUUCUUCGUUCUCUGUUGUGGUGGAGAUCGACAGGUCGGAGAGGAAAGAAUUUUGUGCUUUGUGUAUCGUUGCGGUGAGAGGGAGAGAGGGAGAGAGAGAGGAAAGGAAGAAAUGAAGAGAAUGGGGACAAAGAUUAGACGGAGAUUGAUGAGAGCGAGCAGGAAGAAAUCAUUUCUUUUUCUAUUUUUUCUUCCGUUUAUUUUUUAUAAAUAAAUAAAUAAAGUUUGUAGCAUUGUGAUUGACGAGAAAUCAUAAAUAUAUUGCCGCUUAUUAUUAUUUAUGAAUGUUUUUUUGUUUAUUUAUUUUACUCACGCGUGUGUGUGAAUUUUUUAUCGGAUAAAAAAUUGGCUCAGUUUUAUUCAUGUCAUUUUCAUUUUCAAAUUAAUAACGUUUAUGUACACCUUUUCAAAAUAUUAUUUAAAUAGGCAAAAAAAAUUGUGAGGAGGUGACCUAUUUUUCAGGGAAUGACGUGGAGAAGCAAUAGCACUAUUCGGUAGAGUGCUCCCCGGGUAAAGAAUCAUUUCUGCCCUCCUAAUCCUCAAAGGCACACCUGAGAUAAGUUAGAUUUAUGAUAAAAUAGUUUAUUUUUUUAUUGACGAUUACUUUAGUAAUUGUUUGGGCCAAAAAUAUUCUCAAAGGCCCAAAGGAACACUUAGUAUUAGGCUUCAAGUAGGGAGUAAGCCCGCCAAAGGAGCCCCAUAAACGCACCCUCAAGUCGGAGCACCUUACUCCAGUUAGAACUGGGAAUUUACGGCCGACGGCGAGAGAGGAAGUAGCCAUGGAUAUAUGAUCUCUAGCUUAAUUAGUACUAUAGCUUAAACAGUUGGUUCAGAUCGAUGGCAGCUGGUACUAAUAGUACGUAGUUAGUUGUCAAGCGGAGGAGGUCGCCAACGUACGUACGUAAGGGUUAAUUACUCUGCAUGCAUACAAUAAAUUCAUGGCUUCUUCUUUCUUUCUUCCUACCACUUGGUUGCUCUGUCUACGCGACAAGUGUUCGGACACAGUGUUUCAUUUUACCCUCUCUCUUCAUGUAUCCAAACCACCGUCCAAUUUCGGGAAAAUAUUUCCUUUUCCAUAGAUAAAAAUAUAAAAGUAGGUGUCUUACUAUAUUAAACUAUAAUAAAAUAGGAGGGCCGAAGAUUUUUAGUAUGUUGAGAAUAACGAUUUGUUUUUCCUCCAAUCGUCGCUUUUAAUUUUAUAGCUUUAAUCAUGACUUUAAUAUUUGACAGAAACAUUUUUGGAUCUUCAAUUGAGUUUCUAAGGAAGGAUUUAUGCUGGUUUUUAUAAAGAGGAGUCGAGAAAAAUCAAGAGAAUUCGAGUUUGGAGAAGAUUACCCUUUUUCUUCAAAAUCUGCCCUUUUAUAAGAGGUUGUUCGAAAUUGGAGGGUGCACGCCGUGCACCUCCUUAUUUUCAAAAUUUCACGUAGCUGAAUGGAAGGAACGGCGUGCAGGGGUGCACGACAUUCCCUGUUUUAGGGUUGAGAUUUCAAGCCAUUCUAGGACUGCACGGCGUGCAACCCGUCUGUUCCAUUUUAUUUCUCGAUCUUCCGUUCGAGUUCCAACCAUGCUCUACUUCACGUCCAUAGCUUCAUAACUAAACCACCUAUCUCUAAAGUAUCUGUGGAUAACAAAUACUAAACAAAACACAUCAAAUGAUGAUUGGAGAGGGUGCUUAGUGUGUCUGCGAGGCAAGAUUGGGUGUUACCCUUGGUGUGUGAGUCCAGCUUGAGGAGAAGGACACUAAUAGCCACCCAGUUUCACCUAAAAGGAAGGAAGGUGCUCAAGAUCUACGAGAGAUAUGCUCAUAGCGAAAUUUUCUUCAUCAUCAUUCCUUGCGACUCUGGUGGUGGGUGGUUUUCUUUGCUUAAGAAGAUUUACGAGGCGUCGGGUAAAGGUUUGUUAACAAGCGGACGUUAAAAAGGGUGGUGGCUAGAGGACCUUUUCCAUUCCGAGGAAAGUGUUUUAGAUCAAUGGUGGAGGGCCUGGAUGGAAUUCAGACGAUUCUGUAAUUUGAUUCAAACCAACCAUCCAAUCUUUCGAUGGAAAUCCGACACUCUAAACUCUGAGAUCCUCGACCACCUCGAUCCCGCAACAAAACACCCCCCCCGGAAAGACCCUCAUCCCUCCCCUAGAUCUAACGCUCCGACUCUCUCUCACUCUCUCACUAACCUUCUCUCUCAUCCUAUAAUUUAUAUAAAAAAGUUGUUAUCUCAUCAUUCACAUAUAAAUAUGUUAUAUUUUGAUAUGUAGGCUAUUAAUUAUUCACUCAAAUUCACUUUUAUUUACGUAUAUAAUUUAUUUUUACAUUUUACUUAUAAAAAAAGUUUUAAAAUUUUGAUUGGCUAGUGAAAAAGAGAAUGAUAAGAUUUGUUGGUGAAUAAAUAAAUGGGUGGAAAAAUAAAUUAUGUGUGUGAAUAAAAAUAAAUUUGCAUGAAAAAGUAAUGUAAAUAGUGAAACAGUGUGCCAAGAAAUUAUAUAAUCAACAUCUCUACAAAAUUAUUGUAAAAAAUUAAAAACAUCUCUACGAGAUUAAUUCUUUUAUCAAAUCGUUUUUAUCUAUCCUUUUUCUUAAUUAGUAAAGAUUUUAUUAUGAAAGAACCAAAGUUCCAAAAGGAUAAAAUAAAUAUUAAUUUAUCUUUUUAUAAGAUGCAAAUUGUNNNNNNNNNNNNNNNNNNNNNNNNNNNNNNNNNNNNNNNNNNNNNNNNNNNNNNNNNNNNNNNNNNNNNNNNNNNNNNNNNNNNNNNNNNNNNNNNNNNNNNNNNNNNNNNNNNNNNNNNNNNNNNNNNNNNNNNNNNNNNNNNNNNNNNNNNNNNNNNNNNNNNNNNNNNNNNNNNNNNNNNNNNNNNNNNNNNNNNNNNNNNNNNNNNNNNNNNNNNNNNNNNNNNNNNNNNNNNNNNNNNNNNNNNNNNNNNNNNNNNNNNNNNNNNNNNNNNNNNNNNNNNNNNNNNNNNNNNNNNNNNNNNNNNNNNNNNNNNNNNNNNNNNNNNNNNNNNNNNNNNNNNNNNNNNNNNNNNNNNNNNNNNNNNNNNNNNNNNNNNNNNNNNNNNNNNNNNNNNNNNNNNNNNNNNNNNNNNNNNNNNNNNNNNNNNNNNNNNNNNNNNNNNNNNNNNNNNNNNNNNNNNNNNNNNNNNNNNNNNNNNNNNNNNNNNNNNNNNNNNNNNNNNNNNNNNNNNNNNNNNNNNNNNNNNNNNNNNNNNNNNNNNNNNNNNNNNNNNNNNNNNNNNNNNNNNNNNNNNNNNNNNNNNNNNNNNNNNNNNNNNNNNNNNNNNNNNNNNNNNNNNNNNNNNNNNNNNNNNNNNNNNNNNNNNNNNNNNNNNNNNNNNNNNNNNNNNNNNNNNNNNNNNNNNNNNNNNNNNNNNNNNNNNNNNNNNNNNNNNNNNNNNNNNNNNNNNNNNNNNNNNNNNNNNNNNNNNNNNNNNNNNNNNNNNNNNNNNNNNNNNNNNNNNNNNNNNNNNNNNNNNNNNNNNNNNNNNNNNNNNNNNNNNNNNNNNNNNNNNNNNNNNNNNNNNNNNNNNNNNNNNNNNNNNNNNNNNNNNNNNNNNNNNNNNNNNNNNNNNNNNNNNNNNNNNNNNNNNNNNNNNNNNNNNNNNNNNNNNNNNNNNNNNNNNNNNNNNNNNNNNNNNNNNNNNNNNNNNNNNNNNNNNNNNNNNNNNNNNNNNNNNNNNNNNNNNNNNNNNNNNNNNNNNNNNNNNNNNNNNNNNNNNNNNNNNNNNNNNNNNNNNNNNNNNNNNNNNNNNNNNNNNNNNNNNNNNNNNNNNNNNNNNNNNNNNNNNNNNNNNNNNNNNNNNNNNNNNNNNNNNNNNNNNNNNNNNNNNNNNNNNNNNNNNNNNNNNNNNNNNNNNNNNNNNNNNNNNNNNNNNNNNNNNNNNNNNNNNNNNNNNNNNNNNNNNNNNNNNNNNNNNNNNNNNNNNNNNNNNNNNNNNNNNNNNNNNNNNNNNNNNNNNNNNNNNNNNNNNNNNNNNNNNNNNNNNNNNNNNNNNNNNNNNNNNNNNNNNNNNNNNNNNNNNNNNNNNNNNNNNNNNNNNNNNNNNNNNNNNNNNNNNNNNNNNNNNNNNNNNNNNNNNNNNNNNNNNNNNNNNNNNNNNNNNNNNNNNNNNNNNNNNNNNNNNNNNNNNNNNNNNNNNNNNNNNNNNNNNNNNNNNNNNNNNNNNNNNNNNNNNNNNNNNNNNNNNNNNNNNNNNNNNNNNNNNNNNNNNNNNNNNNNNNNNNNNNNNNNNNNNNNNNNNNNNNNNNNNNNNNNNNNNNNNNNNNNNNNNNNNNNNNNNNNNNNNNNNNNNNNNNNNNNNNNNNNNNNNNNNNNNNNNNNNNNNNNNNNNNNNNNNNNNNNNNNNNNNNNNNNNNNNNNNNNNNNNNNNNNNNNNNNNNNNNNNNNNNNNNNNNNNNNNNNNNNNNNNNNNNNNNNNNNNNNNNNNNNNNNNNNNNNNNNNNNNNNNNNNNNNNNNNNNNNNNNNNNNNNNNNNNNNNNNNNNNNNNNNNNNNNNNNNNNNNNNNNNNNNNNNNNNNNNNNNNNNNNNNNNNNNNNNNNNNNNNNNNNNNNNNNNNNNNNNNNNNNNNNNNNNNNNNNNNNNNNNNNNNNNNNNNNNNNNNNNNNNNNNNNNNNNNNNNNNNNNNNNNNNNNNNNNNNNNNNNNNNNNNNNNNNNNNNNNNNNNNNNNNNNNNNNNNNNNNNNNNNNNNNNNNNNNNNNNNNNNNNNNNNNNNNNNNNNNNNNNNNNNNNNNNNNNNNNNNNNNNNNNNNNNNNNNNNNNNNNNNNNNNNNNNNNNNNNNNNNNNNNNNNNNNNNNNNNNNNNNNNNNNNNNNNNNNNNNNNNNNNNNNNNNNNNNNNNNNNNNNNNNNNNNNNNNNNNNNNNNNNNNNNNNNNNNNNNNNNNNNNNNNNNNNNNNNNNNNNNNNNNNNNNNNNNNNNNNNNNNNNNNNNNNNNNNNNNNNNNNNNNNNNNNNNNNNNNNNNNNNNNNNNNNNNNNNNNNNNNNNNNNNNNNNNNNNNNNNNNNNNNNNNNNNNNNNNNNNNNNNNNNNNNNNNNNNNNNNNNNNNNNNNNNNNNNNNNNNNNNNNNNNNNNNNNNNNNNNNNNNNNNNNNNNNNNNNNNNNNNNNNNNNNNNNNNNNNNNNNNNNNNNNNNNNNNNNNNNNNNNNNNNNNNNNNNNNNNNNNNNNNNNNNNNNNNNNNNNNNNNNNNNNNNNNNNNNNNNNNNNNNNNNNNNNNNNNNNNNNNNNNNNNNNNNNNNNNNNNNNNNNNNNNNNNNNNNNNNNNNNNNNNNNNNNNNNNNNNNNNNNNNNNNNNNNNNNNNNNNNNNNNNNNNNNNNNNNNNNNNNNNNNNNNNNNNNNNNNNNNNNNNNNNNNNNNNNNNNNNNNNNNNNNNNNNNNNNNNNNNNNNNNNNNNNNNNNNNNNNNNNNNNNNNNNNNNNNNNNNNNNNNCCCAUUCUCUUAUUCCACAAGAUUGAACACAUGCAUAUAUGAUACCUCCAUCCCACCCACCUAACGGCGGCCAUUUCUAAUUCUCAGCUCCAGCCGCCAUCUUGUCACCCUGCUGCUCCUUGCCGCGGAGGCCGCCAGCUGCUGCUGCAUUAUACUUGUCCUGACUACCUUCCUUGCCGAAUAUGAGAAAGAAGGGGGGGACCAGUAUACCAUCGCUCUCCUCCUGGUCGCGGAGGGCGCCAGCUGCUGCGGCAUUAUUAUACUUGUGGCCGAUAUCCUGACAACCUUCCUUGCCGAAUAUGACAAAGAAGGGGGGGAUCAACAUACCAUCGCUCUCCUCCUGGUCGCGGAGGGCAGCUGCUCCAUUAUACUUGUCCUGACUACCUUCCUUGCCGAAUAUAAAUAAGGGGAAGACCAACAUACCAUCGCUCUCCUCCUGGUUGCGGAGGCCGCCAUCCUUUCCAGAAAUAGGAGACAAGGUACUAGUAGCAGCAGCAACUGCUCCUUUCGGGUAGGGACGUUUGCAUGAGACAGCUGCUGCUUUCACUGUUGUUGUUGUCUUGGGAGUAAUGAAAAGGUCUGCUGGUGCCUUGUUGUUCCUGGAGGAGGAUGGUGGGAAGGCAUUAUUAUUACGGCCGGCGGCGGUAGCAACUAGGCUAGUGGUCAGAGCCAGAGAGGACACAACAGCCAUGGUAACUUAUAACUAGGGAUGGACGAUUGAUGUGAUAUGAUAGCUGGUGGUGGUGGCUGAUACGUAGUGAAAUAUAGCAAGCAAUUUAUACCGUCAGUUGCUAUAAUUGUUUUAUAAAUUUUACGACGGGUGGCUAAACAUACGUAGUUGUCAAGCGGAGGAGGUCGCCAACGUACUACUGUUUCAUUCUUCAUGCAUGCAUGGAUCCUGCGGCCUACCACUUGUUUAGUUUGUCUACGCGCCAACUGUUCGGACGCAGUUUUUUCUCUCCUGCUGUAAUCCAUCCACAUCACCGUUAAAUUUUGUUUCUCUUUAAUUUGCAGACUUGCAAAAAUAAUUGCAUGCCUUUCUUCAUUGCAAUUCUGCACGUACGUGCGCCAAUUACAUGAAUGCAAUGGAUGAUUAACAUACUAACAUGCACCAGCUCCGUAUACGGACUGUACUAACAGACGACGUUAAUUGAAUUCUUUUGUAAACGCGCGGCAUCGUAGUAUAAAAAUAUAUAGCCAUUAGUAUUUUUAAAAAAAACGCGCAUUUCCUAACAGUGUUAUCUUUUAAAUGAAGUUACUCCAGUGGUAAAAUUGUAGAGGUUUCGAGUUCGAAUUCAACACAUCCAUAAAAUGGACACCACUAAUCAAUUAUAAUAUUUAUUUUCUCUCUUAUAUCUUAUAUUUACCAAGAAUUUCAGCCUACAAUCCGAUUGAAAAAAAGUACUCAUAUCUGCACUCAUUUUGUUUAUAUUCGGUUUUCCCGACAGUGGACCUGUAUUUUUUUAGUAUUGUAGUUUCAAACUUUCGAUAUUUUUAUCGGUCAUAUUUUUAUUUUUAAUUUGAUCAUACUAAUUACUUUCAAUUAUAAAUCCGUCACAACUUAUAUUUGUUGCCGUACUCAUUCAUCGACUUUUAUACUCGCUUUUUGAACAAUGAACUAAAGUCGUAUAAUUAAUCAUCCAAUUAAUUCUUUCCUGUCAACGGGUCCACCUCAUUCGCCGGAACUAUAUUAGGAAAAAUAUGUAAAAAAUUGACCUCUUAAUUAUAAUCGUUUAACACGUGUACUAGUCUUUUUGUUGCUGUUAUUAGCAACAAGAAGGCUGGCGGUGAUGGUAGUCAGAGCCGGAGAGGAAACGACAGCCAUGGUAUUGGUAACUAAUUAACUAAGUAAGGAUGAUUGAUAUGAUAUGAUAUGAUAGGAGCUAGGUGGUGGGUAUACUACGUAGUGAAAUAUAGCAACCUAUUUAUAGGAAUGAAUACGUCGGCGUCAGUUGCUAUAAUUAUUAGCUGUUUCAAAUAUUAAUUGACGAUCCAAUAUUAAUUGACGACGGGUGGCCAAACUUACGUAUGCGUAGUUGUCAAGCGGAGGAGGUCGCCAACGUACUGCAUGUUUCAUACUUCAUGCUCUCUGCAUGCUCCAUGCAUAAUAUAUAUAUAUAUAUAUAUAUAUAUGGAUUCUUCUUCCUAUCCACAUACCACUUUUCCGGCCGUUAAAAAGUCGCUUGAAUUCCAAAAAAAAUACAAAGAAAGUUCAAGAAUCCAAAAACUUUAGAUUUCAUUGUCUAUACAAAUUCGGAUCUAAAAGGAUCGAUAAGUAUAGCUGAGCAUAAAAGACACUAGAAAGAAACGAAACAUCCCAAGCCACAAAACAUUAGGUAACACGGAAAUCAAUCACUCUCACAAUCCAUCUUCCAAUCACUCUCGCAAUCCAUUUUCGUAAAAAAAAUCGUCAUCUUUAAGAUGUUACCAUAACCCAAGAGUUUAUUUGAUUUCCGAUUUUAUUGACAACAUGCUUAACGUCCUAUAUUUAUAUUUAAAUUCAACAAGUAAAAUUACAUGAAUGCCUCUCGAACCUAAUCUUUGAAUACACAUCUCACCGCCGACUGUCAUUCCAGACCGUCGGCAACGCCGACGACGUGUACGGGCGGUGUUGACUGCCGACUCCUUCGUGGGGCGGUCGGCACGCCGGCGGUGAGGGGUGUCCGGCGGUGACGACGAUUUUCAGUUUACGAUUCAAAGGACGUUCACGUCACGUCAUUUUUAUUACCAAACUCAAAUAUUACGACGAUGUUAAGGCGUUUAAUAGUAAAAUGUAGGGCGUUGUUUAACGAUUCCUAAAUUUUUGUGAGAAUAUAGCCAAUCCAUAUAUCAGCUGGUUACUUGUCAUAUAUACGAAGUCUAAAGUCUAGUUACUUAUCAUAUAUACGAUGCAUAUAUACCAAUUACCUUCAAGUGAUGAACACAUAUUAUUAUUAUUAUUAUAUUUUUUUAUUCUGUUACAGAGCAAACAGCCAAACAUAUAUAUGAAGCUGAUCAUCAUCAAACAGUAGUGCAGGCGUGAAGCUAGCAUGCAUGCAUCUCCCUCCUCCUCCUCAACGACGGCGUUUUUAAACUAGCCGAAUAUCCAAAAGAAGAAGGGCUUCAACAUAUCAUCGCCGCCGCCGCUCCCCUCUUCCUGGUGGUGGUGGUGGUGGCUACCCGAAAGUUUGCAUGAGACGGCAGCUUUCACUGUUGAUGUUUUGGGAGUAAGGAAAAGGUUUGCUGGUGUCUUGCUAUUGUUGUUCCGGCCGGCGGCGGCGGUAGCAACUAGGCUGGUGGUCAGAGGGACAGAGGAAGCAGCCAUGGUAAUUAAUUAAGGAUCGAUGAUAAUAUAACGAUUUCUACCUAGAAAUACGUUGGUACUUAUAGAUAUACGUUGGCCGCUGUAUGGGUGAAAUAUUGGGUUUGGUCCGACCAAGUUUAGUCUGAUCCGGUUAACCCAAAAGGUCAGAUUAAAUAUAGUCGGGCCGUGUUUGAUUUUGUAAAAUAUAGAGAUUUUGAUCCCAACCUAACGGAAGUCUGAUUAAACCGGGUGGGGUCAGGCCUGAUCUGACCAAAUUCUACUUUGGGUCGAGCUCGAUUUGGCUUGAUCCGACCCGAUUCUCUUCCAAAAUCGACAGUGUGAUGAGUUGGUGACUGUUUUAAUUUGGCGACGGGUGGCCAACUACGUGCUUGUCAAACGGAGGAGGUGGCCAACCAACCUUAGCUUUUGUCUUCUUCUUCUUGGUUCAAUGCUCUGCAUGCAUGGAUUCUUCUUAAAUUGUUAAUAUACACUUGUUUGCUUUUUUUCUGCGCCAGCUGUUUCGACAUGCAGUUUCCAUUUACUCUCGCAGGCACCUUUCUUUGUAUCCACAGGACUGGAUCAAGGAGUUCUAUUCUAUGCGGGAGAGGACUUGUAAUAUAAUUUCAUCGAAGUAUAGUGGAGUUGUUGCUCGGAUUACGAUCUUGUAAUUAUUCUAAUUUAGGUUACAAUAAUAUUAUUAAUAUUCCUUCCUAACUAUUUUUUUUUGAAAUUCACACAUGCGCCAACGGUUGUGAUAAAACGGUACAGGCAUAUUUUAUAGUAAACACAACAUUAUUAUUUAAGCUACCCUCCUCCUCUUCCUACCUACAUUAAUACUCAUUUCAUAAAUGUGCAUAUAGUACACAUUUAAUUUAUUAUGGGGCAGCGGAGGCGAAAUAAGAGGUCAGCUACGAUUUCCAAAUAUGAUGAGGUGAGCAAUGUAGCCAACAUCCUUGCCGAAUAUCAUAGGAAAGUAGGGAACAGUACUGCCAGCAUCGCCGGCCUUCUCAACCUGGCCCUUGCCGAACACGUGAGGGAUGAAGCCGUAAACGCCAGCAUCACCAUUCUCAACCUGGCCCUUGCCGAACACGUGAGGGAUGAAGCCGUAAACGCCAGCAUCACCAUUCUCAACCUGGCCCUUGCCGAACACGUGAGGGAUGAAGCCGUAAACGCCAGCAUCACCAUUCUCAACCUGGCCCUUGCCGAACACGUGAGGGAUGAAGCCGUAAACGCCAGCAUCACCAUUCUCAACCUGGCCCUUGCCGAACACGUGAGGGAUGAAGCCGUAAACGCCAGCAUCACCAUUCUCAACCUGGCCCUUGCCGAACACGUGAGGGAUGAAGCCGUAAACGCCAGCAUCCCCCUUCUCCUGACCGAAGAGGGGAGAGAGAGGAGGAUAGCCAGCAUCCUCAUUGUUCUGCCCAAAGAGUGGAGAGAGGGGAGGAUAGCCAGCAUCCCCCUUCAUCCGAGCUUUGUAUGAGACAGCAUUAGUAGCACCGGGAUAGGAUUUGCAUGAGACGGAAGCUGUCGGGGGCAACCUAUUUUUAGAGGCGCCAACGGUAGCAAGUAGGGUAGUUGUGACAGCGAGAGAAGAAGUUGCAGCCAUGACAACCUACGUCGUAACUUUGAGGCUUAAUUACUUGUAUGUGAGUAGUAGCUAGGGAGUGAGAUUAUGGUUUCAUGGCCUUAUUUUAUAGCAAUUCUUCGGGUGAAAUUACCAAGUAACGUAAGUAGUUGGCAGUUCAAUAUAAUAAUAAGUGAUUUGCCUACGGGUGGCCAACAUGCCUACAAUUCCUCUUGUGCAUACAGUAAGCCAUUACCACUUGGGAUUUUGUUAUUUAAUUCUCUGUGCCAAGUGUUCGGCGGCCCAUGUUUAAAGUCGUAAAUGGAUAAGUGCAUUCUAGUAUUUGUAACGCCUCAAACCUGCGAGGUUUACUUUCGAGCUAGCCCGAGUCGACCCAGUUUCACGAGGUUUACAUUUAAUUGAAGUUCUUUUUGACAGAGGUGGUUGUUUUUUUUUCCGUCAUAAUAGAUCGAGACUCUCUUUUAAUAUAAGAUAGAAAAUAUAAAAUAAACAGGUGUCCAAUUUUGAAUAUAUUAAAUUCAAACCUAAAAUUUUAGGAUAAUCAGACACAUAUUCUAUCAUUGGAGCAACUUCACUGAACAGAAAUAAUUGCUCUAUUUAUAAAGAUAAUGGCAGCAGCAAUGUGUGGAAGAUGAAUUUCGAAGGUUCCAUCCCUGUCGCCGACUUUGCUGCUGCAGUUGUAGUUGAUGGUGUGGGUGACGAUUGAAUUGAUGCUAGCCGUAUAUAUGAACUCCAACUCGGGCCCAACACAGAAGAAUCAUUGAUCUGCAAUCCCAAUUCUUUGACGGUACGAGGAAAGCAUUUCGGAAUCUGAAUGUUGUUUCAAGUUCAUAAUUAUUUGUAUAGCUGCUUACCAAAAUCCGCUUUGCUUCUGCAUUUUUCGCAGAUGUUUCAAGCUUUGGCUGGAGAUGGACUUGAACGUUCGUUCGUGUAUACUCACAUUGUUGUUUAUUCUUAUCAAGGGAGGGAUAUUGCUGAACACAUUGAGUUGCCUUGAUUACAUUUCUGAAUCAAACUCCAUGUGCAAGUAAGUUCUUGAUACUUCGCAUAAUCAUGCAGUAAGUUCUUAGUAGUUUUAUUUUUCAUUUAUGGUUUAAGCAAAAGAUGCAAGGUUCUUCUUAUCAGUCCAAUACCAUUGAUUACAAAUUUCCCUUGAAUAGUUUGGUACUAGCGACGUUAAGACUUCGAUACAAAUAACACAGUACAGAUUUACUAAUGGUGAUCGAAACAAAUAUGUAUUAUCUAAAUUAAUUUGGUUGAUUACGUAAUUUGUUCCAAAAUCAGAAACCACUUUAAGUAUCUAAACGUUUUUGCAAUUUUUCUGGUUUUACAGUGAGUUUUAUUCGAAAAUGGAUUGCUUAGUGGCUUAUGGCGAUCAAGCUCAAAAGUCCAUCUGAAUUAGUCUUUUGCGGCUAGCUCUUAGCCCAUCAGACAUGUAUAGCAAAAUUCUAGCGGACCACCUCAAAUUACGGAGCAAUAUUGACACGAUCUUACCAACCAUGUAUUGGGAUGAGGUUACCCAGAACUGCACGAGACAGAUGAGAACGGCAAGAGUUUCCGACUAACCGGAUUCUAUGGUUUCCGAACUUUGGACUACAAAGUUCGGCGCAAGCUAUGAUGCGAAUCCAGAAUUCUGAUGACCGCAAACGUCGCCGCUACGAGGAAACAUCUCUAGAUCUCAUGAAAAUAAAAGGCGUCAAGGUCCAGAAAUCACCACGGAAGCAAAGUCUGGGACAGCUAUCGGGCCUCACACUCGAGUAGAAUGCUGGCAUGGACCGAUUACAGAGCUAGCGUUGUAAUGGUACCGGAAUAAGGACUACCUUUUAGUCCAAUAGUUAGAAUUAUCUAGUGUCUUACUUAUUGUAAUAUGCGGUGACACUUUCUCUUCCCAUUUCUAUUGUCGUAGCUGAUAAGCAAGGACUAAGGUUUCAGCAGUUGCAGGGACCCGCUGCUCAUAUAGCUCCAUCUGGACUUUGUACCUCUGAUAGACACUUUUGCACGUUUCGUCUUGAUUGUAUAGUGAAAUGAAUAUCGAUUUCAUUUGUUAAAAAAAAAAAAUUAAAAAAAAAGUGAAAAAGAAACGAAAACUAACCUCUUCAUGGCCUUUGGAGGUUGUACCCCCAAGUCAUCUGAAGCAGCAGCAGCAUCAUCAUCAUGAUGUGACAACUUGUGUCUCGAAUAUCAUAAAACAAUAUAAUUCAAACCAAAGUUUUGAUGAUCAUCAAACAAACCCAGUUGAUGAGAUGGAGUUUACAACAAGAAGAACAACAAGCGCAGUAAAUCAAAGGGGAAAUAGUUCAAAGUCCUAACGAACACCGUUAGGAUCGCUCGAUGCCGGGAAAACAGCAACAACAUAACAUUCAAGAACACUGUAUCUUGAUCAAAAUCUCUCCCAAAUUAAAGUUAUUUUGACUCAUUAUUCUAGCAGAUACGUUGUAUAUGUGUAUCCUUCUUUCAAUCUGGAGCUUUAUUUAGGGGGGGAGAGAUCCAAGACUUGACGAGAAUGAAUACAACAACACAUGCAUGAUCAUCAGACCAUGAAGCUUUUGGCUGCCCAAGUACUGAAACUUUCCUCUGGCGCCGGAGCCGGGACCCGGCUUCCAUCUCCAUUCUGCUCCUGCAAACAAACCGCGAUCAAAAUGAUCACCAGUUUUAUGGAUGGAGAUAAUAAAUUGGGAGUAGCGAAGAAAUUACGCUGUACUGUUUGGGAGCCGGAUAUAUAGUACUUACUCGAUCGGACUUUGAGACUACAAUAUUCAAACAGUAGCAAGAUUUCAAAGUUAAUUAGUUGUCAAUUGUAUUGGGUUAGUUACCUGGGUUUGCUCUGCAGGAGCUGCAUCAAGAACAGGCACUUCAACUGACGGAGGAACUUGCUCCUCCUCCUCCUCCACCACUUCAGCAUCAUCAUCAUCACUGCUGUUCCCAAACUUAUAGUUCUCAUACCCCAGCAGUACCUGCAUCCAAAAUUACAUAAAAUAUAACUUGGAUUAUUAAUUAAAUUAUUAAUAUACAGAGUACUGUGGACAGUGUAUUAGGGUGAUAAUGGUUUUAUUAUAUAUUAACCUACCUUCUCAUACAACUUUGCCAGUGAGACUGAUACCUCGCUGCCAUAUCAACAUCAAAAACCAACCAUGUUAGUUUCAAACAAACUCGAAUAUAUGUAUGACGAUUUACGAUCAUAUUGUCACCACCAACUCCGAUCGAAAAAGAAAGCAGGGCAGGAGGGUCUACCCGAAACUAGAAUUGAGUAAUUAACCUCACUAGCUGGUCCAGCCAAGUGGGAAAUGGGUUGAACCAACGUGGCCAAUUACUGCCACACUCACUCGUUAAUAGAACUCUACAUAAGAGGAUUGCCUAAUAGCUAUAGGUUUCAAUUAAAAAUAUAUAUUGUUCUGUCUCGAGUAGCGGUCUUGUUCUCGAUAUAUAUUUGUUGUCUUUAAUGUAUCGAAAGACGACAAAAUAGUAAAAGGCAAUAAUCACCGGAGAAUAAGGUAUCUUCUAAGUCAAACCCUAUUCCACAAGACAAAUCGUUGAGAGAGUGAGUAAUUAGGGUUUCAACGAACUAUUGAUGACCCUGGUACAUAUUGAAGAGGUUAUUUAAAACGGUUGGGUUGGAGAAAAUUUUAAAAUGGAUAAGGUAUGUUCGACGUCAAACCCUAUUUCACACGACAAAACCGUUAAGAGAGUGAGUGAUUAGGGUUUCAACGGUCAAUUUCAUGAUCCCAACACGUAUUUAUUAUUUUUCGUUAUAAAUGAUGGUUUAUUCAUUAAGAAACAUGCACACAUCCGAGGUGUACGUACAUACGAGGGCAAAAAAAGACAUACACAGAAACACAAUACGCUGUUAUAUAUCUAUCAAAUUGCAUUGUCUACACCCACCCCGAUCCAAAUGAUUGGUAGAUGCAACUGCGAUCGAUAAACACAAACGACUGAAACGACUCAAACAAACAAAUGAUCCAACCCCUUCAAACAAAUUAAGAGACUACACCAGAUUUUGAAAACCCUAAUUCUGCUGCAGAGAAAUGUGAAACUGUAAACAACGUUAUACCUUGGGAGUCCAAGUUCUUCGGCAAUCUCCUCCCAUAAGUCGAUUGUGGUCACCUGUGUUAUAACAAUCAACAUUACAGAGACAAUUAGAAACACAAAACUAGAAAGCCUUGAUAAGGCCCUGAUUAGUCGCAAUUACUUUAUAAUUAAACUCAAGUAAACAACCAAACCCGAUUAUCUAUAUACUUAAUCAACCCCGAAUCUGUACCGAGUCUCCCUGACUCAACACAGAGUCACCCUCGAUAUAGCCAAGACCAAGUUCACCUUAGUCUUCGACCUUGGCGUACAUGAACCAUGUCGCGCCCCCAAAUCGAGGUGGCCAACAUGGUUCAAACCAGAUAUCACCUCGGAUAUAGCUCUAAGACCAAGACACUCUGGCAUAAAUCAUGUAGCGACCCCAAAUUGAGACGGCCAACAUGGUUCAAACCAGAUAUCACCUCAGAUAUAGUCAAGAUCAUGUUGCUCUGUCGUACGUAAAACAUAUAUGUCGCGCCCCCAAAAGCAAGACCAACAUGACUCAAAUUUUAUAUCACCUCAGACAUAACCGAUGUCAUAUAAUCUCCCCAUCAGUCUUUGUUGACUCAAUUUCAUACUCUAAAAAACAGACACGACCAAAAGCUAACCAGAUCAUACCAAACCCUUUAAUAGUUAGCCAAUCGUCCCCUCAUCACACUAACUAGUGAAGGGUCAACAUUAGUCUUGACAUACCUAAAAUUAUCUGACCGACCCAACAUAUAUCAGAGUCCAAAUCAAAAUCGAAAAAAUCAAACACAGAUAUAAAAAUAAAAAUAAAAUUAAACAAAAAAUUAAUAAACCUCAUUAUGCCCCCCAAGCUCCGUCACAAGCUUCCAGAGCCUAAACAAACAACACGAAGAUAUGAACACAUCGAACAAACAAUUAUUAGUCAAACCGGCACGAUACAAUUAUAAUUAACUCAACUUUUUUUUUAAUCUGUAACAAGAUUAGAUCAUAGUUUAACAAGAUUUUUUCUUUACUUUAGAAGAUGAAACUGAUGAUCCGGCGGCAGAUCACCGUCCACAUCCUCGUCGCCAUCGUCCCCGUCAAAAGGGACGAUAUCGUUAAGAAUGUAAUAUUCCAACAGAUCAUUUAUGAACUCAUCAACCUCCUCCUCCAGCGCGGAAUCGUACCCUUCCGGUUCUGGCGAGUAUAGCUCUGUCAACGACACAAACCCCGGCGCCUCCGGUGGCUGUCGGAAAUGGUCCUCCCUCAGAGUCAACACCUCGUUCAUCCUAGUGACCAGCCCUUCUUCUUCAUCAUGGAGUUCGUCUUCAUCCUCCUCCAUCACCGGUGCUUGGAUGUGGUCCACCACCACCCAGUCGUCCCAGAGGAGAUCGGCGUCAUCCUGGCCGUUCAUCUGGGUGGAUCUCAGUGCAGGCAUGUUUGGGAGAGAGAGCGGCGGCGAGUUGUGUUUAGGUUUUUGGUGUGGGCGGAGAGUGGUGGAGAGGGGGGAUGUUUAUAUAGGAACGACGAUAUGGAAACAACGUUCAUAUUUUCCAUGUAUGCAAAGUUAGUUUCAAAGGCGUUUCUUUAUCUGCAUGGCUGCCCCGUCGGCCGGCAGUUAAUGCAGCCAGCGGGGGUGGGUGGCGAAUGGUGGUCAUGGUCAAAUUUUAUUUUGUUGGAUUUUUUACUUUUUGAUACUCCAACUUCCGAAGACAUUUGCGACGGAGACCGCGGAGUUCUAUAACUUACUGGAAAGGUCACCAAAGUGGAAAGCUUGUUGUCGAAAUGGUCGGAUACUUCAAUAUUCACAUUUACUAGAUUCAUGAAAAUACUAGGUCAUCAAUUUGGAUUUUACCAUGUGUCGAUACCAGCACUGUAUUCAUAAAAAAUUUAAUUAAUCAAUUGCUUUUAGCUCGAUUAUGGUUUAAAUCAUGCACUUUAAUAUUCAUAUUAUCCAGCCUGCGUGUCAUUUUCAUAUUCAUACUCUAAACAUAUCUCACCAACUUGAAUUUUACCAUAUUUGAACAGUUCAUGUUUAAAUGCGAUCCUACUACUCAUCAUUUCCAUUGUCAAAAUAACAGAAUUAACGCUAGCUAGAUAAUAAGUUUGUCCUUCCAUGUCGACCGGAAGAGUUAGGAAUCCCUUUAUGUAUUAAUCGAAACUGUAACAACUCUAAAGCGCGAAACACCAAUAAAAUGCGUAAUUCAGAAACAUUCUCUAUAUGUUUAAUUUUCAUAUUUGCAUGGCGUAGCUCUAUAUACAAAACAUCACUUACCCUCACAAAACUAAAACUAUGAACUCAAAUGCCUCUUUCCUACACCAGGAUCUGUUAUUUUUGGUCUUGAAAGCAGAACUCUUUUCACUUUCUUUCCUCUUCCACCUUACCUUCAGAUGAUUCUUCAGUAGCUUUCAGGGCAGAUUCCUCACAGUCCAUCUUCUCUGUGCCUUCUUCAUUAUAACUCUGCUCUUCACUGCUGUUCUGCUCCAUGUUUUUCGAAUCGUCGUUGAUACCAUCACUGGGUACGAUGGGAUCAGCAGCAACUGGCUGCUCUUGUGGCAGAACAGCAGGGACAGAUUCGUCAUCAUCAUCAGAAGAGUCGAACUCCGGGUCGAUUUCUAGCUCCGGUCCUCCUUGUGGAACGUCUCGAGACAGUCUCGAACCUUUCCUAGACAGGACAUUUUUCAGGUUGCGAGCCGACUUCUCCACAUGGUUCAAGAAACGAUGCGGCAUGUGUUUCUUAUUAUCCCCCUUACCCGGGCUCUCAGCUGAAUUUGUCGACUCCGGACUCGAGUCCAACGCCUUCGAAGAAUCUUUACCGUGUAUUGGGCCAGAGAGGCUGUCUUCAACGAUGAACUUCACUCCGCCUUCUCUCUGAUUCGCUGCUCUAAUGUUGGCAUAAGGAGACUGAACACUUUCCUCGACAACUUCCGGAAUACUAACAUCUUUAGGACUUCUAUGGAAUGCUGAAGUGAUCUUACGCAGACCGCGACGAACCCUAUUUCCAGAUUUUUUACCCUCGGUAGCUUCAUCGGAGCUACUGCUGUCUACCACGGGCGAAAAACUGCUGCCAAAUGAAUCAUUACCUACAGCUUUCCCUACUUGCCUGGUUUUCCCCUUUCUUGGCUCCCAAGUCUGCGGUAAUUCGUUCCCAGGGUGAUGGAUCCACAUCCCGGUCUCUUGCUGUCCUGCGACAUUGAUUGGCUCGAAAUCGUCCGCUACCUUUUGAGAUACUUCCGAUGUUGCGGACGAAAAGGAAGACCUGUUCGGAGUGUCGUUCGCGAAAGACUGUUGUUGUACUUCUUGAUUGUUCAAGCCUUCUUCUCCUUCUAUAGAACAGGCAACGCCCUGGAAAAAUUACAUCGCGAAUUCCGUAUCAGAAAUUGUGAUUCGAUGGGAAACAACUCGAAUCUCGUUUAUUUAGAACGAGAAACAUAUAUACCUCCUUCUCCUCAUGGACGGUUAUCGCGAGAUGCAGCCUCCCGAUCUUGACAUUCUGAAGGGGCAACCACAUGUCGCGCCUCUCGCCAUCUCUCAACUCGUUAAUAUUCACAGUGCAGUUCCUGUAAAGACAUGAAGAAGAAGCUGAAUUUUCGUCACUUCGACUGCUAAAACCAAAGGCAACGUUUUGUUAUGCGGAAUGACAGAGAGACGAACCCGAGAGAGUCAUCGACGAAGUGGUCCUUGUCACGAACUUGAAGGACUAGCACAUUUGGUGAUUCCCAUGUAACAAUAGGGAUUUCAAACUCCUCAAGCCAUUUAGGAGUCAAGGUUUUCUUUUGUGUCUUCGUCCUGAACCCGUAGGGGCCAAGUUGUCCUUUCACAUAUGGAUCAGCAAGACCUGAAAGAGAUGAUCUCCAUAAAUUAAGAAUCAAUGUUCCAUCGAGUGUGAAAGGCCAUUAAUGCAGAAAGGAAAACGGAAGUAAUCUAUCGGAAAACAAACCAUUUAAAUCUGACGGUUUCAUCUCAGAUGCUUCUAUAACCUCGACUUUCGCAAAAGCAAUCGGCUUCUUCUCAUCCACAGAGAACCAACUUUCUGAAGACGAGAAAAGAAAAUGGAUAAGAUAAUUAGUUAUUAAGUCAUAUAACUAGUUACAGAAGCUUAUAUCGAGUUAUUCAUGUAACUAGUUACAUAUGUUUAUAACUAAGUGGCAAGUUAAAACUCAUUCUUCCAAACAGAAGUACAGCCAAAUAGGAACACGUUUCUCCAUCUCAACAGAAAGCAGGAAGAUUUACCUUCACUAGGUGAAACAAAUUUCUCCAUGUCAACAACUAGCAUAUUGGGCUGCAAGCAAAAUUAAUUACAAGUCCGGAUCAAGACCAAUUUUGCAGUUCCAUGAUAAGAGGAGAAUCAAAUAUUACAUUUUAAGUAAUAUGAACAUGAUAUGGAUCGUGUGUGUGAAUAUGACAUGAUCGGUUAAAAAAUAUACCUGAACCAGAGUCUCCUCAAACGCCAUAGACAGAAGUUUGUCCUAUUAAACAACAGAUUGACUGCAUAAGCUUGUGAUACAAGCAAAAUGGAAACAAGUUAUUGUUUAAUCCAUUCUUCAAAGAAUAAACUUACUAGCCACCCUGCUAUUCCUGGAACGACAGUUACAUCAACCCCAUGGGUAAAGAUGGGUUUCACAGUCAUCUGGAAAUAAGGUGGCUCCGCAAAGCAUACUCGUAGACGUCCAAUGAAAGGCCAGCGACGUAGGAACUUUAUUCCGAUCAAGACCUGAAACAUAUUUGCAUAAAUAAGCAAUAGAAAGUUAAAGACAUAUCAAUUAUAAUAUUUGUAAAAAACAAAUCAAUUAUAAGCUCUUAUAACUAGAAACUUGGAACCAGCUCUAAAUGGACAUGAACCACGCAAUAGGCCGCAUACCUUUCCUUCCACUUGCAUGCCGGUUAUAUGCAAUUUCGUCCACAUCCCAAAUCCCAGCCUCCUCCUCAAUUUUACAGCAAGAAUUGCACUCAUAUCAUCAGCCGUACACAAUUUCAAUCCCAUCUCCAAUGCCUGCAACACACUUUCAUGUCUUUCUUGAGGAAAUAGAUUGACAACCCUCUAAAAAUACAGAAUGCUAAGAAAAAUCGACAUGCUUUAUGGACAGGCACAUACCAAGUGGUCGUCGCCAGUACAUUGGCGAAGAACUCUCAUUUCUGUGAACAACGGCGGGUUUCUACCCAUAUACAAAUGCUGAACAACGGCCUUUUUCUGUGCACAAAAGCAUCAGCAACAAAAACAACAACUGGCUGUGAAUAAAAUUCGCAUAACACGAGUUGGAAGCAUGAUACCGAAGUGCUAGAAUCAAAAGUGAUUAAGUAGUAGUAAAGGAGAAGUUUAGUUUCAUACAGCAGUCCAUGGUUUAUACUUGUCCAAGAACCAAGGUAUGAUGGGGCGAAGAAUCUUCUGUGAUGUGAUUUCUUCCAUACAUAUAGGCCAUAUCUUUUCCACAGCAUGGUUUAGCCACCUCACUGUUUCAGAAUCACAGAGCACCUGAUAGAAAAACCACAAAGCAACCCACCAUUUGAAUAUCAAUAUAUCUAGCAGGAAUGAAUUAAAAGCAAGUACAAAGAGCAUGUGAUCCAAAAAGAGUUAAAAGAAGAAACAUCCAUCCAAGUUCCAAGGAAAGCAAAGAUCUUUGAAAUGUAUACCAAAUAAAGUUGGAAACUUUUAAGACUUGGAAAACCCCCAAACUAACUGAAAUGGAAGAACUUACCCUUUUCUGAUUAGCUUGUUUGGAUUCUUCGUACUGCAGUCUCUUCUUCAAUUUCGUUAUAUACCUCUCGUGAACCUUUUUCCAAAAUAGCAAUAAAGAAUCAAAUCGAAGUCACUGAUCAAGAUCAUCAAGAGGGAAAGAAAGAAAUUAGAAACACAUACCAAAUAGAGAUAAAUCAAGGAGAAGAAGUAAGCAGAAGGGUGAAUCUGGGCGAAGCAAGAGAGCAACCAAAGCAGAAACAAGACGAAGGCCACAUGGAACAUAAUCGACAUCUCUGCCAAAUCCACCAUCAACUAUUUCCCAAUUCGUCGCUAUACGUACAUAUACAAAGGAGGAAACAGAAGCGCUCGGUCUUCGAAGUUAAAUCUGGAACAGCAGACCCACUAAAGCAAAAGAGGAAUCCCAAGUUAGCAUCCGGAGGGGCUGGAGGGCUGAGAUUGCCGACGAUUUCUUCAAAAGGACGACAUUUUUAUCGAAGGUAUAACGGUAGGAGUAUAAACUGUUUGUAUAGGAGAGGCGGCAGAGUGCGGUGAUUAAGGGCGGCUAAUUGAAUUGUUUCUUCCACGGGUAAAACGCGAAGGCAACACGUUCAAUAAAAUACAACAAUUUAUUUGGAAUUUGAGAAUCUAGAUUUGCAGGAGAUUGAAACUAUUUACUGUCAAUUUGUUGUCACUUUAAUAUUUUAUUUCGUAAUUAUAUUCAUUUUAAUUUAUUUCGAAUUGAAUUUAGGUUUACGUUUUGGGUUUAAUAUUAGCAUUUAUGUUUUGAAAUUUAAGGUUAAGGGUUUUGAAUUUUGAAUUUUACAUUUUGAGUUUCGAUUUUGAGUUUUAAAUUUUGAGAUUUAGGGUUUAGAGUAUUAGGUUUUUAAUUUUGGGUCAGCUCGAAAUUAUUGAUUUUAAAAUUAAUUUAUAAAAUAUCAUAUUUAUCCCUACUUAGAUAAUAAUCCGCUGGAUUGAAGUUUUAAAAUCAACGGUUCAAAUUUUUUUAUUGACUACAAAUAUUUUUUUAUGUGCUGGCUAUUCAAACUCAGAAUUUGAAGUCCUAAAACAACUACAAUGAAAAGAAUGUUAUAGAUGAGCAUUAUCUUCCGAGGUAAAGUGAUUCUAGUGAUGGAGUUGUAUAGUAAUAGUUUGAAGGUUUUGAUUCGAGUUAAGCACACUUUAUAAAAUGAACAUUUUCUGUAAUGUUUCGUAUAUUUAUACUUUUUAUUGUGUNNNNNAUUUUUUUAACUGAGUAAGGUAAUUUGAUCAUUUUUUAUUCAAUUUAUUUGAGAUUUGACAAUUUCUUACCUAUGAAAUGAAUUUAAAAUUACUUUUCAAAUCAAUUUAGAAACUAUUUUAAAUGUUAUUUUAUUUUCAUAUCCAAACAUAAUAUUUCAAUUAAAUUAUCCAAAUUCAUAAAAUCACUUUCUAAAUCACCUUCCAAUUAAAAGAACAAACAAGAAUCUCAUGUUUCCAAAGAUUCAAAUCAAUAAAUAACUUAAUAUUUAAGAUCACUAUGAUAAAUAAAAAAAUACACUAGAAUUCAAAGCUAAAUUGAAAUCUUCGAACAAAACAAAAUAAAAUGACAUAAAGUAAACAUCGUAUUGGUGAUCAUUUCAGAAGAUAUAGAAGGUGAAACAAAUAUCAAAGAAGGAGAAAAUAAAUAAAAUAAAAUAAAAAACCAAGCAUAUGGCAAAAUAUAUAUCGUAAUCAAAUAGCAAUACGUAGGUGGCCACGUGGAUAAUGUGGAGCAUCCACGUGGAUUACAUGCAGGAUCCUCUCUUUUUGUACCAGCCAGUCACCCUUCUCCUCUCGAAGCUUAAGCCAUAUCACAUCAAUUCAUCUUCCUCUGCUAAAAAUAUCCAGAGAUAUAUAGAUAAGAUAAAUACAUAAGCAAAAUUAAGAAUGGCGGCGGCGGCGGGGAGCUUCAACGGCAAUGGGAGUGGGACCAGCAGCAACUUCAGCAGGUUCUACGAGAGAUGGUUCGACCAGCUUCACCAAAUGGUCCGACAGCUCCGACUGUCUCCCAACCCGCCGACUACCCACGACCACCGCGCCUCCAUCUCCCACCUCGUCCAGAAGAUCAUGUCCCACUACGCCGAAUAUUACCAGGUGACUCAAUCUGACUUUGAAUCAAUUUUCAAGUGGUUUGAACAAAAUUGCUUAUUGAGUGUUACAUGGUAUCUUGAGAAUUGGCUCCAACAUUCAUAAGUGUUGGGUAAGAAUGACGAUGAGUUGUCCCUAGAACCGUGUCAACCGGACGGAUUGGAUGGGGCCGCGGGUUAAUCAGGUUGCGGAUUCGUUACAAAUUCAUCUAAUCAUAGUACAUUUUGAUCACCUUAGUCCCGGUCGAGAGUUCGAUCUUUACCCGUAGGAAUAGAGUAUACCUUGUGGCCAUCCGUUUAUCACCUUGUGCGAGCACCAUCCACUAACGGAUUGAUUAUCACUAUCGGCCAUAAAUCCUGUAAUUAAACCCACAAAAAAGAUCAUAGUACAAUUUGGGUUGUCUUGGUUUGGUUGUGGGAUUUUUGGAUGGGAGGCAUCGCCAAUCAUGGUCGUCGUUGAGUCUUAGUCCAUUCGAAUUAGGGGUCGGGUCAAGCUAUGACCCGAUGCGGUAAGGGUUGACGUGCGACUGAUGUUCUGCUGUUGACUCUGAAUUGAGUUACAUUGGCUAUUCUACUCUGGAGUAAAUUAGUAUUGGUGGUCUGUGUUUUACUUUUUUUAUUUUAUUUCGACUGUGAUGGAAGAACAUUCAUUUACAAAACUGAUUCACUAUAGGUGAAGUCUGCUGCGGCAGAGGGGGACGUGCUACUGAUGUUCACUGCACCGUGGGCCUCCUCCCUGGAGCGAUCCCUGCACUGGGUCGCAGGGUGGAGGCCCACAACUCUUUUCCACCUAGUGUACACGGAGUCGAGCAUACUGUUCGAGUCCCACAUCGUGGACAUCCUCAAGGGGAUGAAAACUGGGGACCUAGGAGACCUCUCCCCUGCCCAGUUCAGGAGGGUGAGCGAGCUGCAAUGCGACACGGUGAAGGAUGAGAACUCAAUUACGGACGAGCUUUCCGAGUGGCAGGACGGGGCGAGUGAGCUGGUGGGGUGUGCGGCGGAGGAGGUGGAGAGGAAAGUGAGGAAGCUGGUCGGCAUACUUAGGAAGGCCGACGACCUGAGGUUGAAGACAGUGAGGCGGGUGGUGGAGCUGCUGACUCCGCAGCAGGCUGUCGAGUUCUUGAUUGCCGCGGCGGAGUUGCAGUUUGGGGUUCGUAGGUGGGGCCAGGAUCAAGAUGGUCAUCACCGCAGCUGAUGGUAUAUGUGUCCCUGCUUACAUAUAGAUCUGCGUGGUUUGUGUAUCUUUCACAGACAAUAGAUCUGUAAUUUUUUUCUGUUACGUUAUGAUAUGUAUCAAUUUAACAGUUUCUAACAAUAUGUUAUGGUGCAUCAACUCCUUGUUUCGAGGGGCCGAACAGAGUGGGCAGAAUUUGAAACUAGAGAAUGAUUUGCAAGCGAGAGAGCGGCUGGUUCUGGUUUGGGAAGUUUCGAGUAGAAACUAGCCCCUUCCAUCACUAUACAUCAUUAGCAAAUAUCGCUAUCCUUUCGUCCUCGAUCACCAUCCGGCACCAAUUAUAACUAGUUAUCAAUAUCAUUUGGCUGCUAACAAGGAACUUCUGAUAACGGCUAGCGACUCUUCAAUAGCCCUAACCUGCAGUGAACUCUGAGGAAGAUUUCACCCAGUCCACGUUAACUGUAUACAUGUUGAUUGAAGAUGCGAGAUGAAAUGCAGAUACGAGUAACAGCAGUAAUAAUGAAACACCAAUCUUAUAUUCAAGUUCUUGAAAGAAAUUAUUCGCUACGCGCGGUUUGAUGUGGUCGGCAAUGGUACAGUGUAAACAAACAAGCCAGGGCACAGUUGGUAUACAAUAAGUUUACAGUACUCAGUCUACUGGACACAUACACGGAGCAACGCAUCCAUCCAAACAAAUAAACAAACCUAUACACACGCAGGUAGGUAGC
rnacentral:lncRNA from 1 species